CUGAAUGCAGAUUCUUGCUGCUCCUCCUGGAAACCCGAUAAUUGAAGUGCCUCGUUUGUUUGUGUUGCCUAGCCUACAGGAAGACUAAGUUUAUUUUACACUCCUUCCGCCUUUAUGAUUUUAACUCAUAUUAGAUCAUCCCAUUAAGGGAAAAAAGACCAUAUCACAUAAGUAUGAAUCGUACAUUCUGAUUUACAAUCAAUAAAAUAAAAAUAUAGAAUUUGAACAGAAACCAAAAGUGUGAUGGUUUAGUUGGAGCAGCCCAUCAGGCGUUAUUGGACUUAGGAGGGCACCGACUCGUUAUCCUUCCACUGCAUAGAGCGAAAACUGUUCGUUGCUCUGUGAAACCAGCCUCUUUUCAGCCUCACGCAGUCUGCUCCACUUUAGGAACCCUGCAGCCCAUUCCUAAAGGCCCAACUCUGUGCUUGGACAGGGCAGGCCAGAAACUAACCCACCAAACCCAACCAUCUGGACAGCCCAACAUUCCACCAACUUAAUGACCCCACUUGGGUUACAAGCCCACGUUACUGAACCAGGCAGGCAGUAUUGCUUCAUAAAUUCAUAUAAACAAAGAAAGAUUAUUAUUCAAUAACGAUGUGGGACACAUUGUUGUCAAAGCAUAAAAUCUAAUUAGUGAAAUACUUAAUAUCUUAAGAAAGUCAAAACAUGUAAUUAAUACUUAAUUAUACUCUAAAACUAAUAUGUAAAAACAUGAAAUCUAUUGGAGUGUUACAUGAGAGAUUAUGGUAGGGAAGGAUAGAGGUCAAAUUGAGACUAGAAUUGAGUGUUACAUGAGAGAUUAUGGUGUAUCAACAAAAAAGUGGCAAUGAAAAAAUUUUAAGAAAUGACUCAAGUAUCGUGGAAGGAUUUAAUUGAAGGAAUUCUACGAACUCUCUUCAAAGAUUCUCACGCAUAAUUUAUGUAUCAAUUUUCUGUCAGCUAGACAAAUCUGAAAAUGGUGUAAAAAAAAUAGUCUUCAACAGUUUCAAUUUUCGCCAUAAGGAAAUAAAUUGUCAAAUGAUAAUGUGUAAAUGUCAGAAUACGCACAAUAGCUUAAUUAUGUUAAAUAUGUCCUUAAAGUAGAUAUCAACAUUAAAUCUAACUAUUAUUGGUAAAAAUUAUAGCACUCUUUGUUAAUACGCACUCAAAAUAUUUUAUUGUAGUUUAACUCCCAAAAAUCUCGAGACUUGAUAAUUCUCAAACUUUUUCUUGUUAGUCCAUCUAAUAUUGUCCCCACCGAAAAAUACAAGUCUUGGUUACAACAAUGUUCCCAAUCAAUAGGUAGACCAAUUUAAUAUUAGUUCAAUUUCAAUAUAAAAAGUAGAAAAGUAAGUAACAAGCAAAAUAUCCCAAACACUAAGUCUUUUAAAAUGAAAUGCGAUAAACAGAAAUACCACCUAAGUACAACAGUUUCUACAACAUGACAGAAGUCUGAAACUGUAAUGACAAGUCUAAAUGUACGAAAAUUUAUGUACAAACACAUACUAAAUUAUUCCAUUAUAUAUGACGUGCACGUUGUGGUUCUUAAUUCCCUAAUCCGGAAAAUGGAAGGAGAAGCUCUGAGGAAAUACAUCAAUUUUUUGAUGAUUUUGCUCUCUUCUCUGGAAUCAAAUGGCUUUUUUUAUGCUCAAUGCACAUCCUUACCAAAGAUGGAACACAAGCAAACAAUAGCUUUGUAAAAAGCAAUUCAGUUUUUGAGCACUCAUAACAAUUGACGGCUACAUACUUGAGGUUGUUGAGUCGUAGAUCCAAGCAAAUAAUAGGUCUGUCUUUAGCAUAAUCUCCAGAAGCACAUACCUAAUGGUAUUAAACAAACAUUGAAUUAGUCAAAACUUCUCGUACUUACAUAGGCCUAUCAUACUAAGUGGAUGCAUUCCAUAUCAUGUUAAAGGUUCACAGAAUACAUAAUAUUCCAGGACAAAAAACUUAGAGAGGAGUGGAACCGGUAUUCAAAUUGGCAGUCACAACUACAAAGAAGUACACAUAUCAAGUUAUGAUUACAUUAUAAUUUUCCAUUACUUACCGAAAUCUGAAGUAUGCUCAAGUUGGGGCAACUCCUAAUCAACUGUAGGGCGCAAGUAGUCUGAUGUAGUUUUCUCAAGUCUAUUUCUAAUUACAACUUUUGUAAGCUCGUAAAAGGACCCCCCCCCCUAGAAAUUAUGUCAGCCGUCAAAAGCUCUUGCACACAAAAAUAAGUCGACUUUCUACAAUAACCUAGGAUCAUAUUCAUAGACUUUAUUUUCACCAACCAAACAUAAGAAAACAAGUCAAAAUCUACUCGUUAUCUAGGAAAAUAUUCCCCAUGGAAAACAUUUUCCUUCAUACCAAACACACCCUAAAUUCAAAAAUAGUGAUUUGAUAAUAACAAUAAUGGAAUAGUUGGUGGGUAAUGAAUAUGGGGAGCAAAAUAUAACUACCCAUACGAAUCUCAAAAGAACCUCUUUAAAAUUGCCUCUACCGAGCUCUCAAGGUUCAAAAUAGUGAAAUGCGGAUGAAACCCUAACUUUUGGAAAGAAAUUAUUUCCACGUCACUUUUGUCUUCGCAAACGCAAUGUAAGGUAUGGUGAAGGACAAAUAUUGUAGAUUGCGAACAAUUGCCCAUAAGAAAGAGCCAUUGCAAGACCCCGAAAAUGACCUAGGUGAACUAGAACCUAACAUGUUGGUCUUGAUGUUCUUAGGUCCUAAAAAGGUCUAAUAUAUGGUUUAGAGGCAAUAUCUAAAGUAUUAGGUGCAUUGGAAGUCAAAUGUCAAGGGACGACCAAGACGUUCGACGACGAAGUCACCUAUGUGCCUCAUAUGUGAUUCUAUGUGUUUAUGUGUGAUUCAUGAUGUUAUAAGGUUCAUAAAUGAGUUAUUAUAGCAUAUAGUCAGUGUGUCAAGUUUCAUGGAGUUUGGAGGUCAAACGUCCAAGAACGUCCAUGACGUUCGAAAGAUGUGCCUUGAAAUGACCUUGUGUGUCUAGGCAUGUUUCGUCAAGUUUAACGUGUUCAUUUUAUAUGAAAUUCAUGUAAGAGGUGAUAAACUCAUAGACGAUCAUAUUUGGGUUGGAAACGUCCGGGUAAACAUACCCAAGGACCAACCAAGGGUCCUUGAGGAAGGACCCAAACUUGUUGUCAAGACUGUCCCAGGUAGGCCCCAAACGACGGAGGCAUCGACGGCUCGUGGGCCAAUCGACGCCCCGUCGAUGGGUGUCAUCUGUAGGGACUUAUUAUUGUGAGGAAGGAGGACCUUGACAAGUCUCUGAUCCAACCAAUGGAUGGACAGGACAGUCUGUUUGUGGACAAACGGUCCGUCGACUGUCCACCGUCUAUGGUCAUGUCCCUGCGUGCAAUUUCCCUGCUAAGUUAGGGGUGAAUUUGUAAAUUCACCCCACUUUUAAAAAUAGACUUUGGCGUUUCCUAAGGGGUAUAUUGGGUAUUUUAAAUGUGUAUAUAAGUGUUAAACACAUUUAAGACUUCAUUCUUCCAAAUCAAAAACCCCAAAUCCCUUAAGAAAUCUCAAAGACUCCAUUGAAGUCCAAAUUGAAGGAACAACUUGGUGUGGAGUUUUGAGUGUAAAUUCUUAAUCAAAGUGAAUAAUUAUCAUCAUUGAAGUAUGGAUUUUGAUCCUUGAAACUCGUUUCAUCAAGGAGCCCAAUCCUCAAGAUGUUUUUCAAAGUUUUCUAAUGUGAAUUAUCCAAUUUCGGGAUUCUAUCAUGGGUUCUUGCAUAAAUGAUUUCUAAACAUUGAAUUAUGAUCUAAUUGAUAUUGUAUUGAUGAUUUUAACAUAAAUUACCUAUGAACCCAUGAAUUUGGAUGAACCCUAGGUUUUGACUAAGAUGUGGGUAACUUGAUACUAAGCUAAUUGAUGAAUUAUUAUGGGCUUUCUAAUGAUGUAUUAAUGUAGUAAAUUGAUAUCUAGGUUGUGUUGUAUUGAUGAAUUUAUAUUGAAUUGACCCAGUUCAUUUAUUAUUGUAGUUUUUAUGUUGAAUUGUUGGUUAUGGCCUUGGGUAAGGGUCUUGUGUUAUCGAAUUGAGUAAUUUAGCAUUGAAUUGAAGUGUUGAUAAUGGAGGGUAGGUAUUCUGCCCCAUUCUCUUUAUUUUGUUAUUUUUUAUACUUAAAUUCUAUUGUGAUUGGUAUGGUCCACUUAUGGUGGUGGUGUUAUGUGUUUUACUUGCAAAUGAUGUGGCCUUUUCGGUGUUACUUUAUGCAAUAUGAUGACCAUGGACCUAUUGGCAACUACUUGAAGUAAUAUGACUAAUUGUGUAGUUUGAUUAUGUGAAUCAUGACAUUAUCUAUCUACAUGUGAAGCCAUAUAUGUAUUCUUCUAUUAAUGUUGUCUUAGGUGAUCAUGUUGGACUAUGACUUUGACCUUGUGAGUAUGAUCUUAGGGCUGAGUCUUGGUUAUUCCUACUUGACUAUAUGAGUCUAUAUUAGUUACAUUGAUGAUGUUAUGAUAGUUUAUAGGAUGAUUUGAAGAUGUUAGGGUUGUUUUUAGGCGUUUCUAGAGAAUGACUUGCCUUAUAAGCUAAAAGUGAAGUAUGUGGUGUCUUGUCUUGGUUGACUUGUGUCCCUGCUUGAUGUAUAUAUGAUUAUGAAUAUGUGAUGUCUUGAUUUAGGGUGUUAGAACUCUUAGUAUUGAAUGUAUGAAUAACAUGUGACCUUAAAAGAACUUAGGAAAGUCUUUUAUCUGAAAACCUUGACUUAAAUGGUAAGGUUAAGAUUGUUGAAGUUUUAAGCCGUAAUGGUAUCCUUCAAAGUAAAGGAAUGAUGGACUUAAGUUUAAUUGGCUGUAAUGGCAUCAUAUUAAUCCUUAGAAAAGUCAUCAUGAACUUCUUGUCGCCAUUGUGAGAUAGCCCUAGUGGACCUUCUUUGAUAGGUUAAAUGUGAUUGGGUUAUGAACUUGUUAUGGAACUUUUUUAUGUGAACCUAAUGUAUGAAUUACUCUAUGAGAACGCAGGCUAGCAUCGAGUGAGUAUGGUAAGUGAAAGUAAUUCUAGUUAAGUAUGAGACUAGAUUACAAAGUAUGCCCUUCAUAUUCAUUAACCAUGUGCCUACAUGAGAUGCGUGCAAGUUCUACCAUUGGCAAGUAGAACAUCCUCAUCGGAGUAGGAUAGAACUCCAGAUUCCAUGUCUUGUUACCAUGGUCUAUGUCGGUUAUUUCCUAUUCUCAUCAUGUGGAAUACCUAUUAGCAUUGGAGAAGUUUAUGAGGUUUAGGUGGUGGUAUGAGACGUUAUCUAGACAUUACACAAUUGGCUUUGAAGGUGUUAUUGAGAGUUCCUAGGUCUUGUCUAAGACCAUUAUUUGAAUGUCCUUUAUGUGAUGUAUGAGUCUUAAUGAACUAAUGUCUUAUGUUAAGGAGUAUAUAAAUAAAUGAGUACCUAAUAUAAAGUGACUUAAGGAUUCCUUAGCUAAAGUAUGAAGAGGGCAUAAAGGAUGAUCUCUUCAUGUCUUAUCUUUGGAAGUCUUGAGGAUGACUCUAGUUAGGGAAGUUGGUUAGUUUUGUGGACAUAAUUUAAGUCUUAGGUAGUCUUAAGGAUUACUUAGGUAAUCUUGAAGAGGUCACUAUGGAUGUUAUCUUCUUGAUUUACUUAAGUAGGCCUUUUGAUAGCCUUUGGAAGGAGAAUGUCAUAUCACAUAUGUGUUGAUGUAUUAUGUGAGCAUGAUUAUAUCCUAGGGAGUCUAUGGGAUCUCUUAAGUGUGUGUGUAAGGGAUUGUAUGGGCGGUCGCUUCACAACUCACUCAAGUGAGACUUAGAGUUCACCUUUGGUAGAAGAAUCUUACCUUGAUGUUCAUGAUACUUUCUAAGUGUGUAUGUGACUCAUUAUAAGUAAUCCUAAGGGUCGUUUAGGCACAUCUAGAGAAGGUGUAUAGGAGGUCUCUCUUUGUGUGACUUAAGUUAAUCUUAGGAUAGCUUUGAGUGAGAAUAUUACAUGCUAAGGGGUGUCAAAGUGAAGAAUAAGUCACUUCACUGUAACAGUGAAUGGGCUCACUGUAAAGUGAGUUCUAAAAAUGUGGUUUUUGGUUUAAAGGUCAUCUUAUGUGUUUCUAAGUUGGUAAAUAUUGUUCUUAUGAUUAUAAUAUGAUUUCUAAAUGAAAAGAUUCAUAUUUCAAAUAAAUGUCCGUUUCCAUGAUUUUCAUGCAUUAAGCCAUACUUAGUACAUGUAGUUGUACUAAUUCCAUUCUUUUAUCUACCUAUCUAUCUAUAUAGUUCUUGGUAGGUGAGGAGAUUUUGUGGAAGUGAAUACUUGGACUUAGAAGAUCGUGCUAGAGAAGUUGAAGUAUGUCAUCACUUGACUCGAAGGAAUAUGUCUUUUAUGUUUCUUUGAAGUAUUGUAAUAGACUAAGUAUUUCUAUAUUCGUAUUUUGUAUUGGCCGUGUCCCAAGUAUUCUUGUGUCUUAAGAUGAUGAGAUUGAGACUUAGUAUUUCCUAUUACUUUUAUAUGAAAGAGAUUUUAAAGACUAUGAUAUAUUCUAUGAAAUUUUUAAUUCCGCACUAUUUUUCGAUAUGUAUAUGCAAUGAAAUAUAUAUAUGAAUGGGCUGUAUAAGACCUCCGAGAGGUCGAGUACGCCGGUCUCAAUCCAAGAUUGUGUCCUAACUUCUAGGGUGUGGUCUUGGGAUGUGACAGCCAUGAACAAUAAGGUCAACUUGGUCUACAUUGAGAACAUCAACGACGGACAUCGGACGUAGGAGUAAGAACUUUUUUAAUUUGUUGUCUUGCAUAUUGGCCUCCAAGUUAAAGUCUCCUAUAUAAUUCAAUUGACAAUAGUAGGCCACCUUGAUAUGACAGAAUCUCAACACCCUAAAAAUUGUUAAGUUGCAUAGGUUCUUGAGAGAAAAACAUUAAUUAAGGACAUUGAUAAUUUUUCUAACACCGUGGUAUUGAUUUUCAGUAAAUGAAUUCACAAAUCAUAGAACCAGAAACCUUCAGAAAGUGAUAUGCUUGCAAUUGACAUGAAAAUUGAGAUUUACGACCUGUGGAUGGUUCUACAUACUAUAGAUGGGUCCGUAGACUAUGCCCUUGGACCUCAGGGAAGAUGAACUUAAGGAUGAUUUUAAAGGAAGUUUUUAACUUUGUAAAUAUCCACAAACUGUAGACCUUGUCGUGAAAUGAAAGAUCUGAAAAUGGGAUAUUUUGGCUUCACUAGGAUAAGAAGACUUCAGGGUCCAUGUAAGAAUUUACAGACCGUGGAAAGGGCAUGUGAAAGUGAACUUUCUGUCAUGCACCGAGCCUACACCCUAGAUGUGGUCGACACUCGAAAAUCAUUUCUAAUCCCCAAGCGAACCAUUGACCUAACUAACUAUUUGCGGAAGACGUACUCAUGAAUAAAUGAAGAAGCUUUAAAAAUAGAAUUUAUAACAUUCAAACUCAAGUAAAUACUUCACUCAAUUGUCUGAAAAUACUUAAGUGCAAUAAUAAUAAUACUUUGCAAAACCAUCUCAAAAUAUCUCAAACAAAAGGGAAAUAUUGAGAGACUCAUCAACACUUACUAUCUAUGAAGCCUCUAAUGCUUGGAUAGAAGCAAUAACAUGAAAGUAAAUUCUGAAAUCCUCCGAAAAGCAAGGAGGCUCACCAAAGUUAUUUGAAGCACAAAGUGAUCUCAACGAAACUGCUGCAGAUGAUCCUGAACACCUAUAUCUGCAUCAUAAAAGAUUCAUGUCGAAUGACAUUAGUAUAUUAAAUGUAUGAAUAUGUAAUAUAGCGUAAAAUUAAACAACUAAAAGAAAGGGUUGCAGUAGAUGUAGAUUUAUAUUCAACUGAAUGUAAAUGAAUUAAAUAAGGAAGUGAAAUCAUUAAAACUUUACAAAUAUAAUAUACUUUCUCAAUCUUUGAACAUUAGCAUAAUAAAUUAUAUAUAAAAUACACUUUAACUCUAUUGGGAGAUUCUUUAACUGACAACCAUUACUAUGAACCAAGUGAUGAUACAACAUUUUCUCCACGCGCUGUCAGAAUUAUCCUAUAUCGUGUCGGGAUAUAUGACACCUCAACUAAGUGGAUCCACUAAGUUAUGCCUGAAGUCUCUAAGGAUUCAUCUAAAAAGUAUGAUCAUGUACCCAUGUUGGUAAGACAAGGUUUAUGGGGAUUGUGAGUUGUCAAAACUCUCCCUUAUAUCGGUAAUCAGUACUACUCCUAAUAAUAUUUACCAUUGCUCAAUGUAUAAAAACAUUACUCUUUCUCAUGUUUACUUAAAUGAAAAAACAAGAAAGAAAAACAUUAUUAAUUCCUGAACAGAAGAAGUGGACAUUAUUCCCACUCUAUUUCAUAUUUCAAGCCUUUUUAACUUGAAACUUAUCAUAGGAUUAAUUUGUUGUUCUUUAAUCCUUAGAUAUUUGCAUGUUUAAUAAUUUAUAUUACUUCCAGUAAAAAUUUAUAACAUCGAUGACUUCUACACAUGAAAUAAUAUAUACACAAAAAUAUGUAUUUAUUAGAUAUUCUUAUUCACUAUACUAAGUAAAAAUAUAAUGAUUUGAAGAAUGAUGUUCAUAAUUCAAGUAUAAUAUUGACUACAUUUUACAUUAUUUUAUACACUAAAUCUCAUAAAAUUAGCAGGUUCAAAUCAGCUAUGACUGUGUGGCAAAAACAAUAAUAUAUUUUUUAUAAGUGAGAAAGAUGUCCAUCCCAAUAAAUGAUUUAGUGAAGAAAUAUAAUGUAAGAAAACAUUUGAAAACACAUAAAUAGAAAGUUAAUAAUGACAUAUUUUAUUUUCCAGCAAUACGAAGAAAGAGCAAUGAGAAAUAUAAUAAAACAAAAAGGAUUAUUGCAUUAAAGUUAUUUCAUUUGACAACUCUUAGUCACAUACAUUAGUGAUGCUUGCAUUUAUAGAUUUGACUAGUUUUCAGAUAGGUGUGUUGCAUGUUUAUUCCAAAUAAUAAUGCAUGCAUAUCAUAUUUUUCACGCAACCAAUAAAUUUUAAAAGUUUCAAAAUUGAUAUUGUAAAACAUAAAAAAAAUGUUAUAAAGAAAUAAGAGAUUCUUACCAAAUAAAUAAAAUUAAUUAUUGAAUUAUCACAUUUAAUUAUAGUUAUACACUAUACCUUGUCCUAUAUUUAUGAUUUAUAUGAGGCCACCAAAAUUGAGAGAAGGAAAAAAUGACGUAUGAUUUUCAAAAACGUGUGUUUAUUCCAAAUAAUAAUGUAUGCAUAUCAUAUUUUUCACGCAAUCAACAAAUUUUAAAAGUUCAGAAAUUGAUAUUGUAGAACAUAAAAAAAUGUUAUAAUGAAAUAAGAGUCUUACCAAAUAUAGUUAAUCGUUGAAUUAUCACAUAUAAUUAUAGUUAUACACUAUAUCUUGUCCUAUAUUUAUGAUUUAUAUGAUGCCACUAAAACUGAGAGAAGGAAAAAAUGACAAAAACACAACUAAAUAUGGUAAAACACAUAUGAAGAUGGAAUCAAAUAAAAGAAAAGAUUUUGAAAUUAAUAAUUAAAUACUACCAUUUCUUAUGAUUUAUAAGAUAUUACCGAAUGCAUAAUUUAUAGUUUGCAUGUCCAAUUUUUUCCUUCAUUCAAUAUGAGAGAAUGGAAGAUGAAGUUUUAAAAUUUAAUUUGUAGAAAUUAAAUGAAAAGUGUUGAUCUUUGAUGUUUCAUCUUUGUUAAUGUUUUUCUCAUUUUAUUGCAUUAAAGGUCUAUUCAAAUUUUUACUUUUAACAUCUUUUCACUUUUAGUAUUUAGUAUAAUAUAUAUGAUAUUGUUUACUAUUUAAUUAGUUAGAUAUUUAAUUUAGCAUAAAGGUAAAAUGAUCCAUGUUUACACUUAAAAGCAUAAUGAAACUUAGCAUACCUAAUUUGUACAAGUCACUUAAAAGCAUAAUGAAACUUAGCAUACCUAAUUUGCACAAGUCAAACAAGAUGAAAUAAAAAUUUAACAUGAGAAGCUAUACUACAUAGUCCUUAAGAGAAGAGUAUCAACAACAACUUGCUUCAACAACAACUUGCUUAACUAAUUGAAAUUUAAUCUUAUUUAUUAAUUAUUUUGUUUACUCUUAUUUAUUAAUUAUUUGUAUCACAUAAACAAGAAAAUCGAUGUAAAACUUAUGACUUUACUUUAUAGUAUAACUUUCUCAAUACAAUUUUUGAGCCAUCAUCCUUCGCACUACAUACAAAGCAUAUGAAACACUACUAUAAAGAAUUUCUAAUUCAUAAUUUAAUUCCACAUCUUCUCUCUAUUGAAGAAGCAAAAUUACAAAAAAGAAAACUUAUGACAUAUAAUUCAAGAGAUUAGCCUAUCAAAAGACCAAAAUAAUUGCAACUCAACAAACCUAUUUAUCAAAAUAUACAAAGCAAGAAAAAUAAAUGGUUAAUUUAUACAAAAGGAAAAAAUGAAGGGAUUUUCAGCAAGACAAUUGUAAGGAAUAUUAGUAAAAAUGUAUAGGACACAAUUAUCAUUACAACCCAUCCUAAAAGAAGUAUAAAAUAUACCCAAAAAUAAUUAACAUAUAUUAAUACAUAAAUUAUGGGAGUACAAUCGGCAUAUUUCUAAUACCCAAAUAAAGUUUCAUACAAUUAUCAAAACCCAAAGAAGCAUAAUAUUUUUUGCACCAACUUUCUCAUACCUAGAACGACUUGCUAGGGAAAGGAUCAAUUCGGCAUCAAAGUAGACACUUAUGAAAAGGUUUUCAAAUCUAAAAGGAUUACUGAGAAGUGAAGGAGAAGGGCAAUUAUAUAUGCUUGAAGAAACAAAUAUAUAAAAUUGUCUUAUGAUUGCUUUUCUAACAUUGUUUUCUAUCAAGAAAUUAGAUGUUUGAGUGAUAAUUUGAUUGAUCAAUGUAUAUAUUUUUCAAUGCAAGUUUAUAAAAUUUUGUAAAGAAUAUGAAAAAGCUAUUACUAACAUGGAAUAUGAAAGAGACAAAACAUUAAAAUUGAAAUAAAUAACGGUGAUAACUAAGUAAUUCAAACAUUUAAUAAUUGUGGGAAGAUGGAACAAUUUCUACAUUCAAAUUCAAUGUAGAAAAUGAAUGGUUUUCUAUUUAAAAGUUUUUUUUUUAAUGUAGAACAAAAUUGUUAAUAAAAAUUUGUACGGGCAUUUUUUUAAUUCAACUUUGGACUUGGAGACUUUUCACUUAUAAUAAUAUAUGAUGAGCUUUUAAUUCUUUGUUGGAGUUAAUAUUGUUUAUGAUAUAUUUAUUUUAAUUUUAUUUUUGAUCAAUAUAUACUACUAGUCAAUACGUCUAGUGAGAUUUUAUUAACGAUAAAACUAAUAAUUUAUCAAUAUAGAUAAGUAUAAGUAAGGAGACCAAUAUGGGUUUUUGUGCAUUGAUGAAAGUGUUUCAACAUUAAUCAGAGGUCUUGGAUUGAUCCGUGGGUAUGGAGAAAAUCCUGUUGGGAGCACCAGCUCCGAAAGGGCCUUGCAGAGCUCAAUCCAAGUUUAGUCGGAAGUUCUAAUGUGAGCUCUGGACACCGAAUGGAAAAUCAAAAGAAAGUAUAAGUAAGGAGGUCCUUACUUUACCAAAACAUAGUAAAGUGAAAUUGUUUAUAUAUGUGAAUAUAGAUACAGAUAUAAUAAGAACCUUAUAUCUUUUAAAUUAGUUGUUGCACUUCAAACUAUUGACAAUGUCAUGUUCAACAAUCAUUUCCUACUUGCUCUUUCAACACUUGUACAUCGACAUUAAUGUUGACAACCAACAAAUGAUCACAUCCUUCUUUGUUUUAAUUUAUUUAUCUGAUUGUUACUUGACAUAAAAUAUAAAAGAAUAAAGAAAACUUUUGAAUCUUAUGGUCUUAAAUUGAAAAAAUGUGAAAUAUAACAAAAUGUUCUUUAUUCUUGUGGUUUUAAACAUGGCAUGUGAAAAUUAUAAAUUAAGUGUUGUAAAAAGACAUUUUUUUAAGCCGGUAAGAAAAAGUAAGACCAAGAAAUUUGAACGAAUGAAGUACCAAAAUAAAAGCUUAUUUCAUUCCAUGAUCAUAAACAUACCAAAAUAUAAAAUUAAAGUCAUAUAUAAAAAAAACUUAAUCAUCGAAAUAACAUAUUUAACUCUAUAAAUACCAAAUUAAAUCACUAAACUUCAAAUAAAGCAAGCAAAAUCUAUUCACUUGAUUGAGAUGACCCUUCAUCGAAAUUGGACGAAGUGUUUUCCCUAACUAUUAAAGGAUCAAGCGCACUUCCAAUAGUUUGAUAUGGGAAUACCUCAUCAGCUUCCAAAAGUUGGCUCACUACUCUUUCAACUUCUUCAUGCGCAGCUUCCAGGGCCUCAAACAAACUUUUAAGGCCAGGAAAGUCAAGUUUUUCAUGUGAAGACUCUGUCCUCAAUGCUUGAAGUGUUUGUCCACGUUUUUUUUCUUUUUCGAGUUCUCUCUCCAACGUGUUCAGCUUUCUAUUGAUCUCAUCUUCAUUGGCAUUUUGCUGAGCUAUAAUCAUGGGGUUAGGAUCAUUAGUGCUGGCUGUAGGAUCCUCUCCGAGAAAUCUCUCCACAAUUGACUCAACAGAAGGAUGCCCAAAUGAAUACACUUUGUUGCUUGGAGAAUAUACUACAAUACCAACAUUAGCACCACACAAAGUAGAGAGCUCACUUGCCUUCUUAAAUAGGCCAAAACGUCGCUUUGAGAAUGUAGCUUGCCUGCUGGUUUGAUUUUGUAUCCUCACAAUUUGAAUUCUUCUGCGAUAAUUAGGUCUUCUCAUGGCUAAACUUUUGAUUUGAGAAUGUAAGAAAAUGUGAUGUUGAGCUUUUGUUUUAAAGAUGUAUUUAUAGAGAUAGAAUCAUCAUAUUGUUUGAUGAAAAUUAACUCAAAUAACAAAAAUAUAAAAAAUAUUUAUGAUGAUUCCUUAUUUGGCAUGAUUUGACCCAAACCAUAAUAUUAAUUAAAUUCCUUUUUUGUUUCAUUGACAUAUUUUAUAGUAAUUCCUUUUUUGUUUCAUUGACAUUUUUUUUUUAAAUUCAUUGUACUAAAUUAUUGAAAAAGUUUUUAUCGUGUCAUUCUUUUGUGAUAUAUGAUUUAGUAAGUUAAUGUGUAAAUUGAUGAUAGUUUCUAAGGUAAUUGGUUUUUUAUUUUAUUUGUAUAUUUUCUAAAUUUGUUCUUGUUCAAUUAUGUAUAUUUCCUAAUUUAGAAAUGCUUUAUAAAAUACCUUCCACUAUUAGAUUUAUCAAUAUGAAAAUCCUUUUUUUAACUCAUACUAACUACAAGAAAAGUUUAACAACUUCAAUUUAAUUUUAAGGUAUUUCUAUGUCUUCUAGAACAUUUGCAAACUCGUAAAAUAUACUUAUAACUUAUGACACAUUAAAUAUUAUCAUAAUAUAAAUUCAAAUCCUAACACAUUUUAACAUGUAUAAACCACUUUAGAAUAUUCUCACACACUUUAUAUUCACAAGCAACUAUGAUGACAAGUCAACAACGUACCUAAAACGCAAGACAACAACCUAUUUACAAGUAACUAAGAUACCAAGCCAACUAUCUAAGGCCGGGAGGACCCACACCCAUAAUUCUGAAGUCAAAACCUAUCAGCUAAUAAGAAAACAAUAACUGAGAAUAUAAUAUAGUCAAACAAUAACCUAAUUGGACACCAUAAGCUUGCAAGGUACAACACAACAACAACUAUAACCCAACCCAUGCCCAUAAACUGAAGGGUACAAUCAACAAACAACUAUAUUAGUGACAGGUGAUUCAUAUGAAUGCAACGUGAGUAUUAGGACCAUCUUUAACCUUUAACUACAAGAAAUCCCAUCAAUGGGCUUUCUAGAAGACAGGAAACUCUAGGGGUGUAAGUCACCCAGCUAGCAAGGGUAAACUUGGGAAUGUAAAUAUAACAAAUCAAGGCCACCUAGUCGUACAGUAAAUUGUUAGGGGUGUAAUCCGUCCAACUAACAAGAUUAAACCGGGGGCAUAAGUAUAACAAAUCAAGGUUGCACGACAGUAAACUGCCAGGGGCCUUAGCCGCCCAACUAAAAAGAGUAAACCUAGGGGCAUAAGUAUAAGAAAUCACGCAAGAAAGGGCAUCGACAUGCAGGGUAGAAGAGUAAAACUAAGCACAUUCCAGAUUCCUCUAAUAUUUCAAGUACGAAAGGAGUACGUCCCGACGCUUCGUAAUCUCAAAAACUAGUAAAUCAAGUGAUCCACGUAGUAUGACUCACUCACGUUAAAACCAAAUCAGAAUAAAAGAUAAUAAAAUAAUAUCUCAUUAUGUACAGUAACUAUGCCAAUGAAUGAGCAGAGACCGUACUAAAAAAUGUGAAUGGAAAAACAAUACAACACAUGUCAUCAACAACAUUCUAACAAUUCACUAAAUCAAAUAUGUCAUGCCCUGAGCCUACAUCCUGGACAUGGCCGACACUCAAGAAUUAUUGCUGCCCCAAGCAAACCGUUGGUAUGCCUCAAGUCUUAGCAUAAGACCUACUCGACAUAAGAUAAAAUCAAAAGCACAACUCUAACUCAAAUGUCUCAAACAGUAAACUCAGAAUAAUAGAGUAUUCAACUAAUAAGAAAAUAGUCAACUCAAGCCUUUUAAGCAUUUAACAAAGAAAUGGAAAAGACUGACGAACUAUAUAUGAAGCCUUUAAUAGCUAUGAUGGAAGUCUAUACAAGACCCACAACAAAAGUAAAUAAGAAUCCCUCGGAAGCAAGGAGGCCUACAAAGCUAAAUCUGGAACUCUACUGUAUUAACGAAACACUGGUUGAUGAUCCUAGUUACCCAUAUCUACAUCAUGAAAAAUAUAGGUCAAAUGAUGUCAGUACAUGGAAUGAACGAGCAUGUAAGGGAAACACUUAACAUAACCUGCAAGCUUGGACUGAUAAAAAGGAAACUAAACUCACCUCACCUCAACUCAUUUCAGUAUAAAAACAACAAUAUAUAUGAUUUAUAAAGAAAGUUUUAAAAACAAUAGAUAACAACUGAAUUAAAAUACAAUAAUAACUUUUCUAUGUAAAGAUAUGAAAAUAACUAUUUUUAGGAGAUAUAAUGUAGAAUAUGUUGAGGACCGAUCUUCAGAUGAUCUAAAUGAUGAGGACCUAAACCUACAUCAUGAAAAGAUGUUGCGUAUAGUAUGAGUAAGCAUUUGGAAGGUACUGAGCAUGUAUGAUAAGAUAAAAGCUGAACAAACAUAUAAGUUGAACAAAGCAUAACUAAGCAAUGACGCAAUUUGAACAUAAUGGAAAUAAUGAUAUAUACUAAAUAGAACUAAAUUGAAUGCAAUGACCAAGUACAUGACAUUUUGUAACUAAAUACUUAAGUAUUAUUGAAAAUCUGGUUGAAUACACUAGAGUUUGACUGUGUGUGCUACUAUUAACCAACAUAACCACCACGCGAGCUAAUCGUGGUGUACGAUGUAUUUGUCUCAUCAAGAGGACCAAAUAUACCUUGCAAGGGGUAUAAAGGCAUGAUUGGCGUGAUCACUAAAUUUGAUACCCACCUAGGGGACUUAUACUCCUUAAGGGAAUAUAUUUCUAGGACUCUGAAGAUAUGGUGAACCCUAGUACAACUCGGUGUUAAGUCUACUCCCAACUGAAAAUAUGUAUAACACAACAGAUCUGAAAUACUAGAUAGCUCAAUAUUCGGACAUGCAAAUAAGAGAAUGCAACAUCAAUGUACUGACAAUGAAACAUUCAAAAUAUGGGGCAUAUAUAUUUGUUUAACUGACCUAGAUAGUGUAAUUCAUGAACUAACUAAUCGACACAACUAGGGUUCCAAGUUUCAUGCAAAGAACUAAGCAAUGGGUCCACAAAAAACAUAAUAAUUUGAUUAGGAAUACUAUAUGAGAUAAUUCAUUAUCAAUCUCUAAGGUUUUAGCAAACUCAAGGUCUAAAUAGUAUAUAAGAGUCAAGAAUCUAACUAAAAUCCCAUAAACCUAGUUAAAAGAUUCACGUAGAAAUCUUUCGAUUUCGGGGCUGGUACUAAAAAGCAUCUGCUAAAUUCUUGGAAGGGUUUUAGGGUGCCUCUUUUCACCUCUAUUCUUCUUAGUUUGAUGAAUUUUUAGUGAAUGAAUCACUUAGAAAAGGACUGACUAAGUUACUAGGCUUAAACUGACUAAAACUAUGUAGUUUAAGGAUCAAACGAUGUAGAUUAAGUGUCCAAAACAUAAGCAAAAUGACUAAAAUGACUUUGACUUAAUUAUGACAAAGGCUACCUACGGAGGGACCUAUAAUCCGUGGGUGGAAUUACUAACGUAGGUAGGGGUCGUCAGUGAAGUCAGCCCGAUAGGGCUUCACUAAAAUGAGCAUAUCUUUAUACUCGGAGAUGGGAUUUUAGCAAACUCGAUGGGCGUUGGAAAUAGGAUUUAAUUAUAUUUCAUUUGAUAGGUCGUGUUCCACCUAAGUUUUUUUGUCUAAGAGUUAUGAAAGUUUGAAGUUGACCCAACAACAAUUUCCCUAUAAGUGGUUGUUGACCCUCACCUACAGUUAGACCCACGGUCUGUAGGUCAGAGACGAUAAGGAUUUGGGCUUAACGACGAAACCCCAUAGUCCUACCUACGAUACUUUGGUGGUUCCGUCGGUACUAACAACAAAUUUUUUGAAAACUAGAUUUUUCUUCGUUUUGAUAUCUGAGGUGUUACAACUUAGUCAUUCGAUCUACAAUCACUCAAAUUGAAUCAUGUUGCCUGGGAGAUGUAAACCAGUAAUAAAUUCCAUAUUGAUCACCUCUCACUUCCAUUCUGGAAUAUUUAUGUUCAGAGCCAUACCAUGGGCCUCUAGUGCUCUACCUUGACUUUUUGGAAAUUCAGGCACUUAGCUAUAAACUUUGAAUACCCUCUUUAUAAUACUCCACCAAUAGACUUCUCUCAAGUAAUGAUAAAUUUUUGUUGAACCAAGAUAGAUUGAAUAUCUGGAGCUCUGAGCUUCCUCCAUAAUCCUUUCUUGGAGUUCAUGUGCCUUUGGUACAUACAAUUUACCUUGAUACUUCAACACUCUAUUUCCCCCUUGUUCAAAAGUCAUCACUUUAUGCUUAUGAACAAUUACCUUCAAUUCAAACAAACUUGGGUCUUUGUCUUUUUUUUUUUUACUUUAUACAUUAAUGAUGAUUCAUCCUCAUUCAUCGACACCAUUCCUCCUUUAUUAGAAUCCAUUAACCAGACUCCCAAUCGUGCAAGUAUGUGCACAUCUUUGACUAAUUAUUUCUUGCCUUCCUCAAAAUGGGUGGUACUACCCAUAGACAAUAUUUUCAAAGCAUCAAUGACAACAUUAGGCUUACUUGGGUGAUAUAAAAUACUCAUGUCAUAAUCAUUGAGUAUCUCAAACCACCUCAUAUGUAUGAGAUUAAGCUCUUUCUAACUGAAUACAUAAUGAAGGCUCUUGUGAUCAAUGAACACAUAUACAUAAACACCGUUAAGAUAGUGAAACCAUAUUUUCAAAGUGAACACUACAAUAACCAACUCAAGAUCAUGGGUUGGGUAAUACUUCUUGUGAAUCUUAAGAUAUCUGGAGGCAUAAGUUAUAACUUUGUCAUUUUGCAUCAAUACACAACCCAUUCCAACUCUUGACGCAUUAUAAUACACAACAAAACCUUUUGUACCUUCUGGUCAUGUCAAAAUUGGGCAGUAGUCAACCUAGUCUUUAAUUCUUGAAAGCUUUUCUCACAAGUUUCAAAGCAUCAAAACUUAACUGUUUUCAAAGUCAAGUUAGUCAACAGGGAUGAAAUAGAUGAAUACCCCUCGACCAACCUCUUAUAGUAACCAGCCAAUUCCGAGAAAAUCUUAAAACUAGUUGGAGAUAUGGGUCUAUGCUAGUUCUGCACUGCCUCAAUCUUCUGAAUGUCAACUCGAAUCCCAUCACCACAAAAAAUGUGAUCUAAGAAUGCCACUGACUUAAGACAAAACUCACACUUAUAAAAUUUGGCAUACAACUCUCUAUCUCUGAGAGUCUAGAGCACAAAUCUGAGAUGACUAGCAUGAUCCUCCUCAUUUUUUGAAUAAAUCAAUAUGUCAUCAAUGAAAACGACAACAAACAUAUCAAGAUAGGGCUUGAACACUAUGUUCAUAAGAUCCAUGAGCGGUGCAGUAACAUUCAUCAAACCAAAAGUUGUCUUUGGAAUAUCAUUCUCUCUUAUUCCAAUCAGAACGGUGUCGUUUAAGCACGUUUAGAAUGGAAUCUUCAAAUAAUGUGAAAUUGCAAUUACUUAGAGAUUGAAAAAUGUCACUCACUAAUUUAUUUGCUUUAUUCUUGAGAAGGGUCUGCACUUUCAACGCACAGUUUUCUUUGUUGGAUAUUGUGUGCAUUAGGCGAUGAAAGUGACUCGUCAUUUUGGGUUGAAAACCGUAGAAACGCUGAAUUCUCCGGUAGAGUUCUUUAGUUGACAUUCCGAUGAACUUUCCGGUGGAACGCCGGAAAAAUAGAUUUUAUUGGAAUGAAAGCAAGAGCAAACAAGAGCAAGUCAUAUAAGAGAGAGUUUAAUUUGUGAAUUGUGAAGGUUGGUAUUAUCUAGGUGACAAAAUAUUUAUCUAGGUGGAAAAAUAUUUAUCUAGGUGUCGUGUGCGUGUAGACACAAUCGUAGUGAGUGGACAGAAAAGGUGUACACGUUCGAUGAAUAAGCAAGUUCAGGGAGAUAAUUGAAACAAAAUAAAGUUUAGGUGUACACUGAAUAAAAGCUACAAAUACAGGGGGUAAUGAAUACUUUUGCCAAAAAAGAAUGAGUAUAUUUCCUGAUCAUAGAAGAACGAAUAUACAUACAUACAUACAUACAUACAUACAUACAUACAUGCAUGCAUGCAUGCAUACAUACAUACAUACAUAUAAUAUAUAUAUAUAUAUAUAUAUACACACACACACACACACAUACACACACACACAUAUAUAUAUAUAAUAUGAGUGGCUACAAGUCUUUGUUCUAGGAUUGUAGCUAUUGGUAAUUGUUGAACAUUGAAUUUUAUGAAUUAAUUUGUGUUAUUAAAGAAAUUACUUCAGUAUUCUUAUUUUAGUAUUUCAUUAUUGGCCACCAUUUAUAUAAAUAUAUUGUAUAUUUUUGAACUCGAGAGACGAAUAUGCAGAUAGACCAAAGAAUAUAAUUGAUAUUUCUUACAAAGCACUUGUUUAGAUUCAUGUUAGGACUGACACUCAGACGAACAUCAAACUUGAUUACAAAAUGAAGAAAAUGAUUGUCAAUUGAGUGUAUUUCUCCCAGCUUAAUGAUGUAGUUAAACAUUCAAUAUGAAGAGGCGAUUAGAGUACGAGAGAUCAUGAUCAUAACAUUAACCCUGUAAAUCAAUAAUUUGAUAAUUUUAAAUAAGGUCUAACACAUCGGUGGCCCCUUAAACUUGACAUGGAGUUUCAGCUAGACACCUUAACUAGUCAGUGUUCAUAUUAGACACCUCAUGUACGGUAUCGCUGGGUCAUUUUGACACUUUUUUCAAAUCAACAAAAAUAUAUGAAGUGUGUGUAUCACACUCGCGAAUGACGUGUAAAGUGACAAAUUAAACAAUGACAUUUGUCAUUUAUGUCAAAACUAAUUCUUAAAUAAUAAAUUUUAAGUAAAAAUAAAAAAUAACCAAUGAAUUAAUGACAUGUGAAUUUUUGCCCAAAUAACUAUUUAAAAAAAUUAAGCUAAUACCCCACUCCCACCCUCACAACCUUCUUCUCCAAACACCCCAGUUCAAUACCCUCACAACCUUCUUCUCCAAACACCUCACCCGUUUUGCAGUACACACCCCGUUCUCCCCCCAAACCCAUUUUGCAGAGUCCCCCCCAUAAAAAAACUCAGAAGUGAUUUUCUUGUGCAAAAACAUAUUAGCAUAUUUUUUUUAAAAAAUACUAGUAUGUAAAUAUUUAAUUCUUUUGGAAAGAAUAUCAUGAAUUGAUUUACUAAGUAAAUCCUAAAAUUGAUAUAUUUCCAAAAUUUCUAAAACAAUUUUUGUCAUCUUUCAAUUGCUUAUGGUAACUAUUUUGGUUCACCAUAGUUGGAUGUUUGAGUUUCAAAAAUGGUGGUUGAAGGUGAGAAAGAAGAAGAAAAAAAUUAAAAGUCAACUAAAUAGGUUUUUCACGCGCGGUCAACGAGUGCAUUACACUCACUAAGCCAUGUAAGCAUAAAGUGUUAAAAUGAUACAACAAUUUCGUACAUGAGGUGUCUAAUAUAAACACUAACAGUUAAGAUGUCUAAGUGAAAUUUUGUGCCAAGUUUAAGGGGCUACCGAUGGGUUAGGCCUUUAGUUGAUUCAUACAUGAGAUGGGAUACAUAUAGCCUUAAGUAAGCUAUAGAAAAACACAAGUUUCUUGACAACACUUUAUUUAAUUUGUUGAAUUAGUAGAAUUGAUUUGAAUUUAUCGUAAAGUCCUUUGGGUUCUACAAUUCAGUUCUAAAAGAGUUAUUAAUUACUUCUACGACCACAUAUAUUCGUGUGUGCAUUUAAGAGCAACACUACUGAUAGGGUUAUUGAUGUCCUAACCAAGCCACUUCUACAUGAUUUUUUCAAUCUAUGUUUAACAAGUUGAGUAUUGUAGAUGUCAACACCAAUUUGUGGGGCUGUAAAAGAGAUAUACGUGACUAAUUUUAGUUAUCUACUUGUACAACUGGAGUUAGUUGUUGUAUCACUUUAGGACUCAUUGUAAUAUCAACUCCUAUAUAUUCUUCUUUAGUGUAUGAGCAAAAGAUAAUUCUUCUCUUUCUCUAUCUAGUCUUAUUAAGUACCUUUAAUUUCAAGUGAUUAAGUUAGAUAGAUUAUGUAGCUAGAAUGGAGUGCUACAAUAUUCACAAUUUACACGUUGUUUUUAUUAUUAUCAUUAGAUAUUGUUUCCUAAUGCAUCAUAUCAUAUUCAAAUAUUAAUUAGUUUGUUGGGUAAGAAAAGAGACACAAAUUCGUUGUAUCGUUUGAAUUUUUUUUAAAUAAACUAUAAUGUGUAUGAGAAUACUCUAAAGUGGUUUAUACAUGUUAAAUUGUGUUGGGAUUUGGAUUUUCUUAUUACGGUAUUCUUCAACUUGUCAUAAGUUACAAGUAUAUUUUACGAGUUGCAAAAGUUCUCGAACACACAAAAAUAACUUAAAAUUUUAAACUAAAGUUCUUAAACAUAAUUGUAUGUCAAUAUAAGAUAGAAAUUAAAUAUUUUUAUAUUAUGAAGCUAAUAUUGGAAGGUUUUUAUUAAGCAUGUCUACACUAGGAAAUAUACAUAGUUGAAAAAGAGAAAAUUUAGAAAAUAGACAAAUACAAUUUUUAAAAAAACCUCAAUAAUUGUCAUCAAUUUACAUAUUAACUUAUUAAAACAUUAAUCACAAAAGAAUGAGAAUAUAGAAACUUUUCCAAUGAUUCAGAAAAAUAAUUUAACUAAAAAUAUUACGGUAUUUGUAAUUACAUUAGUUCGGAUCGACAAAGAUAGAACGAAACAAAAAAGGAAUUUCAUUAAUAUUAUGAUUUGGGUCAAAUCCUACCGAACAAGGAAUCAUCAUAAAUAUUUUUAAUUUUUUGUUAUUUGAGUUCAUUUUCAUUAAAUAAUAUGAUGAUUCUAUCGAUAUAAAUAUAUCUUUCAAAUAAAGACUCAACAUUACAUUUUCUUGCAUUCUCAAAUCAAAAGCUUAGUCAUGAAAAGCCCUAAUGGCCAUAGAAGAAUUGAAAUUGCAAGGAAUCAAAAUCAAACCAACUUACAAGUAACAUUCUCAAUUGUGAAUAGAUUUCUGGGAGAGAAUCCUACACCUAACAUUGAUCAUCCUAACCCAUCAUUUAGCUCAUCUAAAUGGCAAUGUUGAUGAGAUCAAUGGAAAGCUGAAAAAGUUGGACAGACAACUCGAAAGAGAACGAAACAUCCACAAGCACUUCAAGCAUUAAGGACAGAACCUUCACAUAAAAAUCCUUAGCAUCUUUCACUUUAAAAUCCUACGCGAGUCCUUGGAAGAUGUGGAUGAAGAAGUUGAAAGAGUAGCAAGAUAACCCAUGGUGUUUGGUAUUGAAUUUCAAUAUUAAACCAUUGGAAGUGCUCACUCCUUUAGGAGUUAGGGAAAGCACUUGUUGUGAUUCCGACAAAGGGUCACCUGGAUCCGGUGUUUUUCUUGCUUUAUUUAAGUUCAUUGACUUAGUUUGGUUUUUAUAAAUUUAAGAUGUCAUAUUAAUAAAAUAUCAUUAAAAUCAUAUUUUAUCUGAAAACAUCUUUAAUUCAUAAAAAUCUGAGUUCAAAAAGUCUAUAUGUGAAACUAGCAUAGUUGUGAUCAUGAAAAUACUUCCAUGUCAUAAGUUCAUAAUAAUGUCAUUGAGAUAAUUAACUUAUAACAAAUUCAUGCAUUAUAAGAUUAAUCUUGAAGAAGAAAUUGAAAUUCAAUAAACCAUACGAAAGGAAUAAAAAUGUUUUUCGUUUGUAGUUGGUCCAAAAAUGCCCUUCUCUGGUCCAAAAAUGCUCUUCUCAUCAAUAAUUUGGUCUUAAAAUGCCCUUAUUGUUAUUUGGGGGGGGGGGGGGGGGAAAUGCUCAUUUUUUCAAAUAAAUAUAUUAUUUAUAUUUCUUUUUAACACAUUCUUUUUCUAAUAAUAUUUUUUAAAAGAAUUUUUUUAUCUUCAUAUAAAAAUGAAAAUACGUUUUGUUUUUUUACAAUUAUUUUCAUUGAUAUAUAAAUAUAAAUUAGUGAUGGAUAUACUAUAAUCUUACACAUAUAACAUAUACUAUCCGCGAGAUGGUACAUGAUGUUAUUUUUAUUUUACUUGAUAACAUGCGAUUAAGAAGAAAAAAUUAUUUCCUGCAAUUUUAUUUAAGUGAUUUUAAAAGAAAGAAAAUAGUUCUUUAAUAAUUUAAUUAAGAAGAAAAUUUGGUUAAAAGAAAAAAAUAUAUAUUUAUUUUGGAGAAGGGCAUUUUUGACCCAUUUUAGUAACUAUAGGGGCAUUUUUGGAUCAAGUAUUGACUACAAGGGUAUUUUUGAACCAAAGUAUUGAUGACAAGGACAUUUUUGAGGCAAACUAUUAAUGAAUGGCAGUUUUAUUCCUUUCGCAUAGUUUGAUGACAUUUUUUACCUUUUUCCAUUAAGAAAUUAAGGUUUCUUUGGAACUCAAUGAAUGAAAAAGGACCCAUUGGUGAAGUUCCCACAUACCCAUGAUAAAAAUCCUAGUAAAUCCUUUAAUGGAGACUUGAGAUCAUGAAGCCCUAAUUGCUUGAGGGAGAAGACUUGAGGGAGAGGGAAUUGGAAUUUUGGGAGAAUAUAUGAGUAAAUGGGGUAGUUAGGGGUUUUAGGAGUCAGUUAUAGUCUUCAAAAUAAUUCUAAAUGGCGUAGUAUAGGUACUAAAAGAGUGAGAAAAGACUCAAUUAACCCUGAAAUAAAAAUUGUUGAAUAGGCUUAACGAGACCAUCUACACACCGUAGUUCCUUUCACAAAACGUAGAAUCCGUCUAUAGUAAUCAACUUAAAAUCCUAAGCUUCUGAACUCUAAACCACAAACCCCUUUUACGACCUGUAAUGUCCACUUGUUGAAUUAAGUUGCUGAAAAAACACCAAGUCUCUAAAGAAGAACUAAGAAAGCAUUUUACGACAUGUAGUCCUUUGUAUAACUCAUACUACCUUCUCGUAGAAGCUAAUGUACAAAAAUUUCUCAAUUCUCAAGUCUGACUCUACAGGACCCAACUACGAUUCGUAGUUCCUUUCGCGAGCCGUACUAUUGUCUCGUACAUGACAUCCUGAAGUUUUGAAGUUUCAGGGCUUGUUUCCAUGAGCCUAUUCACGACCCAUAUAAACAUCUACAAUCUGUAGUUCCUUUCUGCACAUUCUAAAAAAAAUUAGUUAUACACAUCCAAGGUGUUGCACUUGAGGUGAUCGAGGUUGUUUGAAUCGUGGCGAGGUUGGACACUACGUCAGAAAUUGCCCCAAGUGUAAGGUUGUAGCACCUACGAGUAGAGGCGGUGCUUAAGGCCGAGAGGUGGUCCCCCAAGUGAUUGAGAAAGUACUCAGGUAGGUAGAGCAGAUGGAAGAGUUUGACUAUAGUUUGUGGGAGGAUGUGGGGAUUUUUACGUGGUUCCUACUAGGUCAGAGUGUAAGGCUUUAGAAUAAGUGAUUGCAAGUACGAUCUCAUUUUUUUAUUGAUCGACCUUUGCUUUAUUUUAUUCAGGAUCUAGUUAUUCGUACGUAUAUGUUUAUUUCUCUCCUCGAUUAGAGAUGCAUUUUGAGCACUUGUGCUAGAGUUUGUAGAUGUAUUUCCUACUAACUUACUUGGCCUUCACCCUGAACGUGAUAUUGAUUUACCUAUUAACCUUGACUCGAGCACUCAUUCUUUGAGUAAGGGCUUUAUUAGAACGAUUGUCUCACCUUAGUGUGAUCCCAUACUGUUUAUAAGAAAAAGGAUAGGUAUAUGCGUAUGUGAAUCAAUUACAAUCAGCUCAAAAGGGUGACAGAGAAGAAUAAGUGUCAUAUACCUUGUAUCAAUCUUUUUGAGAAAUUGGAUGAGAGUUGAAAGAGAGAAUAUAGAGUUUUGAUUGAUUAGAUGAUGAGAUGGUCAUCGAAUUCCUAGCGUGUCCUUUUAUGUGUGACUUGUUUGGUCAACUUCGGGGUGUUAUGGUGUUUUCUAAGAUUGAGUUGAAGUAUGGUUAUCAUCAACUAAGAAUUAGGGUGAAGGAUAUCUACCUUUAGGUGUUUUCCUACUGUGGAAAAAGUACUCUCUGGAUUACUAAAUCACCAUAUAAGUAAUCAUAACUCAUAAGACUACAUUCAAAUACUACUUGGCACUGAUACUUCAUCAAAUACUGGGCCAGUGCGCGCACGGCUAACAUCAUCUAGUAAAUGAAACAAAGAUCAAUAGAAAGAGUCGUGAAGGACGUCAGAGUGAAGAUAGAAUCAGUUAUCUGUCAUGCACAAGCAAUGGCUCUUUCUUUUCCUGUAGCAAGAUAUCAUACAUGAUUCGGAGUUAUCAUUCCAUCAUUUAUUGCAACUAAAAUCUAGUCCUCAGCAUCUAGUACUAUACAAGAUUCAAGGUAGCCAAUUGUAGGUUUUAACUCGUACAAUUGUACCACUUUUAUUUGAUCAGCCCUAUUCUAGUAACAGCAGUGGUCUAUAACAUUUUCCAGCCAGCAACAGAAAGAAGAGAAUUAGACAAUGAUAAGCUGAAACAUAGAAUGUUAGAAAUUUCCUGUAGCAAGAUAUCAUACAUGAUUCGGAGUUAUCAUUCCAUCAUUUAUUGCAACUAAAAUCUAGUCCUCAGCAUCUAGUACUAUACAAGAUUCAAGGUAGCCAAUUGUAGGUUUUAACUCGUACAAUUGUACCACUUUUAUUUGAUCAGCCCUAUUCUAGUAACAGCAGUGGUCUGUAACAUUUUCCAGCCAGCAACAGAAAGAAGAGAAUUAGACAAUGAUAAGCUGAAACAUAGAAUGUUAGAAAUAUUGGUAGUGCAAUAGAAAAGACAAUGAUUCUAAUCUUAGAUCAUCUACUCAUCUAACGUCAGAAACUCAACUGAUAUAUACAGAGUCAACAAACUAUCCUAUCAUGAUGAUCUUUCUUCAUAUUUGAAAUCGUAACAACUUUAUAACAUCAAAAUGAAGGAGUAACCCCCUUGGGAUUAAAAUAUAUAAAGAUUCAGGUCUAUGCAUAACACAACAUUCCGUCCAAUAUAAGCACAAGGACAUAUCCACGGAGGCAGAUUUAUUCUUGUGCAAACAUCAAAUAGUACUGUAUCAAUUUGGCUUUAUAACAGAUCUUUUUCCCUUCUUUAAUAAUCGAGAAAUCAGCAUAUAUCACAGUCUUCUAAGAUCGGUGGAUAAUAGGUCCUCCCCUCUACUCUUCUCUGCUUAAAAAUCGGGUUUUGCUUUGCAUGGUGUGAGACUCGAACCUGCGACCUAAGCCACAAAUCCUUCACCUUUUGCCACUCAAGCUAGGAUUGGGGGCAUGUUUAAACUUUUUUAUACAUUAAUAUGAGUAAGAAAAUAAAGAUUUUCAUAUUGUUAAAGCUAAUAGUGGAAAGUUUUUUAUUUAGCAUGUCUACAUUAGGAAAUAUACAUAUUCAAUAAGAGCAAAUUUAGAAAAUAUACAAAUACAAUCAAAAAAAAUUAUCCUAGAAACUAUCAUCAAUUUACAUAUUAAUUUUGCUAAAACAUAUACUUUAGUUACGAAUUUUGACAAAGAUACAAUGAACAAAAAAAGAAUUUAUUCAUAUUAUGAUUUGGGUCAAAUCCUACCAAAUAAAGAAUAUCAUCAUAAAUAUUUUUACUAUUUUGUUAUUGAGUUCAUUUUUCGUCAAAUAAUAUAAUGGUUCUAUCUCUAUAAAUACAUCUUUAAAACAAAGACUCAACAUUACAUCUUUUUACAUUCUCAAAUCAAAAGCUUAGCCAUGAGAAAACCCAAUGGCCGUAAAAAAAUUGAAAUUGUGAAGAUGCAAAAUCAAACCAACUUACAAGUAACAUUCUCAAAAAGACGUGCUGGCCUAUUUAAAAAGGCAAGUGAGCUCUCUACUUUGUGUGGUGCUAAUGUUGCUAUUGUAGCUUUUUCUCCCAGCAACAAAGUAUACGCAUUUGGACAUCCUUCCGUCGAGUCAAUUGUGAAUAAAUUUGUCGGGGAUAAUCCUCCACCCGACACUGAUGAUCCUAACCCCAUUAUUGUAGCUCAUCAAAAUGCCAAUAUUGAUGAGAUCAAUGAAAAGCUUAACAGGUUGGAGAUAUCACUCAAAAGAGAAAGAAAACAUGGGCAAGCACUUCAAGCAUUGAGGAUAGAACCUCCAAAUGAAAAACUUAGCUUUUUUGACCUUAAGAUCUUGUGUGAGUCCUUGGAGGCUGCGGAUAAAAACGUUGAAAAACUAGCAAUCCAACUUGUGGAGUGUGGUAUUGAAUUCCCAUAUCAAACUAUUGGAAGUGCACUCGCUCCUUUAAGAGCUACGGAAAGCACUCCGUCCUAUUCCGGCGAAGGGUCAUCUGGUUCCGGUGAAUAGCUUUUUCUUGCUUUAUUUAAAGUUCAAUAACUUCAUUUGGUAUUUAUAGAGUUAAGUCUCUUUCAUAUUUAUGAUUAAGUUUUGAUCAUAAUUUUAUCUUUCAGUAUGUUCAUCAUGGAAUGGGAUAAGCUUUUAUUUUGGUACUUUAUUCGUUCGAAUUACUUUGUCUUACUUUUUUUUGGUCCAUUUAAAAAAGAAUAUCUUUUUACAACACUUAGUUUAUAAUUUUCACAUAUCAUGGUAACCUUCCUAAGUAAUAACUACUACCCAAUGUCGAUCUAAAGAGUUUUUGUUGUCAUAGAUAAUUAUACAUUAAAGGAGGUACAGAACAUAAUUUGUCCCCUGUAUUUUAGAGAAUCUAUCCACCAAGUUUUACCUUCAGAUUGCUUCAAGACAAGCACCACGGAUCAAUUAAAGAUUGUUAUUGUAAGACUAAUAUAGUACAAAGCAAGUGCAAGUUUCUCCGCUAUUUUUUAUGCUUUUAGUUAUGGUUCCUGUCAGUAUGAAACAAACUCGAUUCUAGCACAAGAAUUAUCAUAUAUAUUUAUCACUGCAUACAAGUUACAACGUAGAAUAUGCACAAAAAAUAAUAACACACUAAUUAGGGAGAGAUUAUCAUAGAGAAAGGUAACUAGAAGGGGAUGGUAUACUAGAACAGAGAAAGAUGAUGAGAGAUAACUGACAGACAAAAUUUCGACAGAAUUAACAAAAGGUUAUUGGUCAUGGAUCCCAAAUAAAAUUCUCUAAUAACUCAUAGACCCUUACAAAGUUAGUUUGGUUCAUAACACAGUCCCUAAGGUUUUCGAGUUAGGUACUUCCUUUCAACUCAUGAGUUGUAAUAUAUACAUUGUAUUACCUGUCCUAAAAUAUUGUGGGGAUUUACUUUUUUCUUUUAAAUAUUUGUGCAACAUGUCUCUGGAUUCAGCAUUUGUGUCAACAUAACUAGUAUGAGCUGCCAAGAUGCUAAAGUAUGAGUACUUUUAUUAAUGACAGUACACCAAGUAAUGACUUGACUUAAUUCUUCAUUAUAAAAAUAUGCCCAAAUCUAUAACAUGAUAUGAAGUACAAUAUGAUGAAGAAAAUACGAAAUGUAACAUCUAUGCAACACUAAGAUUAAAAAUUCUCGCAUCCAAAUACUCUAUCAAAUCAACAAAGUUCGCAGAUCCAAACAUUGUUUUGGUUGUAAGAUACUGAUUUCUAUCAACCCCAUUCAAUUCAAGGAAUUCAAAAACAGUGAAUUCUAAAUAAUCUAUGACGUAGGAAUGAUAGUGAACCAAGACAUGGAAGUCUAAUGCAAAAGAACACCCUUGUUUAUCGAGACUUCAUGCAGUGCAAGAUGAACAAGGAACAGCUUGAACUAAGAGGAAGCAGAUUAAUUCCUGUGCAAGCACAAAUCUGAUAGUAUGUGGCAUUACAAUAAACUGAUGUAAAUCCAUGAAAUGUUGUUCUUUACACUUUAUGCUACAGGUUCAUAGACUAGAUCUUCUAACAUGUUAAUUGGCUAAAGAGCUUCCUUGAAAUUGCAAGCAUAGAUAUCCUAGACAAAAGAAAAAACAGAGGCUUUUGAGUAAUCUAAAGGAGAUGUUCCUGUAAUACCUGUAUACAACAUAAUCUUGUGCAUCACAAAAUACAUGAACCCUCAGUUGCCAAAGUAAGGAGAGACAAGGCUAUCCACAAAAGUUUCGAGCUUCAUACGUAACAGGAUUUACUUCAAUCAAUAGAUCCUUACACGAAUUGUCUUUCAGAUUGUAGACAACCCAUUUCUUCGUCGACUUCCGAUAAACAUCAUCAUCAUUAGUAGUGGAACACAAUAGCGUACUUACAGAAUCAUCCAAACUCAGUUCUAUAAACUCAAAUUUGGUCCAAUACUCCUUAAGCCCAUACUCUUUCAUGAUCCAAAAUGUAACUGUGUUUAUGUCUCGGGGUAAACUGGUGGAUAUACAAAGACACCCUUUAGAAGUUGCAAUAUUACACAUCCAAAUACUCUUUCAAUUCCUUUUACAUUAAAUUACUUUUUUUUUUUAUUCAUCUUAGUUUACCUUGUUGUUACCCCAAUGGAUGGGACCGUAAAUCUGACAAUGUUGACUCCGUUGCUCGGCCUGAGUUGAUAGUUAUUUUCACUGACGACGAAUUUUUAAUUAAUUAAACACGAGACCACCAAAUCGAUAUUGACUCAUGUGUGCUUCUCGCUAUUUUCUCGCUACUGUGAUUGUCUUUUCCUUUUUUUCUAUUUUAUUUUAAAGAUUAUGCUCUUUAUGUUUUUGUUUUAUUUUCAUUGUUCUGUAAUCGACACACAAUUUCACAUUGCAAAUAGUCAAGCAAUGCCCCUUUUUGAUAUGUAAUUUUUCUUUAGAAAAAAUUGAAAUUAUUAUCUAUCUUUUUUGGUUAAGAAGAACUAUAAAACUCCAUUUUAAUGGAGUUUCAAUUCCAUCAUUAAUAUAAUAGUUUUGACUAUGAAGAUAAUGUGAUUUUAGAAAUGGUGAGGUUUGAGUUUAGUAAAUGAUAGAAUAGCAAUGACUUCAGUGGAGAUUGAUUCGCGGCGGCAAGCAAGAUGAAAGUGAUUUUCCGGUAGGUGAGGAACAAUUUAAGGGGAUAAAAUUGGUGAAGAAAUUUUAAGGGGAUGAAAUUGGUGAAAGAAGAAUAAAAAAGGAAAGAGAAAGAGAGAGCUGAAAAAAAAGUAAAAAAAUAUACUGUUCAAAUUUAGAGUACCACAUGGCAUUUUCACAUUGGUUUGAAGGUAUAUAAAUAUCCCUUCACGCGCCAACAUUUCGUGAUAUCACGGAUACCGAGAAAAUAGAACAAAAUGGUGUAUUUACUAUGGAUAUAUAUUGUUUCAUGGGGUGAUAGGACCCCCGCAAACUUAAGAUGUCUACUUGAAAAAAAGGUAUAAGUUUCAUGGGGUAAUUAUGUAUUUCCUCAACUUUUAUUUGUAUUUCAUGGCCAAACACAAUCAAAUAAUAUUGGUAUUAUUUUCAUUUUAAAAAGGUUGAAUAUAUAAAUAGAUCUCUACACUUGUUGAUUUUUCCCCUCAUGUACCUUAACUAUGUUAUUUUUCUAUUGAAUCAUUAAAUCAUCCAUACUUUGUUUCUUUAAACAAUGUUGACUGAUGUAGAACCACAUUUUGUGAGGGGUAUUCAUAGAGGACACAUAUAUUGCUUAAACACAGUUGACUGAUGUGAAACCACAACUAUGUUAUUUUUCUAUUGAAUCAUCCAUAAUUUGUUUCUUUAAACACUGUUGACUGAUGUGGAACCACAUUUUGUGAGAGGUAUUCAUAGAGGAUACAUAUAUUGUUCCAGAACUCAUUAGUCCAAUUGAUAGUGAAAAUACUCGAGAAUAAUUGUAUUUACUUCAAGUCAUUUGAAUAUAUUAGAAAACAAAUGAGACUAACACACAAUUUGUCUUAAUUCGUUCAAUCAAAAUCAUUACAAUACAAACACACUUAAAGGCUUUUACAAUAGAAAAGUCGAUCAAAUAUCAGUCAACAUUGUUUAAAAGGAACAUAUUAUGAGUGGUUCAAUGCUUCAAUAGGAAAAUGACGUAGUUGAGGCACCUGAACGAAGAAUUCAAAAAUUUAGGAAUUUGUUUAUGAGUUCAGCAUUUUAAAAAAAUAAUUGAUUCAUAAUAAACUUGGUCAAACGUCCACUUAUGAAUGAAUUAAUGACUUAUAAAUUUACAUAUUAUAUUUUAAAUUUUUUUAAUAUUAUAUCACUUCUGGUAGAGCUUUUAAAAUGGUUGUUCAACUCAACUCAACCAACCUUACGAUUUAGAGAGUUAAAUGGGUGGGGACGAGCUAGCUCUUUUAAUUAAAAGGCUUAUAAAAUAGCAGCUCAACCUAGCCCUAAGCGGGCCACUGGUUGAGACGGGUCAGUCUUUCACCCAAAUAAUAAACUUCAUUGGUUUUUUAGUUAGAGUAUCUAAAAAUAUUGAACGUUGAUGUUUGUUGAACAGAACAUCAAUACACACAAAAAAUCAAGUGUGAGUUACAUACUUUAGUGAUUACUUACAAAAAUAUAUAAUAGUCAAGAUACAAUAUCAUAAGAUUCCUCCUACAAAAAAUAUUACAUAAUCAAUUUUUUUACAAAAAGACAACAAAUAGGAGAUGAAAAAUUAGACAUAAAAACAAAAGUAGGCCUAAUUUUAGUGGGGUAAUGGCCCUUAAAUGUAAAAGAUCUACAAAGGAGUAAAACUUGAUUUUAUAUUUUUUUUUAAAUCUUUUAAAAAUUAAAACACUACGUAGUGUAAAUCACAUAAAUCUCACAGUUUUAAUAUAAAAUUACAAUUUAUCUCUAAUAAGUUUCUAAUUACACUAAUUCCUUAAAAACAAAGAAAAAUCGAAUAUAAUUGUUGAAGCUUGGAUACAUAAAAUAUUAUUUCAGAUACAUUAAUAUAUAGCUUGGAUACAUAAUAUGUAGCUAAUGUACAUCACACCGGCUAGGAUAGAUUAAUAUGUAGCUCAGAUACAUUAAAAACUAGCUCGGAUACAUUAAAUACUGGCUUUGAUACAUUAAUAUACAACUCAGAUACAUUAAAGAAAUAAGGAAUUUUGGAGAUUUUUAAAAAUAAUAAGGGAUAAUGGAAAUAAGUGAAACAAAUGUGUGUAUUUCUGUAAUUUGUCCAUAUUUUUAACAUUCAUAGCCCAUAUGUUAGUCUUUAAGCCUUGUAGGUUGGGUCAACGAGGCUAUCGGGCCAAAUGAGGCUGGGCCAUAAUGCCUCAUUUCUAAAUGGGCCAAAAAAAUUAGACUCAACCCUUUAAUUAAUUGGGAAAUUUUUAAAAAUGUCAAUAUUUUAGUAUUUAAUAGGAAUUCUUAGCCACAUUUUCAAUAUUUAUUGAAAAUGUCAAUAUUUUAAUUGAUUAUGUAUUUGAUUUAUAUUUUUAUUAUUUGUUUUAAUUGAAAGAAAAUAAAUAUUUAUUAACAGAAAGGAGAAAUUUAUGGGAGAGAAUAUCUUUUUAAAAAAACAUAUCACUUAAAAUUCUCUUCCGUUACUAAUUCUAAAGAUAUGUCCCCUUGUUGAUGAAAUUUCCCUAUAUCAAUUUUCUAAGUUUUCAUCUUAUAAUACUUAAACUCUAAUGAAGUGAAUUCAUUUAUUUUUUUUAAAAAAAAAAAAACUAUUUCGGAAAAAACUUUGAAAACAAACAGGUCCAAAAUUUGUUGACAAUCAGCUUUAGAGAAUGAAUUUUCGAUUGAGACUUUGAUAUAACUGGUGAAAAUAUAAACUUAACCAGCUACUAUUUAAUUGUUGAAUGCUUUAUCAGUUUCAAAGUGAUUAAUAAAAGGGUAUGAAUUUUUUUUAUAAUUGUAAAGUGUAUCUAAUUUCCUUGCAAAUUGUAUGUAUUAUGAACAACGUGGAAAGAAUUAGUUUUGAUGGAGUGUUUUAAUUUUAGAUUAGUUGAAUAUAAAUAUGAACGAAUCUAGUUGUUUGAAGAUCAUUUUGUUAUGUGGCUGCUGAGUUACUCCCCCCCCCCCCCUAAAAUUGUAUCCCUAUUGAAAAAGCUAUAAUAACUAUAUUGUAAGUAUUUGAUUGUAAUACAACAAAUAAUUUUGAUAAGGAUACAAAUGUGUUGGCGAUCAUACAAUACGAUUGUAAUGAUAGGGAUAUAAUUUUGAUCGAAAAUAUAUAUUAAUGUAUUUUUUGUAACUUGAAUACAAUAUUGUUAACGAUUUCUAUUUUGUAUUUAUUAAUGUAUUUUUUUAAAAUACAACGCAAAUAUGGAGAAUAUUAAUUUUCUAAUAAUGAUUUUUGGAAGAUGGAACGAAGAGCUACAUUGAUUAUACAAUACAUAUAAUUAUGGUGAAGAAAUAUACAACAUUUAGAGAUUUAGUGGAUGAAUUUGCUAAAUAAAAUAAACUGGUGUUGAUUUGAAAUACAAUUAUGAAGCUUAAAUAUAAGCUAGAAAAAAGUAAUGCUUCUUUGAAAAUAGAUGGGAGUGAGAGUUUAUGUGUUAUUGAAGAAAGAUAACCAAAUUUGACAACAUAUUCCCUGUAUUUAAUUGUAUUUGUGAAGGAUUAUGAAUUAACAAAUAGAAAUAUGCAUGUGAAGACAGGGUUAAAAUGUGUGGAAUAGAUGGAGGAUAUAUUGUUGAGUGUUGAUACACAAACAAAAAAAUGUGUAGUUACUUUCUUGAACAUCUUUAAUGAAUAUUUUAUCUGAAAUGUAUUCAAAUGAAAAUCUAUAUUUUUACAAUUAAUGAUGUAUUCAUUUCAAUAUAUUACUUUAAAAUGUUCUUGUAUACUCAUUUGAAAGUAAACAUGAAUACGUCAAAUUGAUUGUAAAACUUUAUGAUGUCUAGAAUAUAAAAUUCAAGGUAUAUAGUUAUGAUGACUAAUUAAUUUUUGAAGAAAUACAAAAUCGUAUGAUUUUGAAAUUGAAUUUUAAAAUAAUCAAAUACAUAAAUACAAACCUUAUUUGUAGUUCGUUUGGAUGAAUACAAAAUUAAAAAGAACUGAAAAUAUUUUUGACAUACAAAGUGAACUUAAAUACAAAAUGAAAUACAAAACUAGUUGAUAUACAAUUAUGAUGAACCAGAAACUGUUUUGGCAUACACUAACGACUCUCACUUGUUUUAGUUUAUUUUCAACCAUAACCAUUUGUAAUUAGUACUCUACAAAGAGAUACAAACUAGAAUGUAAGGAAUGGAGUUCAAAAAAUAUUAUAUAAAAUAAAAUUAAUAGUAUAUGUCAAACCUUUUUAAUGAUAAAUUCAAACUUCGUAAGGUUAAAGCGUUUAUUUUGCUAAAUAAAUUAUUACAAAAAAAAAAUAUCAAUGUACAAUAGACAAAAUGAUUUAGAACCAAGCAAGAUUAGAAAGACAGAACUAAACAACUAUUUUAUUUCAAUUGUUUUAAAAUCCUUGUGAACUAUGUGAGGUCUGUUAUGCCUCGGAGGUGCCUCACACUCACUAAUGACUCAGACAUCUGUUGGCCAUAGUUCCAAAAAGGUGCAGUGUAUCUUGAUCAUAGAAUUAUUGUAUUCGAGUUACCUAUUGAAUUUUUUUUUCCACAAGGCAACUGCUAGGCAUAAGCAAACACAUAAAUACUACAAUCCCUACAUACAACAAAUUAACAAGAGAAAAUAAAAUUAACAAAUAUAUCAUAAUGAAUACAAAAUCAAAAUAAUAAAGUAUGAAUACAGUCUGAAAUAACAUGAAUAAUCUUAAAAAUGAAUACAACUAAAUAAAGUAAAUAUGUAUUUUUAAUUGAUUGAACACGAACACCACUCGUACAAUGUUCUUAGCUAGAAAAGAUUACAUUGAUAUGAUGAUUGAUGAUUGAUGAUUCCAUAUAUGUGAGUAUAAUAUCAACACUAACAUCAUGUCCACAAAUACAAAAAUAAUAAUUAAAAAAUACAUUCGAUAGUAAUAAUCACAUGUUAUCCAUAGACAAUAGCAACACUAUUCUAAGUCAAUAUACAUACUUUUUAGAUUUUGAAUACAAAGACAAUUGCUACAAGUACUCCGAUCCAAUCUAAUAGAAAAAUCAGUUUUUUAUGUGUUUUAACAACUUCAAUCGAAUAUUCAAAUAUUGUGAUGGUAAUAUUUUCAAUAAACUUAAUAUUUCAUAAAAAUAAUUAAAUACCUCUUUAUCAAUUGUUUGGUCUUUAUCAUUUUUUUGAGUUUCCCAACCGAUAUACAAAGAUUCUACACCUGCUUUAAACUUGAGGAAGAUUUUGUAUACGGAUUGGGUCAUGUACAUACUUAAAUCGUCUCUCUUCCGCAAUUUUUAGUCGUUGAUCCAAUCUUAUCUAUCAUUCUUGGAGUAAUAAAUAGAUUAAAAGAUGGAAAAUCGCUAAAACAUAAACGAUUAAGUUAAAUACCUCUUGUAACCCUCUUAGAGUCGGCCAUUAGAGAGGGGUUUUGAGGUUUUCAAUAUCCAAAACCCUAAAUUAAAUUGAAGAAGUUACUACUCCACUAACUAAACAAAUAAAAAUUUUUGAAAGAUUUAAACAAAAACAAAAUUAACAAAUCUAAAAAUCGGGUAAAGAUGCAUCUCUUAAUCAAAGUGAUUGUGAUAAAUAUCUUUAGAGGUAUAUUUUUCAUUUUUUGAAGAAAAAAAACCAAAAAAAGGGAAGAGAGAGAAUCUGGGAUUGAAAGAUUGAAGAAGAUCUGAAAAAGAUUUUUUUUUUUUGAAAACAUAUGAAAGAGAAUGUAUUGGAAACGUAUUAUUAAGGGAAUGUGAGAUAAUAAAGGAACUAAAAUAGGAUACAUUAUACUUUAUAAAAUAUUGACAUUUUGACAUUUUUAAUAAUAUUUAUAAAGUGUAGAUGUUUUUACUAAUUAUGUUAGAAUUUUUGACUAGAUUACUAAUUUUUCCUUAAUUCAAUGCUUGAAUUGGGGUGACUUGACGGGCCAAACCCAUUUUGAUAGCUCUACUUGCUAGAACCAUUUUCUUUCGGCAUAAUCAUCACAUAUUUCGUCACGACCAUGGAAAUCAAUGCGAAUAAGUAAUUUCACACCAUUAGAAAGUGACAACAACUCAAGAAAUUUGAGUCAACAAUGAUUUCGUCGCAUUUCUUCAAUCAACAAAGUAGGUUCUACAAAAAGACAAUUCACAAAGUACAACUAUCAAGACGUUGCCUUUUUCAUUUAUUAAGAUUAACCAAGUAGAAUAAUUGAACUCUUUACCUCAUUCCCACUACUCCCCAACACAUAUUAAAGGAAAAAAAUACAAGAUUCUACAAGGUUUAAAAAAGUUCACUUGCCUCAAUUCAAUCAAAAGUCAAUCGAAGACUUGAGUAUUACCUUUCCAAAACAAUAUUCAAAGCCACAAUAUAAAGCAAUCACAGUUAGAAUUCGAAAAUAACAACAGUCAUACCAAUGAGAUUGUUGAAAGUCCAGUCCGAGCAUUCAAACCCUGAAUGUUGACCAACGUCAAGAAUAAAAUUCACAAACUUUCAACUUAGGACCUCAAAUCUUUGAAACCGACAAACCAGUUACACCAAUUUUCAAAAUUCGGAACAGAUGGAAUCGACAUAAUUCUACUUCCAAGACUAAAAGGUCCAAAAGAAACCAAAAGUCACUUUUUAACAACUUUUGUUUUGAAAGUUUUUUUCAACUUUCAAAAAAAUCGUAAUUCACAACUUUUAACUCAAAACUCGAAAUCAAUUUCAAAAUCCAAUCAUAAAUAACUUGGGGACAAUAUAUACUAGGAGAGAUAAAAGAAGUAAUUUUAUGAAGAAUUCCAAAAAUGACUUUGCGUGUCAUUACAGGGUCAUCAACAUAGGCAAACCUAUAUAUAUAGGUGAGGUUCAAGUCAAUGCACCCUCCCGUAUGACCACUACAUGACCAGGGGCCGAUCCGGCUAGAACUCCAUUUCACUAUUUUAUUAUAAUUUUUGAAUUUAAAGGGUUUAUUUAAUUGUAGCAUCAAAGUUACUAGAUAGAAUAUUCAUACUCAAGACAAUCCAGUAUAAUAAAUCCACUUUACCAUUGAGCUAUCUCACUCAACUGUUUUUCAAUUCUUUUAAGAAAGCUAAAAAAGUAUGCAUAUUAUUUUAAAGUCUUAAAUUAGUAAAGUUUAAGUAUUAUCUUAGAACUUAUGUAUGAUCUAUAUAUUUGUAUUUAAUAAUUUCGGUAUUAUUCAAAUCAUUAGUGGUCAAUUAAUUUCGAUAUUUUCCUAAAUUGUUAUUGAAAGUUUUGUCAAUGCAUAAAUUAAAAUAAUAUUGAUACAUUUGUCUGCAACCUUCAAAUUCCGAAUCCAUCUCUAAUCAUCUACAUACUUAAUUAGUUCCACAAAAUAGAGUAGAAGCACCAACUAUCGCUUCCUAUUUCUCUAUACUAAGAAAUUUGUGGGAUGAGUAUGAUGUGAUACUCUAGACGAAUACCAUGCUUACUCUUUCCUUUUUCUUAAACAUAGUUUAUAUACAUAACCAAUUUAAAUAAACUAAAAAAUCAUACUAAUAAUUUCAACAAAAAUAUACUUUGAUCCUUGCACUGGAAUUGCUUACUUAAGUAGUCACACGAAUGAAAUAACUUGUGCUUAUUUUUAUUAUUAAUAAUAUCUUCAACAAGAGUACAAGACCGUGACACAAAUACUUGUAAUAUUGGUACAAAGGCAAUAGAUGAUGUUUCUCAUAUUCAAUUUAAUAUGAAUUUCUUAAGUUAUGCACGAAAUUUAGCUUUGUAAUCGCCCCAAAGUUGAUUAACUGUCUUCCCUAGUAAGUCAACAAAGAACUGAUCAUUAUAGCCAUUUCUCAUUUUCUUGUUAAGUUCUGCCACAAAUCCAUUUCUCAAGUUGUUGCAGUAAUCAAGAAAUUGAGCAGUCACGUCGUAGCCUUGGUCCCAACGAUCGCCCUGGCCAGGUUUCACCCAGUGGCUUGGACCAAGACCAGCUUUGAGCCUCACAUAAUCAGCAAUCCCUUCAAUUAAUCCUUCGGGAGCCCCAUUGUUCGCAUUCCACUGCCAAACAUGAGUGGCUUCGUGGUAUAAUACUCCAAUGAUCUCUCUCCUAACAUCCCCAGAGUAACCUUGGAUGUACCUGCAAAUGUAUACUUAACAUUUGAGUAUAAUGAGUACUAUUACUUAAUUAUAUAUGACUCACAAUCUCAGAAAGAAUCAUACAUUUCUAUAUAUACAUUUCUUAUUAUUAUUUGUUUGUUUUUUGGGAAGGGGGAGGGGUAUGUAUUUGGAGUUUAAGACGUGCAUUCACUAAUUAUUUAUUGAAUUAAUUUAAUUAUGCAUACCUUGCACUAACGUGAAUCUCAUUGUUGCUAGCGUAAGCUACUCCGUCCAUGUCAUCGACAAACAUAUUUACUUUUGGCACGUCUUUACGGUCAGCCGGAGAAUUCUGUUGGAAGAUGUUCCAUAUGAAGGAAGUGGCAGCUACCAAUGUUUGUUGACUAUAUUGAGCUCCGAUAUCUCGGUCGAAACGGGCACCACCAGGGGUGUUUGCAGCCGUGUUUGUAACAAAGUAAUCUACCGCUUCCAUUUUUUGGGUGAAUAUAGCCAAGACAAAUAAAAAAGAAACGAAGAAAAUGUUAUGAGCCAUUGCUUAUUUGCUAUGCUAGUGAUAUGGUAUUAUGGUAUAAAAAGAUGAGCAUUUAUAUAGAGUUGUUUAUGAGUAGGUCAAGUAAAUAAUUGUUUCUUGUAGUGUAGCUAAUACUCCUAAUAUAUUUUCUAGGACCCCAUCAUUUCCAUUCCCUAUUGCCAAAUUUUUGCAUAUUAAGUUUAAAAGAAAUAUUUUAUUUGUCCAACAAUAAUUGUUCACUAUAUUAUUUUAGGAUGUAUAAUCAUAUUUAUCCAUUUUAUUAAAUUAAUGAAUGAUUUUCCACUUAGGGUGUGUUUGGUAUGAAGAAAAAUGUUUUCCAUGGAAAAUGUUAUCCUAGAAAAUGUUUUCCUGGAAAACAAGUAGAUUUUGGACUUAUUUUCUCAUGUUUGGUUAGUGAGUAGAAAAUAUUUCCCGUGUGUUUGAUUUAUGAAUGAAAUUAAUUUUUUAGGAGUUGGGGGUGGGUGGGGGACUAGUAGGGGGCUGGCCGGGGAGGUGUAGGAGUUUAAAAAUAAAAAUUCGAAGUUGAAAAUAUUUUUCAAAAGCAAAAUUAAUUUUUUGGGGAGGGGUUGGGAUGCUGGACAGUGGUGGGUGGGUGGGGUCAGGGAUCAGGUAAACAAAUAAAAUUUUAAAAUUAAAAAUAUUUUUUUAAAAUUGAUGUUUUUCGGGGGGAAAAUGCAAUUUGAAAUUGGAGUACUGUUUUGGAAAAUGUUUUCCUUAAUUUUUGAAGGGAAAUCAUUUUCCUUAAUUUUGAGGAAAAUGAGUUGAUUUAGAAAAUAUUUUCCAAAACUUUUAUCUCAACCAAACAUGAGAAAAUUGGAAAAUAUUUUUCAGAAAAUGUUUUUCUUCAUACCAAACAUACUCUUAAUUUUUAAUUUAUUGUUUAUACUUAUCAUUAAUUAUAGCCAUUUCUCUGAACAUUGUACUUAUUAUAUUUAAAGAGUGAUAUAGUAAAACUAUCUUUUUAUUUAGGGAAAAAGGUCUGAAAAGUACUCUAACUUUGAUCGAAAUUGUCGUUACGAUACCAAACUUUAUGGAGGAUAUUUUACCCUCUACACUAUUUAUUAGUUUAUUUUAAAGGUAUAUAUGUGACCACGUGAAUACAUUACUAUUUAUAAUUAUGCAAUUCUAUGAUGUCCAAGUAGAUAUAUAUACACCUUAAAAUACGUUAUUAAAUAGUGCAGGUGGAGUAAAAUGUUCUUUCCAAAGUUUGGUAUCAUAACAUCAAUUUCAGUCAAAGUUCAAAUUUAUUUCUGACCUUUCGUCCUAAGACUAAAUAUAGAGAUGUGUAAAAUAAUUGUGGAAAGAUAAAAAAAUAAAAAUUACUUUCGUCCCAAAACUAAAUAUAGAGAUCUUUUUUUUUAAACCCGAUUAAAAAGAGUAUAUUGCAUAAAUUGGAAUAAGUAUAUAGUAUUGUUUGGUUCUUAUUAUUAACUACUCAUAUAUUUCCAAUUAUUUCUCAAAUGUAUUGCGAUUAUAUAUCAAUUAAUAUAAAUAUUAAAAAAUAUAAUAUUAAAAAAUAUAUUUUUUAAGGGAGUAUAAAGUGCAAUGAGGAAGUAAAAAUAAACUAAAAAAAUAAUAAGAGAUUGAUACCAUACUGCGGUGUAAGAUUCAUAUAGACUAGUAGUAAUACAUUAUUGUGGAACACAAAUUUAUGUGCAAACAAAUCACUAAAUUACAAUAAAUAGUAAGGCCUUUAUUUACAAUUUAAAAAAAGAAAAACGGUUGAGAAAAUAUUUUAAUUUUGAUGAAAUUACUGUAACAAUAUCAAAUUUUAUAAAAGAUUUUUUACCUUACACUAUUCAAUAGUGUGUUGUAAAUGUACAUAUGUGCACACGUGGACACAUUACUAUUUAUAAUGAUGCAAUAUUUAUGAUAUGCAUCUGGACACAUAUAUAUCUUUAAAAUACACGAUUAAAUAGUACAGGAUAAAAUGUCUUUUACAAAGUUCAAUAUUAUUAUAACAAUUUUAAUCAAAAUUUAAAUAUAUUUCAUAAAUUUUUCCCUUAAAUAUAAUAAAUUUGAUAUUAAAAAAAUUAAUAAUUGAACUCAAAAAAGGGAGUCAACAAGUCCACCACGAUUGAGUCCAAAUACAAACAAGGACUUGCCUUAAAAAUAUUUAAAUGAGUAGGACAUGAUUCAUAAAUAACGGUCCUCUGAGGCCCUGCCCAGAUAAAGGUAAGGGAAACAGUCCAUUGUGGGGUUAUUAUUAUUAGAAGAGAUAAUUGUAUAGAAAGACAAAUUAAUAAUGUAAAAUAAAUGUAGUAGAUGACGUUUGAUUUAUUUGUGUUUCAUAGCAAAUUGUUUGUCAGUCGCUUCUCUGCCUCAUAAUCUCGCCGCCACUCUACCUUUCUCGCUCGCCACUCUUCCUUUCUCGCUCGCCUCUCUCACUUUAUACAAUAGAAUCGUAAAAAUUGUGUUUCUAUUUAUAUAAAGCGAAAAAAAAUUGUAUAUACACAUUCAAAUACAUAUAUCGCCGUUCUGUACACUUAUAAUUAUAUAAUAAAAAUAUUUCUCUGUCCAAGUCUCUUUUGCCUUUCUCUCUUUCUCGUUUUAUACAAAUUCAAAUUUUAUAUAAUUUUUCUCUCUCAAUUUUUAUACAAUUUCGAUUCAAUUGUAUAUUCCCUUCUCAAGUCUCUUUUGUCUUUCUCUCUUUCUCAUUUUACACAAAUUUAUAUUGUAUAUAAUUUCUCUCUAUCUCGUUUUACACAAUUCGAUUCAAUUGUAUACAAAUUCAAAUUUUAUACAAAUAUACAAACACAUACAAUUGAAUUGAGAGGCUAACAACGAUUUAUACAAAUGAAAGACUAACAACAAUUUAUACAAAUGGCCUAUCAGCGAAAUUAUGCAAAUUUGUAGAGGAAACAACGAAUUAUACAAUUGCUUCAUUGUAUAUACGUAUAGUGAAAUAGGUAUAACUUUCAGUUGUAUAUGUGAGAAUUAUGCAUAUAUAUGUUUAUUAUGGAGCGCAAUUAUACAAACUUUGCUAUAACAUACAAAUUUAAAUUUCGUAUUUGCUAUAUAUAAAAGUUGUCCUUAUUAUAAUUAAAGAAAGAAUAUUAUUAAAAUUUAAACUAGCAAUUCUCUGAAAAGUAUAAUUAAUUAAAUAUAACAGUAAUAUGAUUUAUUUUCAUUGUCCUAUAAUUAUAUGUUCUUAAUUAUAGUAAGUUACAGCCAAUGUGCUUUAGCCGGCCGAAAGAUUAUGUAAUUCUUAUUUUGGUGAAGCAAAAUGCCUUUAUCGAGAAUGGCCAAACGUUGGAUCGUAUGUUUAUUUGUUUGAUUUAUAAAUUAAAUAAGUGGAUUGAGUAUUUUAUAAUCAAUUCAUAUUAUUUUUCAUAAAAUAUGAAGAGUUGGUGGCCUUAACUUAUGAUUAAUAUUUAAUGGACUGAAUUUGAAUGAUUAAAAUUUUAAAUCUAAAAAUUAAACGCAUUUAAAAUGAGUUGAAUCUCAAUAAUUAAAAUUUAGAAUUUCCUUAAGUGCAAAUAAAUUAGGCCUAAGUUACUCAACUUUAUUUUAUUUUUUAAAGUCAUUCAACUUCUGUAAUUCGUUUUGAUGGUUAUUUUAUUUAAAUAUAUAAUUUGUGGUACCUAUUUAAUGACACGAUAAUUAUAUACUUUUAGAAGAAAAAAAUAUUUCAAAAAUUAAAAUCUAACAUGUAAAUUUAUUUAGGGUUCAACUUAUUCUAAACUCGACUUAAUUCUUGACCUGACCCGCUAAUGGGUUAAUUAUAUAAGAGGUCAUUUUAAUAACAUUUAAUACGAUUCUGUUUUGCUAUUUUGAUUAAAUUCGGAUCCAUUAUAACCUCGAUGUACAUAGGUCUGUUCAUGAUUAUGGUUAAAAAAUUAAAUGAACCGCAAUUUGGACCAAAUCGAUUGAGAAAAUCAAUAUUUGAUUUGAUUUGGCUAGGUUUGAUUUACAUAUUUAAAAAAUACUAUUUGAUUUGAUUUUGGUUUACUAAAAAAUAACUGCAAAAAUAACCAAAUCGAAUCAACAAAUUAGCUAAGCUAGUGGGGGGUAAGAAAAAGAUCAAAAUACCCCUCCUUAAAACGGAUGAACUGCCUUAAUUAGAUAGCCCGCACUCAAACGGGCAUAUCUUCUUCAUCCAAAUUCGAAAUUUAGCAAACUCAACAGAGUUGAAAUAGGAAUCGAAGUCCUUAGAUUUGAUACCUCAUGGACAACUUAAAUUAUCCUGUAUUGAAUGUUAUGAUCAUUGGAAGUUGAUCCAAUACUCACAAAUUUGAAGAUUCACUUGUAUUAUUGUAAUUUAGCUCUUUCUAAUUUAGAUCUUUCAAAAUUUAGUGAAUUCCAAGACCAAUGUGUUACAAUUUAUAUAUGUAUUUUACCAUACUAUCCCUAUUAAUUAAUGUUUAUUGUUGGGUCUUCAAAAAUGAUAUGGAGAAUAAUAUUUAAUGCUAGGGGUAAAACAUGAAAAAAAUUUAUCUUUUCUUGUUAUGUCAAAAAUAACAAGUAAAAAUGAAAAUCUAUAUAAGAAUAAAUGACAAAUAGAAAUAAAGGAAGGGAGUAACUAUAAAUAGUCGUAGUAUUUUAAAGAUUCAAAAAUGAAUUACGGUGCACUUUGUUCUAUUCCAUCAUUUGUUGAGGGUAAGACAAUGAGUUUAAUGUAAAUUUCUAUAGUCCACAUAAUUAUGUUUUAGUUUGAUGAUUAAUAUAAGUUAAAUUCUAAAGAUAAGAAAGUUAUCUAGUAACUUUAAACUACCCAUAAAGAUGGGAAGGGAAGUUACCUAAUAACUUCCGACUACCCAUAAAGAUAGGAGUUACCUCGUAGUUUUAGAACUAUCCACCAUCUCCACAACUUACGAUGAUGGAUUGUAGAAAUAACGUUAAAAAUUCUAUAUUUUAAUCAUUAUUUAAGAAAAUCAACAAUAGUUGAAUAGUGAAUUUAUUAUUCCUAAAUUUAUAUUUCUCAUAAAAGUAUAAAUAUCUCUCAAAAUUAUACUUAUACAUUAUUAUUGAAAUUGAACAAUUAAAUGCACUCCUCUUGAUUAUACAAUUUAAUUGUCAAAAUAGUAAUAUUUAAAAACAAGAAAUAUGUACUUGAACUAAACAUAUUCUUCUAAGUUUUUCUAUUUCGAUUACCGUACUUGUUAUAACUAAUUAUUACACUUGUUACGCUCGAGCUACCCCCGAGACGCGGAUACGGAACCUAUGACCACAAGUGAUCCCAAGCUAACCCUGCUGACAUAAUCAUGAGCAUACUAAAUAAUAUAAACUGAUGCGGAAGCUAAAUCAUAAUUUAUUCAGAAAAGAUGGGGAAUAUCCAUAUUCUGUAACUGAGAUAUUUUAAAACAAUGAGUUUAAUACAAAGAAAAUAUUAACUCAAUACUAAGCUGAAACUAAAUGUCUGAAAUAAGCCUCUAACUGACUAGAAAUACUGGAACAAGCCCCAGCUAAGUCUAGCAAAAACUGAAACUAAAUGACUAAGUACUUGAAAAGAAACGCAUGACUGUUGUCCUCGGAGAAUGAGGAUUCACCACUGAAUCUGCUGAACUGGAGAUCGGAAAAUCAAUCUAUGCGUGAUCUGGAUGCUGAGAACCUGAACCUACAUCACGAGAAGAUGUAGCGCACGUAUGCGUCAGUAUUUGAAAGGUACUGAGCAUGUAGGAUAUAAUAAAAUUGAAAUAAAACAUAACUGAACAAGCACAAAAGCAAGUAUAAUAAUCUGAACAUAAUAUACUGAAUUCUGAGUUAACUAGAUGCAAUGACCAAUUUAUAACAUGCUGAAACUGAAUACUGAAUAUACUGAUAAAUGAACAAUGUAGAGAAUCUGAUUGAACUGUGGGAGCUACUAAUAAUCGAUAAUAAAAUCACAUGAGCUAAAUGUGGAGUCUGAUGUAUAUGCCCCAUCGAGAGGACCCAAUAUACCCUGCCAAAGGUAUAAAGCAUGCUGGCGUGAUCACUAAACUGAUUGCUCAACAUAGGGGAUUUACAACCUACUUGGCUAGUACUUCUGGGACUAUUGGGUACGUUGAACCCUAGUCCAACUCAAUAUUAUGCUACUCAUAUUGAUUUAUGUAGUUAACUGAUAAAAUCUGAAUUUUCUGUAAAUACUGGAUAGCUCAAAACUAAAUAUUCAAACUGAGAAUGCAACAUUUAAUAUAAUAAUGAUGCAUUAAAAAUUGAAGCAUGUGUAAGUGCAUAACUGAAAUAUCUGACCUAGCAUGUGUAUUUCAAGAACUAAAGAAAUACAAAGCUAGGGUUCUGAAAUUCAUGCAAUAAAAAAUCUGAGUAAUAACAUGAUAAUCUGAUUUGGAAUAUAUAUUUUAACUAAAUCAUGAAGUUAUGCUGUAAUUCUAGGAACCCUCAGUUUAAUCAUGAUAAAAGAAUCAAGAACUGACUAAAAACUAGGGACUCAAUGGGUAAAAGGAACCCACUAGUGAAAUCCCACAUACCUGGUGAUGAAAUUCAUGGAGAAACACUUAUAUUUUGUCACUGGAACUGCUGGAAACUUGCUUCAUUCUUGAACUAGGGUUCUUGAGCUUUUUCUCCUUUCUUGCUUCUAAUUUUUUAACUUUUGAUUUAAUGAUUUGACUUAGAUAAAUUUUAGUUAUGUUUCUAGGCUUAAACUGACUAAAAUAUGAUGAUUUAGGGUCAACACGACGUAUUUUAAGGUUUAAACAAAGUGAAAAAAGACCAAAAGACCCCUGGGUAAGUUGUUGUCGGACCAAACGAUGGCCAGGACAGACGGUCCGUCGUUGGGUCUGUAGGUUGGGCCUGUUCGACAGACUUUUACUAAAACAGGCAUAACGUUUUACUCGGACGUCUGAUUUUAGCAAGGUCAGUGGCUAUGGAAAUCUAAUUCAAUUAUCUAUCUGUGGGUAGGUCAUGGGACACCUAAUUCAUUUUUUACUAAGAGUUAUGACCAUUUGAAGCUGACCCAACUGCAUUUCCCCCUUAACAGUCUGUUAAUUCAAACCUACGGUCAGACCUAUGGACCAUGUUGGUCAUCCAUGGCUCUUUUUCAGGGAGUGGAUGAAUAGUGGUCUCUAUCGACGGUCACGUACUACGGACCGUCAUCUGACCUACGGACCGUAGGUCCGUCCGUCGAUCAAGACGGUCCGUCGAUGGUUACGUUAGUUGCACCUGCAGAUUUUUCUAAAAAACUAAUUUUUUGUCUAUUUUGGAUACGGGGUGUUACAACACUAUUCGUCUCUCUAGAUUACAAAUAAGUGUAAAUUCAAUUAUAAUAUAAAAAUAGAUUGAUCUCACUAAAAUAUUAGUUCCUCCGUUUAAUAAAGAAUGAUCAUAUUUCCUUUUUAGUCUGUUUCAAAAAGAAUGUCCCCUUUCCUUUUUUGGCAACUCUUUAACUUUAACUUUUUAAGUGGCAUGUUUAGGACCAUAAGAUUAAAGAAAAUUUUGGUACAUUUGACAUAAUUUUAAUUUCGAACCUCAAAAUUAAAAAAAAAAUCUUCUUUUCUUAAACUUUGUUCCAAGUCAAACUAGGUCAACCUUUUUGAAGUGGAGGGAGUAAUAAUAUACUAAUACUUCAAUUAAUGAUAUUACUUCUUCCGCCUCUCAGUUACAUAAUUAGUAAUAUGUAAAUAUGUAGUAAAUAUAUGCUAACAAAUGAAAUAACAUCUAACUAUGAAAUAAAUAAAAAAUAAUGCCAUAAUACAUAUAUUGGACCUUAAACUUGGCUUCAAAUUUUAACUUUGACCUCAACUUUCAUAAUACACCAAUAAGCACUAUAACUAUCCUAUCUUUCAAUAAAUAAACACGCUCUCGAGCCAAAGUGCGUGAAAUGCAAACGCUCCCAUGUGUAUUAGUGAGCCAACCACUGACUGCCAACUAAUUAAACAUUUUACAAGUGUUUUUAAAAAAAAAAAUAUUUUACAUGUCAUUUUGAAACUAAAAAAAAUUAUAAAAGAGAUUCAUUAAGGGUAGAAUUGUCAUUUCAAUAUUUUUUUACCGUUUUGAGCCUCGAAAUUACCCCUCACUCCGCAAAAUGCGUGCAUUUCACGCAUUUUGCCAGGUAGAAAUCGCGUGUUUAUUUAUUGAAAGAUAUGAUAGUUAAAGUGCUUAUUUGUGCACUAUGAAAUUUGAGGUCAAAGUUAAUAUUUGAAGUCAAGUUUAGGAAUCUAAUAUAUCUAUUAUGCCAAAAAUAAUCUAUAGCUUAAGAGCACACACGUAAAAUUAGAAAUAAUACUCACUAUUAUAUAGAAAUAUCAAGAUUAGAAAAUUACUCCAUAAUAGAAAAGGUACCACUAAAGAAAAUAUUCUUCUCCAUAAAAUAAGAAAAUAAAAUAAAUAUUCAAAGAAGAAUAAGGAGGAACUAGGAUAAUUUCAACAUCAAAUAACUAAAUAAUAGUACAAGAAGAAUUUGGCGGAAUGAUCUGGUAAACUCUUAUACUUGUAUCGAUUUGUAUUCUGAACCUUUCUUAGGCAUCAACUGGUUGUUGUGCCCACACUUCAUAGCACUUGCAGCAAAUCUCCUAAUUGUACUUCCUAGCCAAAGUCAUCAAAGAAGGCUCAAUAAUUCCUCGACGAAGCCUCAAAGGUAAAGUCGACUUUUGCUCGAUGUAAGUGGCGGAUUCAGGAUUUGAAGGUUGUGGAUGCUCACUUUCUUUAACAUAUACCUUAUAUAGUGACGGAUUUAGAAAUUUUGUAUUUUGUGUGCUCAACUAUUUUUAGUUCGAAAAUUUCUACAUAUAAUGGGUGCUCAAUUAAUAUAUAUUUCAAGUGUAUUACUAAAUUAUGUACAGAAAUAAUGAUGUUGUCACAAAAAGGCACUGGGUGCUUAAGCACCCAUAAGUCACUACAUAGGUCCGCCAUUGCUCGAUGUUAUAGUCAGCAAGAGUGCGACCAUCCUCUAGCUAGUUGCACACCAUUAUUAUUUUUUUCCUCCUCCAACCACCACAGUAACAACCUCUUCUGUGAAACUCAUCGAAAUCUACCCAACAUUCUCCUGAGAUUUUUAUUGGGUUAUCAAAAUCGGUUGAAAAAGACAAGUUUAAGGGAUUAGAAGGAGACUAUGUUGUGAAAGAUUGAAGAUUGGGACCUGCAAACUCCCAUCUCCCUCUUCUCGGCGUACCCGAAAACCCCUUCGUUGGUCGCCGCCUCCAACAUCGCUCCCUAUAUAUCAAAAAACGGACAAGCCAUCUCUCUCUCACACCACUGAUAAUAACUUGAUGUCACCUAAGUGUCAGUUUCAAAAUCUGGCUAAAGAAGAUAACUAUAGUGUGGAUGAUAAAAAAAGAAGAGGUUAGGCAGCGAUGUGUGGGGGUUGCUAAAAAGUGGUGUGGUGAAGAAGAAAGAUAGAUUCUUUUCUUUUUUUAUUUUUGUAUUAUAUAAUUUUAAUAAUUUAAAAUUUAAAGCUUAAAAAAUAUGAUGUUCACUCGCUUUAAAUGUGUGUAGUCAUGCUCUCCCGCCAAUUCAGCUUUUGCAAUGUCACAUAAGCAUGGUCAAUGGUCAGAGGUGUUUAAAAAUAUCAUUUUAAUUGCGUUUAAGGGUCCAGAUGGCAAAAAGAUAAGUAGAAAGGUUCAGAAUACAAAUGGAUACAAGUAUAAGGGUCCACCAGACCAUUAGGCCGAAGAACUUAAAUAAAUAUAUGUAUUGUUUUGUUUCAGCCCCUCUUUACUGCUUUAACAACUUAUUUCUCGUGUUAUUUAUAGUCAUUUUCUAAAGAUGAAAAUCACUCUUUUCUCUUAAUUUGUCGACUUGCAAGUUGAAAUUUUUGACAUUAAAAUGGUAACUCCAAUGCACUCCAACAUUUGAAAAGUUUUCUUACUAGCUUGUCUUUUGCUUUGUUUUCCACUUUAAUGGCUAUCAUGCUAUUAUAUUUUUCAAAUUUUAUCAUCCAUAUUUCCUGCAUCUUUCUUUAAUUUUAUUUCCCUUAUUUGUUUCUUUCCAUUUUUAGCUUAUGAGUUUCACAAUAUGUCCAACUCUUUCCUACAUUUUCACAAUUUCUUGUUCCUCUCUUUCAUAAUUUCUUAAUAUCUUCAUUUGUGUCGGAUAAUUUCUUGUAAAUCAGCACUUGUAUUUUCUUGUCAUAUAUCUACUUAGUUGAUGUUUUCAUACUAUAUACUUCAACAUUUUCUGCAAACAAAGAUUAGAAAUAAUUGGUAGUAAAAUUAAAUAAAAAUUUAGUGUAUAUAUAAUAUUUUUUAAAUCAUCAUUUGCACGUACUUAAUUAGUUCUACGAAAUAGAAUAGAAGCACCAACUGUUGCUGCCUAUUUCUCUAGACAAAGAAAUUUGCGGUAUGUUGUGCUACUCCUAGUAAUGGAUGAAUACCAUCCUUACUCUUCCCUUUUUCUUAAACAUAGUUUAUAUACAUAAUUAAAGUCGAAAUUUAUAUUUUUAAUAUCAAAUUUCACUUGAUUAUUUAACGUUUUGUUAAACAUAAACCAGCGAUUUUACUUAGAGAAUUCACAAAUUUAAAUAUUUUUAACAUUAACCAAUUUAAAUUAACUGACAAAUCAUAAAUAAUUUCAAAAAAAAUAUACUUAGAUGCUUGCACUGUAAUUGCUUACUUAAUAAGUCGCACGAUGAAAUAACUUGUAGUAAAACUUUGUGCUUGUUUUUAUUAGUAAUAAUAUUAUUGUUGUUACUAUACUAUCUUCAACAAGAGUACAAGACCAUGACACAAAUACUUAAAAUAUUGGUACAAAGGCAAUAGAUGAUCUUUCUCAUUCUCGAUUUAAUCUGAAAUUUCCGCGAAAUUUGGCUUUAUAAUCACCCCAAAGUUGAUCAACUGUCUUCCCUAGUAAGUCAACAAAGAACUGAUCACUAUAACCAUUUUUCAUUUUCUUAUUAAGUUCUGCCACAAAUCCAUUUCUCAAGCUGUUGCAGUAAUUAAGAAAUUGAGCAGUCACGUCGUAGCCUUGGUCCCAACGAUCGCCCUGGCCUGGUUUCACCCAGUGGCUUAGGCCAAGACCAGCUUUGAGCCUCACAUAAUCAGCAAUCCCUUCAAUUAAUCCUCCGGGCGCCCUAUUGUUCCCAUCACAAUUCCAAAAAGAAUGAUACAUUUUUAUAUAUACGUUAUUAUUUGUUUGUUUGUUUUUUUGGGAGGGGGAGGGGUAUGUAUUUGGAGUUUAAGACUGUAGAGAAUAGUAGAAGAAAGGCAUAAUACAUAAAUGUGUCCUUUAACUUGGCUUGAAAUCAUAUUUAUGUCCUUUAACUUUGGAUGUGCAUAAAUAAACACUUAAACUAGUAUAAAGUUGAACAAAUAGACACACGUGUCCUACAUGUCAUCCUAUAUGUCAUUUUUUGUCCUACGUGGUGUCCAACGUGUAUUAUGUCAUGUAGAACUCAUGUGUUUAUUUAUUUAAAAGUUGGAUAGUUAAAGUAUUUAUUUGUGCAUUAUGAAAGUUGAAAUAUAACUCAGAAAGCCUUUUACUAGCCCAAGAUCAUUGACGAAGAUCGGAAGAUUUAACUAUAGAAGAGGAAGCUAUAAAGAAAAACUUGUUUAUGGAAGAAGAUUCUUUGAUUUGGGUUGUUCUUGAUUUCUUGGGUUUAUUCUUGAGUUGAUUACAAAUGUACAAUAUCGUUCCAUAUUUAUACUAACCUAUGGAUGGUUCUAGUCUUCUAGAUACUACAAUAUUUAGACUAUUCCAUGAUUCUCUACAAAUAUCUAAUUUCUCUAGAACAUCUACAAGAAAAAUCUAGUAACAUUAUCUUCUAUUCUAGAUUAUCAAGAUUUUUCUACAAGAUACUUAUCCAAGUGACUAUACUAGAUUAUUACAGAAACUUCCCUAAAAAUCUAGGAUUGUUUUAGUUCCAAAAAAUCUUUAUUUUUCACAAAGACGUGCAUCCAAUAAUUAUUUAUUGAAUUAAUUUAAUUAUGCAUACCUUGCACUAACGUGAAUCGUAUUGUUGUUAGUAUAAGCUACUCCGGCCAUGUCAUCGACAAACAUACUUACUUUUGGAACGUUUUUGCGGUCAGCCGGAAAAUUCUGUUGGAAGAUAUUCCAUAUGAAGGAAGUGGCAGCUGCCAAUGUUUGCUGACAAUAUUGAGCUCCGAUAUCUCGAUUGAAACGGGCACCACCAGGGGUGUUGGCAGCCGUGUUGGUGAUAGAGUAAGUCAUUGCUUAUUUGCUAAAUUGCUAUGCUAGUGAUAUGGUAUUAUGUUAUAAAAAGAGAGCAUUUAUAGCUUUAUAUAGUUUUUUUUUCCAUGUAUGUGAAAACAGAGAAGUUGGACCUAGUCACUUGGAAAAUUUAAAUGGAUGGUAUAUAAAAGUGGUCGAUUUGGGAAAAUGAAAAUUUAAAUGGAUGUUAUAUAAAAAUUGUCAGAGUGAAAAAAAAAAUUUAAAUAAAUAUUAUAUAAAAGUCUUCAUAGUGGAAAAAUGAAAAUUUAAAUUGAUGUUAUAUAAAAGUCGUCGGAGUGGGAAAAUGAAAAUUUAAAUGGAUGGUAUAUAAAAGUCAUCGAUUUGGAAAAAUGAAAAUUUAAAUAGAUGUUAUAUAAAAGUCUGUCAUAGUGGAAAAAUAAAAAUUUAAACGGAUGUUUUAUAAAAGUCGUCAAAGUGAAAAAUAAAAAUUUAAAUGAAUGUUAUAUAUAAAUCUUGAUAGUGGAAAAAUGAAAAUUUAAAUUGAUGUUAUAUAAAAGUCGCCGGAGUGGGAAAAUCAAAAUUUCCAACUAAUUUAUGAGUUGGUCAAGUAAUAAAUGUUUCUUCUAGGACCCUAUCAUUUCCUUUCCCAUUGCCAAAUUUUUUCAUAUCAAGUUUAAAGAAAUAUUUUAUUUGUCUAAUAUUAGUUAUUUACUAUAUGAUUUUUUGGAAUAUAUAAUCAUAUUUUUUUUAUAAAAUUAAUAAAUAAUUUUAUAUUUAACUUCUAAUUUAUCGUUUACACCUAUCAUUAAUUAUUUAAACAUUAUAGUUAUUACAUUUAAAUAGUAAUAUAGUAAAACUAUCUUUUUAUUUAGAAUUUCUUAAAGAUUAUGUAAAAUCAAUAGUGGACAAAUAAAGUAAUAAAAAUUACUUUCGUCCCACGAGUAAAUAUAGAGAUAUGUUAUUUUUUUUAUAAAUCGAUUAAAAAGAGUAUAUUGCAUAAAUUGGAAUAACUAUAGUGUUGUUUUAUUCUUAAUAUUAACUACUCAUAUAUUUCAAAUUAUUUCUCAAAUACAUUGUGAUUAUAUUUCAAUUAAUAUAAAUAUUAUAAAAUACAUAUAUACUUCAUUAAUUCUUUUUUAAGGGAGUAUAAGGUCUAUAACGAGGAAGUAAAAAAUAAACCAAAAGGAUAAUAAGCUACAGACAUCGAUGCAAUGCUGCGGUAUAAGAUUCAUAUAAAGUAGUAGUAAUACUUUAUUGUUGAACACAUAUUUAUAUGCAAACAAAUCGUAAGUCAUUUAUUUAUAAAAAAAUAAAAAUAUCUAAAAUAUAUUUUUAUUUUUAAUUAAACUUAUUGUAACGGUGUCAAAUUUUACGAGGGACUUUUUACCUUACACUAUUUAAUAGUGUGUUGUAAAUAUAUAUAUGUGUGUGUCACGUGACAGGAAACUAUUAUAAUAAUGCAAUAUUCAUUAUGUCCAUCUGGACACAUAUAUAUUUUUAAAAUACACUAUUAAAUAGUGCAGGGGGCAAAAGGUCUUUUACAAAAUUUGAUAUUGUUAUAUCAAUUUCAAUCAAAAUUUAAAUAUAUUUCAGAUAUUUUUCUCGUUAAUUAAUUUAAUAUUAAAAAAAAUUAAUAAUUAAACUCAAAAAAGGGAGUCAACAAGUCCACCACGAUUGAGUCCAAAUCACAAACAAGGACUUGCCUUAAAAAUUAAAUAAGUAGGACAUGUUUCAUAAAUAACGGUCCUCUGAGGAUAAAGGUAAGGGAAACAGUCCAUUGUGAGGUUAUUAUUAUUACUAUUAAAGAAAUAAUAUAAUUGAAAUGUAGACUAGCAAUUCUUUGAAAAGUAUAAUUAAUUAAUUUUAACAGUAAGAUUAUUUAUUGAUUUAUUUUCGUUGUCCUAUAAUUUUAUGUUCUUAACUAUCAUAAGUUAUAGCCAAUGAUCUUUAGCCGGCCGAAAGAUUAUGUAAUUCUUAUUUUAGUGAAGCAAAAUGCAUUUAUCAAGAAUGGCCAAAUGGUUAGAUUAUUUGUUUGAUUUAUAAAUUAAAUAAGUGGGAUUGAGUAUUUAAUAAUCAAUUCAUAUUAUUUUUCAUAAAAUAUGAAGAGUUGGUGGUCUAGGUGGUCACUCAAUUUAUGGUUAAUGUUUAAUGGAUUAAAUUUGAAUGAUUAAAAUUUUAAAUAUGAAAAUCAAAUGCUUUUGAAAGAAGUUGAAUAUAAUUAAUUAAAAUUCAGAGUUUUAUUAAUUAAGUGCAAAUAUAUUAGGUUUAAGUUACUCAACUUUGUUUAAUUUUUUAAAAAUCGUUCAACUUUGUGUAGAUAGUUUUGAUGGUUAUUUUAGUUAAAUAUCUAGUUUUUGGUACCUAUUUAAUGACGUGAUAAUUACAUAUUUUUAGAAAAAGUAUUUCAAAAAAUUAAAAUAACAUGUAAAUUUAUUUAGGGCUCAACAUAUCCUAAACUCAAGUCAGUUCUUGACCCGACCCUCUAAUGGGUUAGUUAUACAAAAGGUCAUUUUAAUAACAUUUGAUACGAUUUUGUAUCAUUUUUUUGAUUAAAUAUGAAAACAUUAUACGCUCGAUGUAUAUAUGAGUUUACUGGAAAUGACUUGUAACUUUGAGAUUAAAAUAACGCAAUUGCUGAAAUAAUUAAGAAAUUAACCAUUAUACAUAAAUGUAUCAUUUAACUUGACUUCAUAUAAUAUUAAUGUUCUUCAAUUUUGGAUGUAUCAUAAGCACUUAAAUUUUUGUAAAAUUAAAGAAGUGAUCAUAUGUAUUACAUUUAUAAUAUGUGUCUUAUAUGACAUAAAACUAAAUUAGUUAUGUAUCUCAUGUGAAUUGUCAUGUAAGACGUGUGUGUUUGCUUGUUCAAUUUUAUACAAUUUUAAGUAUCACUUGUGUUGUUGUGCACGCUCAAAGUUGAAGGACAUAGAUGUCAACUGAAGUCAAGUCAAAUGACAUAUUUAUAUAUUAUUUCUAAUUUUAAACUUUUUUUUUUAUGAUUAGCAUACAUGUAUACUACUUAGUUUCUUGAAAUUAAUAGGUGCAUUUUGUUCUUAUGAAAUUAAUAUGACAUAAAUCUUUAUACACAGUUUUAUUGUUAUAAAUCCAUCACAUUGAAUUUGAAAGACUAUCGUAUUAGAAACGAGAUUUGUGUACCUGUUAACAACAACAGAAGAUCAACAAAAUUCUUUUGAAGAAUUGCUCCAAGCCAAAUUUUGAAUCUUUAGGAAAUAAGGUAAUUGUUUUACAAACAAAGUGUCAAUUUAUCUGAAAAAAGGAAUUUGUGGUUCUCUUUUGACGGCCCUUUCGUUUUUCAUUUCCAUGUCCUCUUUUCUCUUAUUUCCUCUCCCCUGAUAAGAGUAAAAAAUAAUCUUAAAAUAGGGAAUGAAAGUGGUUCAUUUCCCUGAAAACUGUUCCUACUUUUUUUUCAAAAUUCUAUUUUUUUUUUUUUUGGUUCAAAAAGUUUAUCAAAUUGGGUCCGAUCGGUCAGAUCCACAUGAGCGAUACAUGACCAAAACUUACAUCUCACACUUCGCUUCAUGGUGGAAAGACCCAAGUUAAUACAAUAUCAACUAGACACACAAGUCAUACGACUAAUAGUUCGUGCGACCCGUGAACAUCAAGAGCUUAACUAUAGGAUUUUACUAGCUCCACACAUGAAUUCAAUCUCAUGUGGGAAGAAUUCACUAUUAAUAUGAAGAUAUCAUUAUUCACAAUACCGAAAACUUCAUUCACUACUUCAACAGUUACUUAUUCGAUCCCUUGUCCUUUUAAAGAGGUGAAAUCAUGUAAAUAUUUAUCUUUACAUAAACAAUUACACUCGACUAUAAUAGUUGUGUAUACAAAUUAAAUUGUUCAUUUCAUUCAUCUUUCUUUUCUACUCAAAUCAAUCUAUUCCAUAUCAACUACUUUCCUAGACAUGCAUUGCAUUACCAAAUCACUCGUGAUUAUUAGUAACAUACUAAAGUAGCAACACUGAUCGAAUCUUCAAGAAACAGUAAAAGGUCAAAGGAUAUUUCAAUGAAAAGUUAAUUUAACUUUUCGGGACCUCACAUAGUGAAAAAAAAAGGUACCAUUCAUUCAUUAGCCCAUUGAUUAUGAAGGCAAUAAUAAAUACAAAAGUUGUCGUCAAUAAGAUAGGGAUCAUCAAAACACCAAACCAUCCAAUGUAAAGACAGUUUUCAGUGCGCUUAACACUCGUGGUUUGAGACACAUUAUACGAUGUUUACAUCUUAUACUAGUGCAUGUGUCUCAUGCUCUCAAUUAUUCAACAUCGUACACCUUUGGUCUAUUUAAAUCCGAGUUUCUCUCUUUAGUGAUCAUCAAACUGAUUUUUUCAUAGAGAUUCUUGUCUGGUUUAUAAAAUAAGUUAUAAUAUGAUAGUGAAAAUCAUCUUUUCACGUUCUCUGACGUAAGAUGCAAUCUCGUAUCAGAUCAAUCUUGAUACUUGCCUGACACACUUUUUAUUUAUAAAACAUCAUAACAUUCAUAUGAAAUAUGAAAAUAAAUUUGAUAUUCUUAUAUUGAUGAUAAAAUUACAACCACUAAGUUGUUUUACAAUACAUAUAAUUAUCAUAUCUUACGCAAACCUACAACCUUAACAUAUUUCUCAAAAAUAAGUCUCAAGAUAUUACUUUGUAAAAGAAUUAACUAUCAUUUCACGAGUAGGAAUGUAUUGUAAAUUUGUUUCUCCACUUGCUACUAAGUCUUUCACAAAGGAUGUCAAUGUGGUUGGUCUUGUUAUAAUUGGAUCCUUCGUGCAUGCAAUAGCCGCUUGACUGUCACAAUCACGGGACCCUUAGAAUUCUUUAAAGAAGAGUGUAUUUAUCAAUUAUUACAUUUAUAAUAAUAAUUUUUAAAUUAAUUUCUCAAUCAGUGAAUGUGAUCGUUAUUCACAAUUAUGAAAGAUACUUAAAGACAUUUGAAUAAGAUAGAUCUCUACAUUCUACUAUCCAUAAUUCUUAUACGUAUUUCUUAUUUUAUAUUAAUCAUCUUUUAUAACAUAUUGUCAACAUAAAACUCAUAAACUAAAAAUAAAGUUAACUCGACAAUUAGAUCAUGGAAGUUGUGACUUACUCUUUUUUGUUGUUGGUGAUUUAUAAAAUUUUAAUUCUCUGAAUAUAACAUGUUAUCAGUACUGUUGACCAUCUUUCACCACGUAAGCACAUAUAAGAAGGAUAGUAUCCCUACUAUAUCUAGCCUCAAUUAAUUGCUAAUUGUUAUCAUGGAUUUUGAAUUACAAGUUGAUCAUUGUAAAUUAUUUUAAGUGUUAAUGGUAGAAUUUGUUUAAAUGGAGUAUAUUAUUUUCUGUUGUAUUAUUUUAGAUGAAUGGUUUUGUAAAUCUCGUGGGUUACUGAUACUCUUUUUGUUCAGUUUUACUUGUUAUUAUUUGAUUUGGCACACUCAUUAAAAAAAUAAUUAUUUAUAUCACAUUCCAAGCCUACACUCUAGACGUGACCGACACUCGAGAACCGUUGUUAAUCCUCAAGCGAACCCUUGGACUGGCUCCCUAACGGAAGACCUACUCAAGAAUGUAAGAACUUUAAAAUCAACCUCAAGAUGAAUUCAUGGAUACAACUUUACAUUAUUGGCGUGAGGCGAACGAACCAAACACUAUGAAAGCUUACAUACCUUGAAAAAACUAAGUUCUUUGACAAAAAUCCUAAGUGUAUUUUGAAAAACUAAAACUAACUUCAAUCAAUAAUCUUAGACCCCUAAAAGAUUAACAAAAAAUGAGAUUGGUUGGUGGGAGUAAGGAAAAUAUCAAAAUAUCACUCCUUAAAAUGGAUGAACUGUCUCAACUAAACAGCCUGCCUGGGCAUACUUCCUUCAUCCAAACUCAAAGUUUAGCAAACUUAACAGCUUAGAAAAGAGGACUCAAAGUCUUUGGAUUUGGUACCUCAUGGGCCACCUAACUCAUCUUGUGCUGAAUGUUAUGUUCGUUGGAAAUUGGUUCAAAACUUACAAAUUUAAAGAUUUACUUGUACAUAUUUCAAUUUAACUAUUUCUAAUUUAGAUUUUUCUAAAUUUAGCUAUUUGUAAGACUAAUGUGUUACAAUUUAUACAUGUACUUUAUCAUACUAUUCCUACUAAUUAAUGUUUAGCAUUUGGUCUUUAAAAAUGAUGGGGAGAAUAAUAUUUAAUGUUAGGAGUAAAACAUGGAAAAAAUAAUUAUCUAUUUUUGUUAUUUCAAAAGUGACAAAUAAAAAUAAAAAUCUAUUUUAGUAAUAAAUAACAAUUAAAAAUAAAGAAAGGGAGUAACAUGUUUUUCCUUUUUCCUUUUUUGACCUUUUAAAAAAGAAAGUUCGUAACUAUAGAUAAUCCUAAUAUUUUAAAGAUUCAAAAAUGAAUUACAGGCGCACUUUUGUCUAAUACAUCAUUAGUUGAAGGUGAGACAAAAAGAAUUAAUGUAAAUUUUUAUGGUCCACAUAACUAUAUUUUAAUUUGAUAAUUAAUAUAAGUUAAAUCUUAAAGAUGAGAAAGCUAUCUAGUAAUUUUAAACUACCCAUAAAAAAGAGAUGGAAAGUUACUUAAUAACUAUCAACUACCCACAAAGAUAGAAGUUAUCUGGUUAAAAUUAUCUUCUCUACAAGUUACGAUGAUGGAAAGUAGAAAUAACGUUAAAAAAAUAAUUUUAAUCAUUAUUUAAGAAAAUCAACAAUAGUUGAAUAGUCAAUUAAUUAUUCCUAAAUUUAGAUUUCUCAUAAAAGUAUAAAUAUCUAUCACAAUUAUAUUUAUAUAUUAUUAUUAUUGAAAUUGAACAAUUAAAUGCACUCUUGUUGGUUAUACAAUUUAAUUGCCCAAAUAGUAAUAUAUAAGAACUAGAAAUAAGUACUUGAACUAAACAUAUUCUUCUAAGUAAGUUUCUUUCGAUUACAUUACUUGAUAUAUCGAAUUAUUACACUAUUUGUCUCUCUUGAUUACAAAUAAGUGUAAAUUUAAUUAUAACAUAAAAAAAGAUAGAUGUCACUAAAAUAUUAACAAUAUAUUAAUACUUCGAUUAACAUUAUUACUUCUUCCGCCUUUCUUGGUUACAUAAUUAGUAAUAUGUAAAUAUGUAGUAAACAAUAUAUAUAUAUAUAUAUAUAUAUAUAUAUAUGUUAACAAACGAAAUAACAUCUAACUAUAAAAUAAUUAAAAGUUAAAUUUAUAGUUUAAGCUCACUCACGUGAAAUUUAGAAGUAAUACUUGAUAUUAUAUAGAAAUAUCAAGAUUUGUCAGUUUCUUAACACAAAAGAAAACUACUCCACAAUAGAAAUGGUACCACUAACGAUGAUAUUCUUCUCCAUAAAAUAAGAAAAUAAAAGGAAUAUUUAAGAAGAAUAAUUUCACUAUUUGAUUAAAAGGAGGAACUAGGAUAAUUUCAAUAUCAAAUAACUAAAAAAUAGUACAAGAAGAACUUAAAGAUAUAUAUAUGAAGUGUUUAGUUUCUGCUAUAUUCUACUGCUUUAACAACUUAUUCCUCAUGUUAUUUAUAAUCAUUCUCUAAAGAUGGAAAUCACUUUUUUCUCUUAAUUUGUCUACUUGCAAGUUGAAAUUUUUGAUAAAAUUAUAAUGGUUCUAACUCAGGGCAAACUAUCUCUAGAUGGCAAAGUGAAAAGUCGAAUUGAUCUGCAAGUCCAAAUCACUCCAAUAUUUGACGAAGUUUUCUUUCUAGCUUGUCUUUUGCUUUGUUUUUCACUUUGGUGGCUAUCAUGCUACUACAUUUUUCAAAUUUUAUUUUUCAUAUUUGCUAUAUACUUCUUAUUCUUUUUCUUAUUUAUAGCUUAUGGAUUCCAUACAAAGAAAAAUGUGUGCAACUCUUUUUCAUAUUUUCACAAUUUAUCGUUCCUCUCCUUCAUAAUUCUUUAAUAUCUCCAUUUGUGUUUGAAUAAUUUCUUGUAAAUCAACACUUGUGUUUCUUUUGUCACAAAUCUACUUAGUUGAUAUUUUCUUAUUGUAAUGCAACAUUUUCUGUAACGAAAGAUUAAAAAUAUUAGUAUUAAAAUUAAAUAAAUUUAGUAUCUAUAUAAUAUUUUUCUUUUAUCAGUAUGUGUGUGAGAAAAUUAUAUAGCUUUACAAUCAUGAAUUAUUGAGAGGAUAUAUGAAUGUUCAGAUUGCUUAUAUUUCACUAGUUUUUAAAUCUUUACACAUGGUAUCAGAGCCAAAUUUAAGAACUAGUGAUUCUCCAUUAAUAUUAACGUUUCUUCUAAUUUUGUGAAUCCUAAUUAUAUAAAUUAGGGAUUAAAAUUAUCUAUUAGUAGUUUACUAUGACUUGAUGCCUACAUUAUUUCGAUAUGAUUUUGUUGUUUUAAAAAAAGGAAGAAGACAUAAAUUUCUCCUUAAACUUGUACCGAAAAGUCAGUCUCACACUUAAAUUAUUAUAGUGACCUGUUACACACAUAUACAAUUCAAAAGUGAAUUUAUCACCACCCUGAAACGUGUAACAUCACUCUCACGUUUUGUGGUGUAUUAUACUCGCUGUCACGUCAACGUUACGUCAGUGUCAUGUCAUAAAUUAUAUUUUAUUUAUUUAUUAAUUAACUUUUCUUUUAUUAACUAUAUUUUACUAAUUAAUUCCAAAUUAAUUAUUUUAAUUCUUUAAUAAUUAUAUCUUCUUCAUCACUAAAUAUCACCCAUCAAUUCUCAUUUCAUUGGAAAAUAUCAUAUACAAACUCACCUUCACUAUUGAUUGUGUUAUUCGCCAUCACUAUCACCUUCAAUUCUUCUUCUUCUUUGUCACCCAAUACCAAAUAUCACCACCACCUUUAUGAAUAUCAAUUUUUUCUUCUUCAUCACCUUCAAUUACCUAUUUUAAUUUUUGCCACCCGCCACCCAUCAUCACCAAACCCAAAAAUUGAUUGACAAUCAAAAUUUCUUUAACAAAGUAAAAAAAAUAGAAACAAUCAAUCGAAACUUUUCUAGAUAAAAUACAAUUAUUCACUGACAAAGUUAUGGAAGUUAACUUAAUUGCAAAUAAAAAAAAUUGUGCUUUUAGAUUGUGAUAAAAAAUAAAGAAGUAUGAUAAAAUAAAGAAUGAAAAAGAAAGAAGACAAUACGUGGGUGUGAAGAAGAAGAGGUAUGGGUAUAGGGGUAGAAAAGAGGAUUAUAACUUUUUUUAAUUUUUUUAAAUUUUUUUUGCCAUGUCAGUUUUAGGAGGUUAGAAAAUUCACUUUUGAAUAAUAUAGGUGUGUAACAGGUCGCUAUGAUAGUCUAAGCGUGUAACUGACUUUUCGGGACAAAUUUAAGGAGGAAUUUAUGUCUUUUUCCCUUUAAAGAAACUAUAUGUUUACUUGAAUAAUUUUAUAUGUUCAUAAAGUUUGACAAUGAAAUGUGUAGUAUUAAGAGAAAUAAUUAUUCAUUUUUAUGAUAUAUUUUGUUUUUGAAAUUAUAUAUGUGUGAUUUGUUAAUUACCAAAGUGGUCGAAUUUUUAUGAAGAAUUAGUUCUAAAAUAAUGAUUAAACUUAUAUUCAAUUACUCAAUAAUUUGAUGUUUAUAACCGGUAUAACUCUCAUUGGUAAAUUGAAGUUUUGGUUAUAAGAUAUUUAUAAAUCACUCAAAGGUUGAUUAUUUAUUUUUAGAACCAUUUAACAUUAAUAAGAUAAUUUAGAUGAGUUGUUAGUUUUGUUUAUCUAUUUAAAGAUAAUAAAUAUUACUAAUUGACACAUCAAAAAUAUUGAAAUACGCUGAGCUCACAUUCAAGCAUUAUUAUGUCUAAAAUUUUAUUUUGAUGAUUCGCCCUAAGGAGGACAUCAAUAUACAUUUAAGGAGGACAUCAAUCUAAUAGUAUGUGACAAAUUCAAACUCAAAGUAAUAACAAAUGAGUAUGUUCUAUUUGAAGCAUUUGUUCUUCAUUCGUACUCUGGCUUUGUUACGACCUUUAACGGUCUUAACUUCUUAUACUGGUAUGAAUAGAUUAAAUUUCAUUUUGGAGUUCUAGAUCUUAAUGUUGCACUUUACACUAAGAAGUCAACUGCUAUUACUGAAACUAGCAGUGUUGAAUAAAUGUCAUAUUAUACGAAUUGAGACCGACUAAAAGAUUAGGCCUAAUGUUCAUGCGAAUGAGUAUUACAUGCAACAUUAAGGCCUCAUUUGUUUCUAUUAAGAUUAAGAGGUCUGAAUCUGAAUACACAUCUGAUAUUAAGAGUUGCAGUAAGAUUGGAUGUUUCAAUCUGAAUAUACAUCUGAAUAUUAAGAUGUAGUCUCCAAAUCAGAGCACUAAAUAUAAUGUUGUUUGUUUUCGACAUCUGAAUGUGUAAACAUUGUAUUAAUAAAAUAUUAUAAAAUUUUCAUUUCAACAAAAUAUAUCACUUUAGAUAUAAAAAGAAGUUUUAAAAGUUUUAGUAAUCAUGAUUUGGAGUACUAUUUUUUUAUUCAAAAAUCUUGAUUAACAAUACACCAAAAAUAUUAUUGCAGCCAGUGUUUUUGAUACACAUCAAUAAAAAAAAAAUAUUAAUAUAAAAAAAAACUACUUGAAAAGAUUUAUGAAAAUUUACAUUUGGAAAAAUAUGGUAUUUGAUUGAGAAAAGUGAGAGAGAAAAUUUUUAGCCAUGAGAUAAAAGGCAUGCCCAAAGCAGAGAAGUUAUGAUUUAUUAUUUGAUAACUUAUUAAAUGAGUCUGAAUGUUGAUAAGAGUCUCAUAUAAAUCUUAUUCGUUCAGACCUCUUCAGAUCGUUUAAGAGGUUUUUAAAAAAAUAAACAAAUGAACUUAAUAGGCUGAAUCUGAAUGAUUUAGAUUCAGACCUAAAAACCAAAUACACUUAAUGGGCUGAAUCUGAAUGAUUAAGAUUCACACCUUCAUUAAGUGCAAACAAAUGAGGCCUAAGACUACACAAAUCGAACUCCCUCCUCUCCCCCACACAAAUCGUUUUCUCGGUGAAAUCCUUUCUUUUAAGUUGAUGACUAGUUCUUCACGUAAGACAUAAAACUCUCUUGUUUAAUCUUUUUCAAUUAUUUUUCCCUACUAUUUUUUUGUUUUUUCAUAAAUCAAAAUAAUUAUAGCUUGAUCUACUAUAAUGUUGGUCGUUUUUGUUUUAACUAAUUAACGCUAUAAAAUCUACUUUUCCAUGGAAGGAGUUUAAGUUUUGAAAAAUGAUGCUUAAAAGAUGGGGAAAAGGACAAAAAAUAAAAUAAAAAUAAAUUAAAUAAGUUUUUCACGCGCUGAUAGUGAGUGUAUCCUACUCACUAUGUCAUGUCAACAAAAAGUGUUAAAUUGACACAAUGAGGCAUGACAUGAGAUGUCUAGCAUAAACAAAGCUUAGUUAAAGUGUCUAAGUAAAAAUGUGUGCCAACUUUAGAUGCCAAAAAAUUAACAUAUAUUUAAAACUAGUGUUGACAUGGACUUUUUUAUAUCUAGUACAAAUUAGAAGGGUUGAAAGUGCAAUUCUUUUCAACAAAAUUACAAGAGCGAAGACACAAAAUACAAUUAUGGGGAAAUUAAGGGGGCUGAAAUCGAAAACGCCAAGACACGGCGCAUAGCAGCUCGUUGCCUAGUUCAGUUAUCCACAAAGCAGAGACGCAGCUUGUUUUUCCCUCUUCUGUAGUCAAAGCAGCAGCAGCAGAAAGCUUCAAACUUUCAAAUGAAUGGAAGCCACUUUUUUUCCUAAACGCAUCACUGCUUCGAAAUCACUUGUCUUUGCCUUAGCUAGAGCCAAAAUGGCAAUGCAAACCUCUUCUUAUAAGGUUCUUUUUUAUGAGUUCUCUUGUUAAAUAAAAGUUGCCAUUUUGAUGGGUUUCAUUGCUUUUCCUAAAGUUCUUAUUAAUAUGAAUCUUAUGAAUGUCAUUAUAGUUGACUAUAGAAAAAAAUGACAGCUUUAUGCCGUCAAGAUUCAAUUUUUAUUUGGUUAAUUGUAACUUUGUUGCCGGAAGGGAUUAAGUACCAAUUGGGGCGUCAAUUUAUUGUGUAUAUAUGCAUAAUGGAUUGUUGCCUUUACUCAUAUUUUUUUUGUUAAGAGUCUUGAAUAUUGUUGGAAUGCCGGCUGCUUGAUUAGGUGCUAACCUUUGUAAAUGAGCUAUUAUUCUGUUCUUUACUUAUUCUUAAUGUGAUCAUUCAUUUGUUAGAAGUAACUUUCCUUCCCAGAAGGAAUAGGACCAAUUGUCGUUGCUUUAUUUUGUGUAUCUGCUUAAGUGUUGUUGCUUCACUCAUUUUUCCUAUGAUUAAUGUUGGCAUGCCAGAUGCUUGAUGAAAUGCCACUCUUUUAUACUUCAUAGUUGAGCAGCUAUAUAUUCUUUGCGUACACCUACUUAUAUAGUGGUUCAUUUCUUUGAAUGUUGUGGCAUAUUCAUUUACACUUCAUGUGGCUGAUGUAGAAUCUUUUAUAUUUGCUCAGCUUUGGUCAUUAAAGAGUUGCUCAUCCUUAAGGGAACCCACUUCAGUUAGCCUGUUAAAUUUAAGGAGUAGCUCUUCUGCUAGAGUUUUCUCUCUUAUGAACAUGACCCGCUACUCUACCUACUCCAAUGAUGAUUCUUGUCCCUCUGGGAAGAGGAGGUCUCGUGGACCAGUAAUGGCGGCCAAGAAGAGGUCUGAAGGUAGGGAAUGUGACUUGACUUUGCUGGACAAUAUGGUUUUCUGAAUACAAAAUUAACGUAGGCUAUAGUUAGUUACUAGUCACUUCUGUUGUUGCUGACAAGAUGCAGCGUUGUAAACUGACUGGCCUGCUUGAUAUUGUCCACUGUCCAGGGGCUAAGCAGGAUGAUGGGAAAUACAAGGACACAGUUGAUCUUCCAAAAACUGCCUUUGGCUUGCGAGCAAAUUCCACAGUUAGGGAACCUGAACUUCAGAAAAUAUGGGAUGACAACCAGGUUUUUAAAAGAGUUGUUGAGAGGAACAAUGGGGUGAGUGCUUGAAGACUGAAUUAAGUGUCUUUACAAAUGAUAAUUGCUUUUGGCUAAUACUUAGAGUUUCUUGAUAGGGCACUUUCGUUCUGCAUGAUGGACCUCCUUAUGCAAAUGGUGACUUACACAUGGGACAUGCUCUGAAUAAAAUUUUGAAGGACAUUAUUAAUCGUUAUAAGGUUCGUAUGUAAGCUCACCCUUUUAUAGUUCUUUUUGCUGUAGGUGCAUUGAACUAAGUAGAAACAUAUUCGUGGUUUUCUUGGGUGGGUAGCUUUUAAGCAGUGAUAGUACUUUAACUUGUUGUGUGCUUAUGAGUACAUUCUUGAUUGGCACAUUUGGAUUUAGAUACCAAGUUAUGAACAGUCACUGCUUUGACCAUUCGGGUAGAUCAUAUUUGAUUUGCCAUGUUUGAUUAUAGGUAAUUUGUUGAGAGCGUUGAGCCUGUGGGUUACUCGCUUUCAAGUCUUGAUCUGAUAACGUGGAACAUUUUACUGGUAAUGAGCCCUGUUGAGAUACUUUGAGAUUUAUCCGUGGAAAUUCACUGUUGAAUUAAAUCAUUUUGUGAUAGUGAAACCCCUCAUCAUAAAGUUAAUUCUGUUCUUUUCACCAUACUUGGUAAGCAUUAGUCCUUCAUUGAGGCUUUAUAAAAAUGUAAUUGUGUAAAUCUUGGCACAGAUAAAAGGUGAAUCUUCUGCAGUAUCAGAUGAAACAUACUUUAUAAGUAGGUGUUUGGACAUGAACUGGAAAUCAUGAUUUGAAAUCAUUGAUUUGGGUAGAGAUUGAUUUGAAGUUGAAAUUUUGUUUGCACAUGCAAAACCCCACAGUUUGUGAAAACUAUCAAAACUUCCCAACUCUUGUACAAUAUAACCAAAUGAGCAAACCAUAGCUCAUUUGGUAUCUAAAUAUGUUAAGGUGCUGCAUUAACAAAUCACCUACAACCAUGUUCCUUUUAUAAAUAAUGCUUGAGAAUACAUGCUACAUAAUUAUACAAAGAUUCAUUGGUACAAUAAAUAAACAAUAGUAGUUACUAGCUAUUCUUUAAUAUAAUCAUCCUCAUAGUAUGGCAAUCUUUUAGUGUUGAGCAUUGACUUUUUUGUUGCAAAAUUUUAAAUUAUGGACUUCUUUUUUUGCAUAAACUUGUGGGUCAAGUUUUACGGAAUUGAAAUAAAAAACUUGGAACUAAAAUUUUUCCUUUUAGGUGAAUUUGGGAUAAUCAAAAUCUUAAAUUGAAAUUGAAAUUUUGUUCAAAUGUCAUAAAUAAAAACAAAUUUCAAAUCAAAACUUCAAAUUUGAAGCCCGAAUUGCAUGGCCAAACUGGCCCUUAUCAAUUUAAAAUAUCUUAAGUAACUACUAACCACAAAAGCUUCUUCAACGUAACAAAUAUAAUGAAAACUUUAACUCAAUGAUGCUUUUCAUUCUUUAUUUUCUUGAUCAAGUACAGAAUGACUGAUAGCAAACCCAACAUUCUACGUGUAUACAAUCAAAAGAAUUUUAGACAAAAACUUUGUAUCAUCAUACUAGUAGGAAUUUAAUCACUUUUUGGGUGUACCCAUGAGGUCCCUAUUUCUAUAGAUGAUUGGGUGACUUUUGUAGAGAACCACGUUUUUUGGUAGGUCUUGUACUUCUUGGUAUAAUGCUUGUAUAUGGGAAUUUCCCGACAUCAAUGAAAUAACAAUUUGCCUUAUAAAAAAUGUUACAUAGCUGCAAAGAAGAGGGAAAAGGGAAAGGGCAAGGGCAAGGGAAGAGCAUUUAGGAUUUGUGUGAUAUAAUGCCUACAUCUUCUUAAGUGAAGCAGUGGAAGUGAAAAAGAAUCAGGCUCUUGUAAGCUAAAAAAAUGGGUAUUGGAGAGAGAUCAACCUCAGUCACUUCCUUACUGGACCCUGAAACGAACAUAGCAAGUUGAGCCAAUACAAACCUGUGUAUACGUAGCUCACAAUGAGGCUCACUGCAUUUUCACCCCUCAUCAGGUGGGCAAACAAACAAAGAUGGUAGAGAAAGAUAAAUCCUUCUUUAUGUUACAGAGUGGAACAUAAAUGAAGACUAAUUGUGCUUUAUCUAAUUUCUAUAGUUGUUGCUGUUGUAAAAUAAUUUGUCAAAAGAUUUCUUUUACUUCUCAGUUCUCACUUGGUAAUCAUUAUAUGAUUUGCCUACAUAAUUUGAGAUGUAGUAUAAUAUCACCUGCUUAUGUUGGCUAGCCUAAGCUCAUGAAACAAGCAGGUUAAUACCCGUGAAUCUUAGGUAAGAUUGUCUGCUGUUAUCAACUAGAUUUGGAUAAACCGAUUGUUUUGCAUCCAUGUUGGCUAGCUUAAGCAUAUGAAACAAGCAGGUUACUACCUAUGAAUCUUUAGAUAAGAGUUGUAGUGGACAAAUAAAUAAGAAAAAGAAAGGUUUUAAGGCUUUACAUGAGUCUGCUUCAUAAUUUUAACAUUUCAAAGUGCUAUGAUAGCUGUAGUAUUGUUCAGUCUAGUUGAUGUCUAGUUUUAUUUUCACACCCCGAGCUACCUCCGAGACGCGGAUACGGGACCUAGGACCACAAGUGAUCCCAAGCUAACUCUGCUGGCAUGAUCAUGGGCAUACUAAAGAAUAUAAACUGAUGCGGAAGCUAAAUCAUAAUUUAAAAUGAAAAGAUUGGGAAUACCCAUAAUCUAUUACUGAGAUAUUUGUAAUACUGAUGAGUUUAAUACAAGGAAGUUAUUAACUCAAUACUAAGCUGAACUAACUAUGUCUGAAAAUAGCCUCGACUAGAAAUGCUGGGACAGACCCAUCUAAGUCUAGAAAAAACUGAAACUAAAGGACUAAACACUGAAAAGAAACUCAUGACUAUCGUCCUCGGAGAAUGAGGACUCACCACUAAAUCUGCUGAACUGGAGAUUGGGAAUCGAUCUAAGCGCGAUCUGGAUGUUGAGAACCUGAACCUACAUCACGAGAAGCUGUAGCGCACGUAUGCGUUAGUACUUGAAAGUACUAAGCAUGUAGGAUAGAGUAAAGCUGAAAUAAAACAUAACUGAACAAGCACAAAAACAAAUAUAGAAAUCUGAACAUGAUAUACUGAAUGCUGAGAUAACUGAAUGCAAUGACCAAUUUAUAACAUGCUGAAACUGAAUACUGAAUAUACUGAUAAAUGGUCAAUGCAAUAGAGUCUUGACUGAACUGAGGGAGCUACUAAUAACCGAUAAUAAAACCACAUGAGCUAAAUUUAGAGUCCGAUGUAUACGCCCCAUUGAGAGGACCCAAUAUACCCUGCCAGAGGUAUAAAGGCAUGCUGGCAUGAUUACUAAACUGAUGCCCACAGAGGGGACUUACAACCUACUCGGCUUGUAGUUCUGGGACUAUUUGGGUACGCUAAAUCCUAGUCCAACUCGGUAUUAUGCUUCUCCCAAUGAAUUAAGUGAUUAAGACAUUAUGACUGAAUUUCUGUAAAUACUGGAUAACUCAAAACUGAACAUGCAAACUGAGAGUGCAAUAAUUAAUCUGAUAAUUAUGCAUUAAUAACUAAGGCAUGUAUAUCUGAAGUAAUUGAAAUAUGUAACUCAAGAACUAAAGAAAUACAUAGCUAGGGUUCUGAAAUUCAUGCAAUAACCUGUGUAAUAACAUGAAAAUUUUAUUUGGAACAUAUAACUAAUUAAUUCAUGAAGUUGAAGUUUUAGAAACCCUAGGUUUAAUCAUGAUAUGAGAAUCAAUAAUCUGACUGAAAACUAGGGAUCUAAUGGGUGAAAGGAACCCACUAGUGAAAUCCCACAUACCGGGUGAUGAAAUCCACGGAGAAAUAUUUAGAUUUCGGGGCUAGAACUGCUGGAACCUUUCUGCGUUCUUGAAUCCUUUCUUGCUUCUAAUUUUCUAAGUUUUGAUUUAAUGAAUUUGACUUAGGUAAGUUCUUGUUAUGUUUCUAGGCUUCAACUGACUAAAAUAUGAUGAUUUAGGGUCAAAACAACGUAUCUUAGGGUUUAAAUGAAGUGGAAAAAGAUCAAAAGACCCCUGAGUUAAUUGCUAUCGGACCAAACGAUGACCUGGACAGACGGUCUGUCGUUCAAUCGACUGCCCGUCGUUUGGGUCCGUAGGUUGGGGUCUGUUCGGUAGACCUUUACUAAAACGGGCAUAACAUUUUACUCGGAGGUUUGAUUUUUGCAAGGUCGGUGGCUAUGGAAAGCUACUUAAAUUAUCUAUCUUUUAGUAUGUCAUGGGAUACCUAAUUCAUUUUGUGCUAAGAGUUAUGAUCAUUUGAAGUUGACCCAACUGCAAUUUCCCCCUAACUGUCUGCUAAUUUCCACCCACGGUCAUACCUACGCUCCGUGGGUCCAUCUAUGGACUGUGCUGGUCAAUCGUGGUUCUUGUCAGAGUGGGUAAAUGGGGUGUUGAUCGACGGACACAGACUACGGACCGUAGUCUGACCUACGGAAUGUAGGUCCCUCCGUCGUUCGACACUUGGUCAAAUUUUCUGGGCUGAGUUUUUGGGGGAGUUUUCAGUCACAAUCGACGGAUGACGGAUGUGCAGCACGGGCCGUGGGUCAGGCUACGGUCCGUCGAUGGUAACCAUCGAUUGCAUCCGCAAAUUUCUGAAAAGCUGAUUUUUGGUCUGUUUUGGAUACGGGGUGUUACAGUUAUCUCUGAUGCCUAAAUUUUGUUUUAUGGACUCAUCAGUCAAGUGAACACUAUUAUGAGUUAACAAUUGAUUCUCAUAGGCUACCUUCCAGGCAUUUCUGGUGCCCACAACUUAUGUUGUAUUUUACUAACUAUGUCAAACUUGAAAUGCUUUCUUUAGAAUUAACGGGCUGUCACGGUGUCACCCCUGCGUGUAUUUCGUAUCUGUCUAUUAGAUAACUUUUCAUAUCUCAUUAGUCCUUCUGUUUUGUCAGCUUCUUCAAAACUUUAGAGUUCAGUAUGUUCCAGGUUGGGAUUGCCAUGGCUUACCAAUUGAAUUAAAAGGUAAACAUCAUUUCUUGUGCAGCUUUCAGUUAAGUUUGUUUAAUAUUCCUGUGCUUAACACUAGAUAGUUAAAUAUGAGUCUAAUCUAUGUUAGCAGACCUAACCAACAGUUACUGAGAAUGUGCUUACGGAAGUUGGCUUUAUCCUUAAAGAUUACCAAUUUGGUGAAGUACUUUGCCUCUGGGCUACUUCUAUUGUUAUAUUCAAGGAGCAGAUAUUAGUUGUUGCUAAAGCAUUUCUGAUGCAAAAUACCUUGUCUGAAUUUCCAAAAAUUGUGAACCAAUUACAAAUCGAAGUUGCAGAUGCCAGAUGGUUGCCCAUGCAUUACAUAGAGCUUUACUUCUUUGAUUGACUUUUGUUGUCCUUUGCCUACUCUCUUUUUGAUUCCUUGACUUAGCUACACCGGUAUUUCUCAAAAUUAUAGAUCCUGUGUACUUCUGGUUGUCUUUUUCCUGAUCAAAACCACCAAUCUCUGAGACAAUUUCCAUGUUUCUUUGAGAUGUAAGAAAUGCAGAGCUAUUAUUUGUUUGAGAGCUUGUAGUCCAAAGUACAACUAUGAGAUAACAUCCACUGUUUCCCUUGAACCCAAUUGAUUAUUUUUUCCUUGGUUCCUGAUUAGAAAGUGUGCCACAAGCUUCUCCUCAAUAAAGUCUGAUCCUUUUGCUUAGAAGGUAUACAGGGAGUAGUGAAGAGUCUCUGUGGAAACACCAUUGCCUAAGUUCUUUUCUUUCACAUGCUUUAUCAGUUCCUUAUGAUUAGCAAGCUGGCAUUUUCAUGCUACUCCAUCUUAUUCCUUAACUAUUUGGCAAGACUCUGCUUUGGGAAAAUAUAACUUCUUAUUCUCUGUGUCUUAAUUCAUGCUGUACCUUAAAAAAAAGAAUAUUGUUUUAAUUCAUGCUGAAAUAUCUGGAUUAUGGAUAAAAAAUAUGGAAUAAGGGUACCAAAAUUUUAGAACAUACUCGUAUGCUUUCUCCUUGUAAAAAAAAGAAGAUAUACUCAUAUGAUUCUCUCUUUCGUCUUGCCCCCUAAUUUGUAUUUUGGUGGCAUGACAGCUUAUUUUAACUUCAGUGUUACAGUCACUAGACGAUGAUGCUAGAAAGGAGCUUACACCUCUAAAAUUAAGAAACAAGGCAGCCAAAUUUGCAAAAUCAACUGUGCAGAGUCAGAUGGCAUCAUUUAAGGUUGUUUAUAUUUUGCUACUUCCUGUUCUGUAUUCUUUCAUCAUUGACCUUCUAUUCCUCCUUUCUUGUUAUUCUGCUUUAUUCCUAAUGCUAACAUCUAUGCUUGCAGCGCUAUGGAGUAUGGGCUGACUGGGAUCAGCACUAUUUAACUCUUCACCCAGAAUAUGAAGCUGCACAGGUAUGGUUACUGCAAUUCUUAUAGCCCCUUCUAUGUGUUUAGCUGAAUCUCACAUAGCUCUGCUCUUAUGAUUGGUCAAGCUUUUCUGGUUUGCUUUUGCACUAUAUGUUUUGUGUGCCUUCUCUAUUUCUUUCCUUGAUAUGUAGGCUAGCACUAGUGCUUUUUCUCUUUGAGAAUUAAAUUGCAUAUUUUUCUUCUUAUAUUGACAAUAAUUAUUCAAGCCAGUCUUAGAAAGCUCUUUUUUCCUGCUUGAUGCUUCUCUACUAGAUUGAAGUAUUUGGCCAGAUGGCUAUUCAAGGUUUUAUAUACAGAGGCAGGAAACCAGUUCAUUGGAGUCCCUCAUCUCGAACUGCACUUGCAGAGGCUGAACUAGAGGUAUUGGAACUUGUCAAUUGUUGUUUUUCUCGAAGAAACCUACUUUCUAUGUGACUCUUUGUUUGACCAGGGAGGUUGGUAGAACUUGAAAAAAUUGUCUAGGCAGUGAAUUCUGCUAAUUUUUGGCAGAUGAGGGUGAAACCUUGUAAAUUGUCUGGGUAAUAGUACAGUCUGGUCAUAUCAUUGUUGUAUUUCCCAUUUUAUUUUUACUAGAAGAAAUUUGGUCUGGUAAAUUUCUCUUCUUUCUCUCUCUCUCUCUCUUUUUUUUUUUUUGAUUUGAAAUAUGUUAUAUCAUAAGUAAUUUACUGGAAAGGCUGAACAUGUUAAAAUUGUUGUUUUUUCUUGAAGACACCUACUUUCUAUGAGACUCUUGGUUUGACCUGGGAGGUUGUUAGAACAUGAAUAAUUGACAAGGCAGUGAAUUCUGUUAAUUUUUGGCAGAUGAGGGUGAAACCUUGUAAGUUGUCUGGGUAAUAGUACAGUCUGGGUCAUAUCAUUGUUGUAUUUCCCAUUUUAUUUUUACUAGAAGAAAUUUGGUCUGGUUAAUGUCUCUUCUCUCUCCUUUUUUUUUUAAAUUUGAAAUAUGUUAUAUCAUAAGUAAUUUACUGGAAAGGCUGAAGUCUGAACAUGGUUACUUUGACCUGCUAUUCAUUUAGUUAUAUGAAUAUGUCUCUACAUAUGUAUUUUUGUGUAUGUAUAUAUUUUGUUUGUGUGUCUAUACAUGGUUCUCUCUAACAUCAAUGAAGUUUAUAUGCAGUAUAAUGAGGAGCAUGUGUCAAAAAGCAUGUAUGCUAUUUUCAGACUAGUUGGUGUACCAGCUUCAUGUGACUCAUUGAAAGAAUUCUUGCCCAAUCUAUGCUUGGCAAUUUGGACAACAACUCCUUGGACAAUACCAGCUAAUGCUGGUAAGGUGUUUUGCGAAAUCAUCACAGUUUGAACUUUUCCCCCUUUUCUUUAACUAGUCCAACUUACAAAAGGUGUUAUGCUUCGAAUGUUAUUAGAUGGAACGUUUCAUCUAGCAUAAGACAUAGUGGAACUAAGGCUUCAAAUAAAAUAUUUCCUGCUGGACAGUGGUAGUUCUAUGUUCAAGAUAUUGUAUUUGUCACUGUUGUGAAGUGACAUAAAAACACGAAAUGGUUAACUAUAAUCUGGGAAAAAUUGUUUAGAUAGGUGUGCAUUAUUUGGCACUGCUCGACAUAACCAAUUUAUGAAUUGAGUAUAUAAAAACACCCAAACACCGGAUAGUGCUGAUGCGGUUCUCUCAUGAGCUAGUUCUUGGGGUUGAGUUAGGCCCAAGGUCCAUUUUUGACAUGGUAUCCUUGCAAACCUAUCGAUUCCUGUUGUGCUUUUCAUUUUUGGGUAUUCGUGUUAUGUUAUCAACACUCCAGUUGUCUAGACGUACAGGGGGUGUUAAGUUCUACUUUCACUGAGGAAAUGGUGAUGGUCUUCUUAUAUUGUCUUAUGCAAUUCUCUCCUUGUGGUCUAGCUAUUCGGUUGAGCUAGACCCAAUGUCCGUUUCUUCACAACUGAGUUUAUAUCCAUUGCUUAGUGAGAGUGAGCUUUUCACUUAUUAUUUCUGUUAUUGCUUUAAUUUUAAGGAAUCUGCUUCUUGGAGGAGUAUCUUUUGCUGAAUCGGGUUAGUGUGUGUUUCAGUGUCCAUUUUUAUGUUGCAUCCUUUUUCCUUCCUUUUUGGGAGAAGUAAAUAUAUGAAUUAGAAAAAGUUGUGUCUGUGAAAGGUUUAAGUAACCAAUGUUUGAUUUGUUCAAAUUUCAGAAUUUGGAAGCAUUUCGGGUUUGCGAGGUUGCACUAUAGUUUGGCAUGCUAAAUAUAUUUUCCUUUUCAAGUGAAGUUCUUGUUUUGCUUUAAAAUUUUAUCUUAUUUAGCACAGUCCAUUCUCUCAACAAAAUAUAAGUGCUGCUAGUCUUUUAUCAUGUGAAGUUUUGCUUGGCUUUUCUAUAGUUUAAGGUUCAUCAAGUCGUGGUAUGGAAAUUCAUUUUUUCCAUUUCUUUUCAUAUAUUGGGGUACAACUAUUGUCUAAUAAUAUAUGUGGGGGUUUGCAGCUGUAGCGGUAAAUAAUAAGCUUCAAUAUGCCGUUGUUGAAGUUUCCUCAGCCUCUGUAGACGGUUCUACAUCUUCUGUUGAUGGAAAGAAGAGGUUUGGAAAUUUCAUGAAGGGCGAUAAAAGCCUACAUCUUAUUGUAGCUCUGGACCUUGUAUCAACAUUAGAAUCAAAAUGGGGUUUGAAGCUUACCUUGAAGAAAACAGUACUGGGUUCAGAUCUUGAAAAUUGCAGGUGACGUGUUGAUCUUGUAAGCUUGGUUGUCCCAACUUAUUAUUUUAUGCUGCCAAAUACAAUUCAAAUGGUAGCACCCUAAGGCGUGGCCUAGUGGUCAAUGAGCUGGGAGAAGAACCAUGAGGUUUCAGGUUCAUAUCUCAGCUCAGCUGAUGCAAAAAAACACUGAGUGAUUUGUUUCCAUUUGCCUAAGCUUUGGUGGGGUUAACCGGUACCUAUGCUGGUGGGAGGUAGCAGGUACCCGGAGGAAUAAUCGAGGUGCGCGCAAGCUGGCCCGAACAUCAUUGUUUAGAUUUUUUUUUCAAAUGGUAUAUUUCCAUUAUUUUUCACGAGUAUAUUCUGUCGAAAGUCCAUGCUAAAGGAUGGACCUUAUGUAUAAACCAUGUGGUCCGAUAGUUCAUGAUGAAGUUGUCAAUACUGUUCUGCACGAGUUGGUUAUCAAAAAAAAAAAAAUUACUGUUGUCAAUGAGUUUCUCACACUGGUUACUAGAGAGGAAUUGUUUAUUACUUCAGAAACUUACAUCCAACUUUUCUCAGGUACACCCAUCCUAUAGAUAGCCGGGAAUGCCCCGUUGUCGUUGGUGGUGAUUACAUUACAACAGAGUCAGGAACUGGAUUAGUUCAUACUGCACCUGGUCAUGGACAAGAAGAUUAUGUAACCGGCUUGAAAUACGGUUUGCCUUUAGUUUCCCCUGUUGACGAUGAUGGGAAAUUUACAGAAGAAGCUGGACAAUUUAGGGGGCUUGAUGUGCUUGGCAAUGGCAAUGUUGCUGUUAUUGAUUACUUGGAUGAACACCUGUCAUUGGUCAUGGUAGAGCCAUACAGUAAGUGUUUUUUUCAGUGCCUAUUCCGGAUGUCUGCAACCUAUAAGUCUCGUGUGAUUUAUUAAAUAUUGUUGAUAUGAUUUCUGAAUCUAAUCCUUGUUUUUUUCUUCUAAUAAAUAAAUGUUGUGCAGAACACAAAUAUCCUUAUGACUGGAGAACAAAGAAGCCCACUAUAUUCAGGGCUACUGAACAAUGGUUUGCAUCAGUGGAAGGAUUUCGUGAUGCUGCAAUGGAUGCAAUCAACCAAGUAACGUGGAUUCCAUCUCAGGUAUUUGUUAUACUUCUUCGGCUCUCAAAUUUGCUAAAGAUAGCAGCUGGUCCUCUACUGCUUUGUAACUGUAUAAUAUGGUUCUGUCCAGGCAGUAAACCGUAUUUCUGCUAUGACAUCUGGCCGCUCUGAUUGGUGUAUAUCACGUCAAAGGACAUGGGGAGUCCCCAUUCCAGUUUUUUACCACGUUGAAUCAAAAGAGCCACUGAUGAAUGAAGAGACUAUCGAUCAUAUCAAAUGUAAAUCCCUCAUGUUGUGAUUUCCUGUACUUCUCUGUUACGCUGGAUUUUUAUUGGGGCAUGAUAAUUUCUCUGAUCAAGUAAAUGUAUUUCAUUCAUAAAAUGUGGCCAAGCUGGACUAUACAAAGGGUAUACCAAAAGGUAAAGAGUCUACAAAAGGAUAUGAUUCUCUAUAAACUCCACCCAAUCAUCUAUACAACUAGGAACUUUCUGUUCACACCAAAAGAAAAUAAAGGAACGGAGACUACUCUAUAGUCGAAAGAUACUCGACUCUACACCUUCAAAAGCUCUCUCAUUUCUUUCUCUUUAAACUAUCCACAUUAAAGCAAGUAGAAUCACAUUCCAGCCCUUCAUUUUCUCUUCCUUCUCCUGCUCUUCAAUCAGAACAUCAAAUCUUUCAUAGUAUUUGGCAUUUCCGAAUGAGUGCCAAGUCAAGACCAGGCAAAUAAAUUGAAACAGAGGGAGUAUUAUAUAUUAAAAUGUUUAGUUUGUAUUUAGAAUAUUCUAAUGUUAACCUCACACCGAAUCAUGCUUUUGCAGCUAUUAUUUCCCAAAAAGGAAGUGAUGCAUGGUGGUACAUGGCAGUGGAGGAAUUACUUCCUGAGAAAUAUCGCGAUAAAGCAUCAAACUAUGAAAAAGGGACUGAUACGAUGGAUGUCUGGUUUGACUCAGGUGAUAUAGCUUCUUUCAGUACUCUGCCUGUUGUACUAGCUCAAACAAUUUCUUUUGUGGGGAUAAAUGUUGAUCAUUGAUUGUUUGGAACUUUAUGGCACCAUUAUUAAAAUCUGAUCAUCUAUUAGUUUCUACUUCAUUUCUUGUUGUAUUUUGAAAGCAACCUCAUCUAUACAUCAAUACUAGAUAGGAGGAUAUGAAAGUUGAGGAUUAGGGUAGAAGGUCAGUAGGUAGUCGGGCGUUGUCUAGUUUUCCUUAUCACUGUUAUUAUUUGUACUCUCCUACCACCGUAUUAUUCUCUUUUUUUUUUACCUGUUGUUCCUCUGCUUCAGUUAUUAUACAGUUUGUAGUUGCUAUUGUUUUUUUCUCCAUUAUUUCUAUAUGGUUUCUUCACUAUUUUAUUUCCUUCUCUUGUUGAUCUUGAUAUGCUUUAUUUGAUGCAAAGGUCUAUAGGAAACAACCUCUCUACCUUCACAAGGUAGGGGUAGGGCUGCAUACACAUCAUCCUCCCCCGACCCACUUGUCGGAUUACACUGCCCUUUUCUUCCAUCCUUCUCUCUCUCUCUUUUUCCUUUUUGUCUGUCUUUCUAUUAUUGUUGUCUUUUCCUUCUCUCCCCAGACCCACUUUUUUUUGAGGAACAAGUAACUGUGUAUUCACAAAAUUCCGUCAUCCAAGCAAUGAUAAGAGUGAGCACUUACAUCCCAUAGGGUAAAAAACAGAAGGCCAUAAGAACUAGUCUAUGGAGCUUUACAAUUUCCCAAUAAAAUCAACAAAAAGUUCUAUAUGCCCCACCAUAUCCUGUUUACACCUAAAAUAUAGAAGACUAAGGCAAUUCGUUCUGAUUUUUUGAAUGUUGUUGCUUUUUUUUUCAAAGCCUCUUGCAUUCCUUUCCUUCCACAAUGUCCACCUUGCUUGCAGGAUUAAUUCCCACCAGUCCUCUUCUAACUCUCUUCUUCCAAUCUCUUUCCAAUCAGUCCAUACUUUUAGAAGUUUUCGGAACCACCCAACUCACUCCAAGUAUACACAAGAACAUGUUCCACAGAUUUGCAGCUGUUUUACAAUGUAGAAAUAGAUGGCUAUUUAUUUCAGCAUCCUGGUCACACAUAAAGCAUCUUGAGCAAAAUCUCUCUACCUCUUCUUUGUAGUACUUCAUGAGUCAAACAAGCAUUCCUGCAGACUAACCACAUGAAAGAAGAAACUUUCAAGGGUUGCUGUGAAGUUUCCACACUGGUCUGUCAGGUGCAUUGGUAGUUUUAUUGAAAUCAUUUAUGACCAUAAGAAAAUCUGCAACUCUUUGAAUUGCUUCUCUGUUGUUUAAUUGAUGUUUAAAAGGGUUGUGGGGAUUGACCCAAAUCCACGUGUUCCUUUAUUUUUGUUUGUCACAUUGAUAUAAUUCGAAGUCCUGAAAGAACCCAACUGAGUGUCAGGCUAAGUCAAGUGGACUUGAUUACCACCACAAAGUUCUUGGAAAGAAAUUAAACCUCUGUCAGUCAAAGUUCAGGUUUAGUUGUCUAACUAUAUUUCAUGUUUAGUUCCUAAUGUAAUUUUCUUUUAGCAGUAGGAUUAUAAGUUAACCUCUGUUUACACAGGUUCCUCGUGGGCUGCGGUGCUGGACAAAAGAGAAAGCCUUAAUUACCCUGCAGAUUUGUAUCUCGAGGGGACAGAUCAGCAUCGUGGUUGGUUCCAGAGUUCCUUAUUAACAAGUAUUGCUACAAAAGGUAAGGGGCAUUUAAAGUCCUGUUCUUGAUCCUUUAUAGUAUUAGUUAAGAAUCUUUUAUUAGUCUCUUUGUUCGCCCAUGGAAAAUAUCAAUCUCAGCUAUGAGAAGUAGGAAAAGAACAGGGUUAUGUUUGAAUGUCCAGGGGAAAUGGUGAUCCCCUUAACCUCUUUUGUCUUUAUGGAUCUUUAAUUUCUACAUUUGAAACUAUGAUUAUAUUCUCUACUCUCUGCUAUUAUUGCUAUAGGUUUCUCUCUCUUGCCCCACUCUGUGAACUUCAUCCAUAAACCUAUAGUGUACCAUCUUGUUCUCCUUAAGAAACAGUGGUAAGUUAUAUUCUGAAAGAAGCUAAAGGAUUUGGAGUAACUCUUGGAAAUUGGAGACAUUGACAGAUGAUGCAAAAGAAGCAAAUGUCAAAAUACUUAAAACGGGAUCUUAGUACAUGAUAGUUAUUACCGAUUUCAUUAUUUUUAGGUUUUGGUUCUUCGACGUGUUACCCUAUAAUAAUAUCCCCAUUGCAUGUCAUAAUUGCAGGCCAGGCCCCUUAUCACGGUGUUAUUACACAUGGAUUUGUACUGGAUGAGAGGGGGUUGAAAAUGAGCAAAUCUUUGGGAAAUGUUGUUGAUCCAAGGAUGGUGAUUGAGGGAGGGAAAAACCAAAAGGUAUGUUGCCAAUUUUGCAGCAAUUUUUGUGCAAAUUAACAUGUUCUUGACGAGAAAUGACAUCUCUACAUUUCCUUUGACAGGAAAACCCUCCAUAUAGUGCUGAUGUCUUAAGGCUUUGGGUUUCAAGUGUAGACUAUACUGGCGACAUGCUAAUUGGACCUCAAGUCCUUCGUCAAAUGUCUGACAUAUACCGGAAAUUGCGAGGAACACUCCGAUUCCUUCUAGCAAAUCUCCAUGAUUGGAAAGUAGGUUACACAGUCUCAAUUGAGGCCAUUUCCAAAUGAAAAUGUUUCCGCACAUAUUCUGAUUAUACUUGCAGCAGCAUCUUCUUUUUUUGCUAAGCUUUCUCUCUCUCUCACACACACACACAAAAAAAAAACACCUAGAGCAUUUGAAAUCUGUGUCAUAGAUCCCCCUUGUGCUCGACUCUUGAACUGAGUAGAACUUCUACUUGUUGAAGUUAAUGAUUUUAUUAAUUAUCUUGAAUUAGAUGUUCAACUUAACAUGGUAGUUUUCGAAGUUGAUGUUAUUUGAAAUUUUCUUUCUGCAGGCUGAUUAUACAGUCCCGUAUAGUGAUCUUCCGAUGAUUGAUCAGCAUGCAUUAUUCCAGCUUGCUAAUGUUGUGAACAACAUUAGAGAGAGCUAUGAUAGUUAUCAGUUUUUCAAAAUAUUUCAGGUAUUGUUUCUUUAAAAGCCAAGUUGAUGUUUCAAGUUCCUGAAAUGUGACGACUCUUAAACUUUGGUUACAUGGAAAAAGGAACUUGUUUGCUUGAAGAUAGUAAGAGUGUAUAUUUUGAAGAGGAGGAGCUUAACAGUUUCUGUUAUGUGCAAGAGUGGGAGGGUCUGAGUCAUGGUUUAAACUAUGUGCGUCACUCUCAGUGCAUUAUCAGAUGAGAAUAUGGCUGCAACUAGCAGAUUAGUUGUGUCGUAUCUGUGUGUCAAUGUGAACUAAUUGUUUAGGUAGAUGUGGAACUUUAGCAGUGAUGUUUAACGAUGUAAAUACCAUUUCUAUCACCAGUCACAGUAAAAGUCAAGUCUUUCAUCACCAACUCUGCCAAAGUUUCAGAAGGUUAAAGGCUGAAGUUUUCCUACUUGUUCUAGUUUUACUUGAUAGUUAUAUGAUGGUUAAGAAAAAGCGAACUUGAUAUUAUGUGAAGUCUGAAGAAACUAGAAACUUAACUGAGAUUCUUUAUUCAAGGAUACAAACCAUGUCAGUUCCCUCCAAAAAAGAAAGAACCAUUUCAGCCACCAAUCAGACAUCGAAGUCAAGAUCCUGCCCAAAAAUUCAGAGUCUAAACUCUGAAGUUCUCUAGAGGCUGUCAGCUCGCUGCAGUUAUACUUUGUAGUGUGGAGCACAAAAGAUAGUUGAAGAGUUCUGGCUGCAUGGAGGAUAUUUUGGGAAAAUGAUCAAGGCUUAGCAGAAGAAGUAUGGAAGAAAAUAUUUGUUCAACAGAUGAAAAAGGUAAUACAGAAGAAAAAGUAGGACCCUUCGGGGUGGCCCAGUGGUUUGGGCUUGGGACGUCCAUGUUGGAGGUCUCAAGUUUGAAACCCCUUGCUUUUGCUAGCAAGGGGUUUCCCUUCUGAGUUGAGCUCGUCGCGCCUAGUGCGGGUUACCUCUCCUAUGUGGUUUGCGAGCUAUUGCAUAGGAGUUUUCCUCAUGCGCACCCAAAGAAUAGCAGGUGCGGGUUUUCCUUGUCAUCAAAAAAAAGAAAGAAGAAAAAGUAGGUCAAUAUCGAUGGUCCUUAAGAUUGAUAACAAGGAACAUAUGACACUAAUUUUGUUGAAUACAAUGAUUUUUUUUUCAGCGAAGGAGCAUUUCCUUUACUUUUUUUGAGAAAGUAAGGAGAAGGGGAGACGAGCCUUGGAGCAAUAGUAAAGUUGUCUCUGAGUGACCUAUAAAUCAUGUAGGCUACCCACACCAAACUCCCUUGGGGUGUGAUUUUUCCCUGAACCCUGCGUGAAUGCGGCACACUCUGAGUACAGGCCUACAGGGUUGCCCUUUUUGUUGUUGAGAAAAGUAAUGAUCUUAUUGAUAGUGCACAACUCCAAGAUGUGCUGACAACUAUGUAUAAGUAGAGCAAAAAGAAAAAAAAAACUAAAAUCAUGUAAGGAUUCCAUGAAUCCUAACGGUUAUUCAUCCUCAUUUACAAUUCCUUUCCACACCAAAAGUAAAACAAAAUUAUAAACUAAACUUAAAUCUUUAUGAAAGAGUUAACACUAACUUCAAACACCUUAUGUUUAUUUUUGUCCAAAUGAUCCACCAGAUGCAGGAUCUUCAUCCUCAUGUACAAUUGUUUCUACACCAAAAUUAAAUGAAAUUAUAAAAUUAACUUAAUUUUUAUGAAACGGUUAGCAUUAUCUUAAAAAACCUUAUGUUUGUUUUGUCCAAAUGAUCCACCAGAUGCAGACUGGUAUUAAAUUCCACCACUAGUGGAUGUGUAUCUCUAUAAGCGCUAGAUGAAAAACCAUCAACUUGUUAGGGUUAGUUUUGGUUUGCCAAUAGCAUUACUGGUGGAUAUUUCUGCAAAACAGGGAGGGAAUUGAUUGAUUCUUAUCUAGUGCUAUGUUGGAUCACUGCUGAAACAGAAUAGCUUGAAUAUUUCCAAUGGAAUGUAACCUAAUGGCCUGGCUUGAAAUGAUGAGGUUAGAUUGAGAGGGAUAUCUGGAAGAAAAGCUCCAUGAUACACUUAAGGAAUGUCAUCUUCAUUGUUACCUAGUUUGUUCUAUUCCAGUACAGCGAGGAAGCUCGUCAUGUCAGGUCUUUAGCUGAGAAUAGGUACAAAAGCGGCAAAUUCUUUUUGUUGGAAAUGUAGUUAGCAAUGUCGAGGCCUAGUGUAAAAAUGUGGGAGGAGGUUUAGCUGCUAUUAAGUGGCUGCUGCUGCUGCAGUGUGUGUGUGUGUGUGAGAGAGAGAGAGAGAGAGAGAGGCCAGAAUAGAUUGAAGUAAAGACACAGUAGCAAUUUCUGUUAAUAUUAUGGCAAGAAGAUAACACGGAUCCUACAAAAGAUUUGACAUGUUACUCCAGUAAAAUGCUAUCUUUGUCAGAUAAAUGAUUACGGUCUUUAAAAAAUGUAGCAUUGUUUCUUGUCAAUAUUAUGGCAAUCUUUGUCGAAAUGAAUUUAAUUACCAGCUGAUGGUCACAGCUGUUUUGAUACUUAUUUACUGCUUUCAUCCCUUUAAUGGCUGACAUCCAUUUUUAUGUUAUUAUUUUUAUUGUCCGUGCAGGUGAUUCAGCGGUUUGUGAUAGUUGACCUCUCAAACUUCUAUCUUGAUGUCGCUAAGGAUCGGCUUUAUGUUGGGUAAUUCAUGUUGCAUCUCUACAUAAUCUCACCUUUUGUUCUCUUCCAAGCUUGUCUAAUGUUUCAAGUGCUGGAUUUUUUUUAAAAAAAUAACAAAAGAAUAUAAAACAAAGCAAGACAUAAUGCUACCAUAUUAAAAGAGCUUUAAAUAUUGUAAUUAUUAAGGGUUCCUUUUUCAGUUUUGGCCCCUCUUGUAUAAGGUUCUUCUGAUGAUGGCCUAUGUUAACCAGAAGUUGCUUUUUGGCUCUUUAUCUAUUAAACCCAUUUAAAUGCCAUCAAAAUGAGCUGUAUUUAGGUAAUUUUCAUACAAUAUUUUGGAAAGAAGAAAAAUAAUCAGAAAAAGUUAUACGAAAUGAGAUCUACUGCUGCUACGAGAUUAUCAUUGGCUCGCCAAAGAUCAUAAGAGUGGAGAUAAUGGGAUCCCAAAAGGCGGAAGCUGCAGAGGGAAAGAGUAGGGUCAGAUCCAUACUUUUGUGUUUAUGGGUUCUGAGUUCUAGAAAUGGCUGCUUACUGGGUUCUGGAUAAAUCAUAUAUACGUAUUAAGUGGAUUUCUUAGCACAAUUACAGGAUUUUGGCCAAAGCUACUAGAUUCUGCCGCAACCGUAGCUUGAACUCUAGCUUCGCACUUAGGAAGGAAGGCGAGAAACUACAGUAAAGGUGAUCGAGAUAAGUUACCCAAAUCGUGAAGUUGGGGGUGGCCCAAUAGUUCCCAGUGGUUUGGGCUUGGGAACUAUUCCCUAGAACAUCAACAACCUAGUAAUACUGCUUAAAAGAAGAUGAUUACAACUUGACAAGCCUAGUACAAUUGAAUUAGGACUGGACUCAUUGACCGGAGUGUUCACUCUUCGAUAGUCUUCAGAUCUUCCAGGAACAGCUCAUUGCUUGAAAGCUUUACGACUUUUUCUUUUUUUCUCUUAAUGCAUGAAUGCAUGGUUUCCUGCAGCAAGUAUAGGAUAUCUAGUCUUCUUGUUAGUAAGCACAUAAACAAGGAAACCAUAUAUCUCGAAGAUCCUGGGAAUUAAGGAGCACCCAAGGGUGUGACCUAGUGGUCAAUGAAGUGGUUGUGAAUCCUGAAGUCUCAGGUUCAGAACUCAGCGGAGACAAAAAACCACUAGGUGAUUUUUUCCAUUUGUUGUAGCCUUGGUGGACAGAAUUAUCUGGUAUCUAUUGCUGGUAGGAGAUGGCAGGUAUCCCGUGGAACUAGUCGUGGUGCGCGAAAGCUGGCCUCAACAUCACGGUCUUCAAAAAAAGAAAGAAAAAGAUCCUGGGAAUUAAGGAAAUCAUAAACAACUCCGAUUCUACAUCCAAAAGGAUUUUUUAAGAUGCGACUUUUCAAAAAUAUCUCCAUGUGGAAUCCUUUUCCAAUUCAAACACCAUGAAGAUCCUGUAAAUAUCUUACAUAUUCUUAUAUGAAUAGUACAGGAAAUAUAUAAAAAGAUAUACUUCGCAUAUAUUUUCCAAAGAUAUCUCAAUACAAGAUCUUAACAUAGAUGCUGUUUUUCAUAGCAUGCAAGAACCAUGGAAUAAGGAUCUGGUUCCUUCACAUCUUCCUUCAUAUUGUGCAUCUGUUUGUUAAUUAGACGUUAAUCUCAAUAAUGGGUAAUCUCGGUCGACUGGAAUUGGAUCCAGGACUAACCGACUAGGGACGAGAAGCAGGGAAUUGGGGAAGGGUUGGAUUUUGGGUUGCUGGUGUGGUGGACCAAACUAUUCCUUGAAAUUUAAAUCAGUUUGUUUGCUUUAUUUUUAUUCGGAUGGAAAUGUCAAAUGUUGGAGUAGUGUCACUUUCCCUUAAACUGAACAUCGCCAAAUUUACCCUUUUAUCAUAGUGGCCAAAGCUUGCAAGAAUUCCUGCUGCUGAUAUCUCGGUUAAAUAGAUUACUGUCUCAUUUAAUGAACUAUCCUGUUUGUUUUGUUGGUAGGCUUGCGACUUUAAUUCUUUUUUUCUAUCAAAUAAAUGACCAUAAUUCGAAUUUCCCUGAACCUUGAACAGUUCAUCAAAAUACAAUAAAGCACAUUUUAUGGACUACUAAGAGAUAUAUCAAUGUCUCCUCUUGCACUUUUGUGUAUAUAUGGAGGACAGUUAGUUUGGGCUGUUUGCUCCUUAAAUAUUGUAUUAACUUCAUGUCCACAUUCAAAAGUUUCUGGAAGCCUAAUUUUUAGAUUAUCGGCUACAGAAAAAGAAAGAGGAUCUUGUUGUUCCACUAUAUCUUUCCCUGGUAGGUUUUGACUCAAGUUGAUGUGGCAUGCUAACUUGGUUGACAAUCGAUCACUUCUGUAGAAUGUCUUAGUAGGUAUCAGUUUUAUCUUAUGUAGCUCUACUGAGAUUUUGUAUGUUUUAAGGUGUGUUCAUUUCUUGAGAACUGCAGUUUGAUGGUAUAAACAUGUUUACUAAGAGUCUUUGCAUCAACCAUCAAACUUGAGAUCCCAGCUACUUCUCUUAGGGAAGUUAGUAUUUACAGACCUCAAUUCUUGACUCAGUGUCAUCAUUUCGGUACUUGUAUCAUGUCCCGUGUACGAGUUGUUGGGUUUUAUGACCUCUGUAUAUGAGUUUUGAAAGAUCUUCUGAAAAUUGACUUUGUGUGGGGGAUUGCUUACAUUGAUCUUCCUUUACAUUGAGGCUUCUGCUGCUGUUGACUUUCCUUAUAUAAAAAAUUGUAGGCCAAGAGCUUUGAAUCCAUUUUUCUGCUCGUUACAUGAACUCAUUAACAGCUUGUAUUGAAAGCUUAGUCAGAUGCUAGUGUAAAUUGGUUGAGUUGCAGUUAGAAAUGCAUGCUUAAGUCAAGAUAUGUUGCAGAAAAGAGGAAUUACAUUGUGCAGUAGAUGUGUUCCCUGUGAAAAUUCUCAGGAAUCUGCGGAUCAUCUGUUUUCGCAUUGCAAUCAUACAAAGCAGUUAUGGGAUCUGUUCCUGAAUAUGAGUGGUGUGCAACAAAUGAUGCCAAAGAAUGUGAAAGGCCUACUAGUUUGUUGACAGAAUCAGAAAGUCAGGAAAUAACUAACACAAAUCUAGAAAAGCAUACCUCUCUGCAUCUUUUGGAACAUUUGGUUGGAUAGAAUUAAGAGAUACGUUGAGAAUCAGAAGAAUCAUUUAGCUAUUCUUAAAACAUAAAAAUAGUCUUCUAUGUGUACUUUUGAUGUAGGGUAAAUCUGGUAGAAGACUUAGUUCAGUACAUGGAUUUUAUAGAAGUUUUGAGAUUAUAGUAGAUACAACUGUGCUGUAGUUUGUAUGCUUUGAGUACUUUCUUGGUACCUUUUUGAUGAAUUUUACCUUACCUAAUAAACUUUGUUUAUGUUAUUUUCAGGGGGAGUGCAAGUUUUACAAGGAGGAGUUGUCAAACAGUCCUUGAAGCCCAUUUGCUUUCAAUUGGAAGGAUAAUUGCUCCCAUCUUACCCCAUUUGGCCGAGGAUAUGUGGCAGCAUCUUCCUUUUCAGUAUACUGCUGAAGAUGGGCAUGUUGCUAAAUUUGUUUUUGAGUCAAGAUGGCCUGAACUAGAUACAGAGUACCUUUCCUUUCCAGAGGAAGAAGUUGACUUUUGGGGAAAAAUUCUUGAGGUAACUGCUAUACAUCUGAGCCAGCUAAUCCACAUAGUUUGGCCCAAAACUUUAUUUGUUACCAGUUGGUUAAACUUAAGUUUGGCUUAGUAUUCCAAUCUGGCGACCAGUUGCUUAAGUAAGCUCAAAGGGGGCUGAUAUCUGUUUAUCUAUGAGCCAUACAAGUACAGUGCAUAUUGGUAUCUUUAAUAAUUUGAGGGAGCAAAUGAUUGUCCAUGAUAUCAGAUUUGAUUUUGUUUAAUAAUUUAAACUAUUCGUGGUUUCAUUCAUGCUGCCAAAUAGAGCCUAUUUGCUUUAUAUUGAAUCACUAUCUUCUGGCUACUUUAUCAAUCAUUUUCUGAUGAUGACAAUUUGAACAACUAUGACCAGCUAAGGACGGAAGUUAACAAAGCAUUAGAGGUAGCUCGAAGUGGAAAAUUGAUUGGUUCCAGUUUAGAGGCCAAGGUGUAUCUCCAUUGUUCUAAUGAAAGACUGGCUGAGAGACUAAACAACAUGUGCGAACCUACAAAUGAGGCAGAUGCUUUACAUCGCAUAUUCAUAACAUCUCAGGUAUACUGCAGUAUUCAUUUUAACUUUGUAUAGUUAGGACUCAUGCUCAAGGUUCUAUAGGUCUUGGUAUAAAUGUGUCUGUUACAUGUCUUUUAUGAGUAGUGUUCUCGCUAUGUUGUUGCCGAGUUCACUUGAGACUGAAACAAACUAAAUUGGAUCCUCUUGAAAACCUAGUCACACUCGCAACAAAUAUUGGUCAUCUUUUCAGCUGAAUUUCGUUAGACACAUGUGGUAAUAGUCUUAAAACGUGAAAUACGGUCUCUGUUUAGGUAUUCUAGGCCUCCAUAACAGAAAUGUCUUCUUUGAGCGCAUAAUGUAGUUGUUUUUGAGUACAUUCUUGCGAUAUUUGUCAGGUGGAGAUUCUCAACUCCUUGCAAGAUGAAAGGAUUAAAGAUGUUCAGUACACGGGAGAAUACCUCAUGGAAGAAGGGGACAAAAUCUGGGUUGGUGUAUCUCGUGCAAAUGGCUCGAAAUGUGACAGAUGCUGGAAUUAUUCACCUCAAGUAGGUUCUUUUACUGAGCAUCCUUUGCUAUGUGGCCGCUGCCACAACGUGGUUAUCAGUCUACAAACUCGUGAUCUUGAUGAUUUAUCCAAGGUCACACAGAGUGAAGCAAAGGAGGCUAUAGCACAAUGAGAGAGAAAAAACACAGAGAUAUAUAUAUAUUUUUUUAUAAGUUAGAAUAGUAUUAUUUUUGUACAUGCAUUGAUGAAUAGAAAGAUAGUGAUUUAACUGGUAUUGUGAUGUUUUUUCGUAAUCGAUUUGAUUCAGACCUUAUUUAAUAUAUCCAACAGUAUAUUACAGGAUUAUUUUUAGACAUUGCUUUUAUUUUAUUGUUUAAAUUACUGUUUCAACUGAAAGAAAAAAAAUGAGCAAUAUUCUGGUCGAUUAAAUAACUUUGAACUAAAUAAUUAAAAAUAAACUCAUUUGCAGCCAAUUUUCAGUUAUCCUUCCCGCCAUUUAAUAUAUGUCCGUUUCGGUGAAAAAAUUUGCCCCCAAUUUUCAAAAUCCCUACUUUCUCUGUAACGCAAAACCCUCCGAUUCUGUAAUUUUGUAGAUUCCUGCCGUCAGCGGCGACCCUUCUCUCACCCACCGGUGAAAUUGAAUCGGACGAUUGCCAGGUUUCUUCUGUUCUCUUUCUCAUUCUUCUUUCUUCACUCUGCAAAACCAAUGUUGUUUUUGUAAAAACUGAGAAUUUCGAAGAAAUCAUGACAAUUUAACCAAAUUGCAUCAUCUAUGUUUCUUUGAUAUCUUGUUUCAGUAGUUCAUUUUAUUCGUUAACUUGAUGUGGUGGGAGCUUAGUCUGUUUUGAAGUAUUGACAUUAAAGAAAUGUGGAAACUGAUAUGAAGAAGGGACUUAACGUUUUUGAAUUUUGCUUAAGUUGUUUUGUUCGAUUCUUUGUUAAAGAAGAAGAAGAAAAGUAAUGGGAAUGAACUGUGCACACAUGUUAAGAUAUAAUUUCAUUAUUUCAAGAACAAUUAACUGUUUCUCCUGGUGAAUACAGUAAUAUGUGCGAAUUUCCUUUUCUCCGAUAGAAUCUUAAAUAAACAUGUCAAGAAAUAUUGCUCGCGUAAUUUCAAUCUACUUUUAUAGUAAUAUCCAGUCAAAACUGUUUUAACAAAAAUAGAGCAUUUUAUUAUCUCCAAAAAGUGUUACAGCUGAUAUGAGGGGAAAACACAAAGCAUUGUAGACCCCUUAACUGGUUUGGGAAAUAGCUAAAUGAUAUCUUUAUUACAAUGCCUAUGGGAGAAGAGUGUCUAGUCCUAUACAGGCCUUCUGCAUCAUCUUGUUCGCUAGUGGAUUGUUUUUGCAAUGCGUAUUGUUAACUGGUGUCUGUUCCCUAGUGGAUUGUUUUCCUUUUUGUCCAAUUAACGUCUAGAGCAGAUUUAGCCUUAUAUAUUUGUCGUUGGAAAUUGUCCUUUCUUCUCUAAUAAUUUUACCCUUUUUUCACCAUAAUUAACCAUGGUUUUCAUCAGGCUGAACUCGAAAAGGCGCAGACUUGAAGAUCCAGCUGAACUUGCGAGCUCAAGCAGGAACCCUUGUAAUAAAAAGGAGGUACAAAGUCCAACAACUCCAGAUCCAGUGGUUGGGCUUUCUGGCAGUAAAAGUCAAGGAGAUCAGUUAUUUGGUAAUGUCUUGAAACAAGUCCAUCCAGAUAAUGUGAAACUUAAACCUACCAUAGCCAAGUUUAUAUCUGGUUUGGGUGCACCAGCAUCAUCAAUCCAAGUUGAGGCUAUUCAUGUGAAACGUUCCAGUUUUGUUUACGAAACAAAGUUGCAAUCUUUCAAUCUACUUUCAGAGGCCAUGACGAAAAAAUGCAAUGAUAAUCCUAUUUUGAAGAUUGGUUGGUAUGGAGCUUCCAAGGAAGAAAUUGUUGACAUAAUUACGAUUGGUUUAUUCGAUCAAGUUACCGUCAUGGAGUUCAGUUUUCUGCUUAAGAUUACCCUCUUGAUUUUCUCCAAACUGCUAUUCAAAACAAAGAUGGACUAAGACAUAUAUUGAUUUGCCAAGUGAUAGUAGGAAAAAUUGAAGUUGUCACUCCUGGUUCAGGACAGUUUCAACCUAGUUCUGAGGUUCUUAAUUCUGGGGUUGACAAUUUAUUUUCUCCAAGAAAGUAUACUGUUUGGAGUUGUCACUUGAAUACUCAUAUCCUCCCUUUAGGCAUAAUCAGUUUCAGAGUUUCUCCUCAUUCAAGUUAGUGAAGCAGCAGGAAACAAUAUGUUGAUUGAACUCAUGAAGUCCCUUUGUUCUGCUCAGGUAAAUCAUCAUAACCUCUUCACUGAAGCAGUCAUUAGUCGUUGUUCUGUCGUUACAGUUCAUGGGGUAUUUCUCCCUUAAAACUCAUGGUAGUGUCAGAGUGUCGAUUUGACUAACCACAUGGUCACUUAAAGUAACAGAGCUAUGCAAAGCAAGGGAUUGGUUAUCUGUUCAAAUCCCUGAAUCGUGUUGCUUUUUUGUAUUUCUAUUUUAGAUACAUUAUCUAACUUUAUAACUCUUCAUUCAGCAGCGUAUUUAUCUCAGCGAAGACUGCCAGAGCAAUGACGACACUAGGAUUCUGUGUUACCGUGGAUUGCUGACUUUACAUAUAUCUGUGUAGCAAAUACUUCUUUUACACCCCACCCCCCCUCCAUUGGUAGUAGUCACUAGUAUAACAGUUUUUAGUUGUUUGUAGGAGUAACAACUGUUGUUGACAGUCCUUGUACCUAAGGUGGUGAUGUUAACCUGUAAUGCCAUUCUAACAUGGUUGUCUUUAACCUUUCUAGCAGUGAUGAAUACUAUCCUUUCACAAAUGUAUAUUCUUGAAUUGCUAUUCUAACAAAAGUAUGCCUACAAUAAGGACGUAUUGGAACAAGCAAUAAAGGUUGUGAUGGAGUGGUAAAUAUUCAUUUAUAGUCUACUCACCAAGUUUUGUGUUCACUUAAGCUAUAUAAUCAUCAAUCUUUCACAAGCAAGGAAAUCUUGUAGAUACAGAAAGAAAUAUCCUCGAACUAUGAGAACUCACCACGAAGCUGCUAAUUAUAGGCUGGAAGUCAAACUACGCGUGAGCUGGAUGAUGAGUGCCUAAACCUACAUCAUAAAACGAUGUAGUGUAAAGUAUGCCUCCGUACUUGAUAUGUACUGAGCAUGCAUGAUAUAGAUACCAAGUUGAACAAUGAUAUAACAAAGCAAUAUAAUAAUGAGCAUGAAAAAUAGAUUGUACUGAAAUGUAAGGGAAAAGCUAAGCUAGAUGCUGUGACCAAGUACUAAUCAAGUAGCUAAUAUAAUGCACUAAAUAUUGAAAUUCAUGGUCAAUGCAAUGAAAGUCUGGUUGUGGGAGCUACUGUUAACCAACAUAAAUUACGUGAGCUAAACGUGGAGUCCGAUGUACACACCCCAUCAAGAGGAUCCAAUAUACCCUACUAGGGGUAUAAAGAUACGACUGAGGCGUGAUCACUAAAACUAGUGCCCAACAGAGGGGACUUCUGAACCUAUGUUGGCACGUAGUUUUAAACAAGUGAGGGUAUGUUGAGAUCUAGUCCAACUCGAUGCUAAGUCUACUUCCAAUUGAAUGAAAAGCUAAAAUGCAACAAAGUACUGAAUAGCUCAAAAUACUUACAUGUCAUCUGGGAAUGCACAUAAAUAUACUAAAAGGUAAUGGCAUUCAAAUUCUAAAGCAUGAUCUUAUGACUGAUUUGUCUAGCAAGUAUAAUUUAUGAGUGCUGAUGAUUAAUGUAAGCCAAGGUUUUGAAUUAUAUACAUGGAACUAUGAAAAUUUCCAAUAAAACAUGCUAAUUAGAUUAUGGAAACCAUUGUAGCUAAAACACAAUAAAUCUCCAAAGUUUUAAAAACCCUAGGUCUAAGCAUGCUAUGAAGAAUUAAAAAACUAACUGAACUCUAGAGACCUAAUGGACUAAAAGAAUCACUGGUGAAAUUCCCACCUACUUGGUGACCAAAUCUAAGGAGAAAUCCUUUAGUUUUUGGAAUGAACUUGAAAAAGACUUCUACUUGUUCUUGUGAGUAAUUGUAGACUCUUGCUUUUUCUUUUCGUUCUAAUCUAGGCGAUUUUAGGAGAAUGAGAGUUCUUAGUAGUUUCUGACUAGUUUAUUAAGCUUAGACACAAUGAAAAGAUAUAGUCUAAGCAUUAAACGACGUUGUAAGUACAAAGUGCAUAGGAAAAAAGAUCAAUGCCAUCCUGACUAUGACUCAAAUAGGGGCUUCACGGGCCGUCAUGAUGACCAAAACCCAUCUAGCAACUCAUGAAGAUGCAUUUCCUGAUGAGACUUCACUAAAACGGGCAUAACUUCUUACUCAGGAUCUAGCCGGAAGUCAAUUUCUCCUUUCCAUGAUUCACUUUCCUCUUCGUUUUCAUCACGUGAGUCGUCACCAAGAUGACACAUGAGUGAUGUUGAUUGGGUUGACUUUUGCUCUGUUUAAAAACAAGCACAUUAUCUCUACAUCUCCUUAAAGAGGAAAGACAAGUUGUUCCGAAUUUUCAAAAAGACACAGCAACUAUGCAGUCAUCCUAUUACCCCCUAAACAAUUUUAACGUGAAAUAUUUACAUUAUUUUUUGAUCAAUCUCAGAUAUUAAAAACCAAGUAUUUUACACACAAAUCAUUAUGUGUCACGUGUUAAUUUAUUUUAAAAUAGAAUUCUUUUUCAUUUUAAUUUUUUCUUUACCUUUUUUUUUCUCUCUGUUACCUUUGCUUAUUUUAUUUUUAAUUAUUUAUUUUAAUAUUAUCUUACAUUUCACUUCACCUUCCAUCAUCCCCCCCACACCCUCGUCAAGCUGUGUCCCUUCCCAUUUCUUUUUUUUUCUUCUUCUUUCGUCAAGUUUCAUUCUUCCAGUAAUUUUUUUCUUUAAAAAGUUACAUUAUUUUCUAAACUUUUUUAAGUCGGUGAUAAAAACUAAUUAUUUUUUUAGAAAUUUUAAAAUAUUGAAAGUAUCAUCAAUUAAUUUUUUUUUUCAUAUAACUUCAAAUUAUAAAUAAUUGAAAGAAUAAAUGAAUACCCUCAAAAUUGAAAGAGCUUGAUGAAAUAUGAAUAGUAAAGUUAAUGAUACCUUCUAAUCAUUUUGAAAUUUAAUAAGUUCAUCAAAUAAUUUGAUUUUUUUUAAAAAAAAUUAGAUAAAGGUUUAAAACUGAAGAGACUUUACCUAAUAAUAGUUUUAAAAAAAGAGCGUGAAAUUGUGGUAAAAAUUACGGCACUGAAAGUGGAGAGUUUUAAUAGAGAAAAUUAGGGGUGUACAAAAUCGAACCAAAUCGCAAAUCGAAUCAAAUUGAAAAAAAAAACUCGACUAGUGAUUUGGUUUGACUUGGUUUGGUGUUGGAAAAAAAAAACGACUAUAUUUGGGUUGGUUUCAACUAAAAAAGAUCAAUCCGAGACCAAACCAAUCGGACAUUAUAUAUAUAAUUUAAAAAUUUUAUUUUAUACGUAGAAAUAUUUACUUUGAUAUAAUUUUUAAAUAUCUCUUAUACUUUUUCAUAGUUUUUAUCUAUUAAUAUAUUUAUUUCAUGUUUGGAAGUUAUAAUUCUUAAUGAUCUAAUAAAUAUUAUAGUUCAUACAUACAUGUUGGAAAUUAUAAUAAAGUUUAAAUAAAAAUCAAAUUAAUAUUAAUGCAAAAUGGAAAAUCAAUCCAACACUAAGAAUGACAAUAAUCUUGAAUAUUUGUUUUUUAGUUUACAUAGAUUUAGACAAUUAAAAUACAUGAUCUAAUUUUACUUUCUUUUAAUAUAUAGUCAUGUAACUAAUACUUACUAAACUUAUUUUAGCAUGAUUUAGUACUUUAAAUUAUCAUCAAUUUCAUUAUGACCUAUUAAUUUGCAAUAUUUGUUUUACGCGAUUUUUUUAUUUUUUAUUUUUGGAUAUUUUAGUGUCGUUAAUCAAAUCAUAUUUUUUAUUAUUUGCUUGAGAAAUAACUUAGAUAGUUGCAUUUUGGUAGGACUAAAGAAAUAUUUGAAGUACAAGUAAAUUAUAUGUUUGUAUGAAUACUUUAUCAAAAAAAUCUGAAAAAAUCCGAAAAUCCGAAGAAAAACAAAAAAACCCAAAGUUGAAAAACCCGAGUCUUAUUGGUUCGGUUUGGUUUAUAAAUUCAAAAAUGCGACACAAAUGAUUUGAUUUGAUAUUUGAAAAAUCAAAAUCAACUCGGUCAUGUACACCCCUAUAGAAAAUAAUGAAGUUUUGAAGAAGAAAGAAAGAGAGAAAACAAAGAAAAAAUUAAAAUAAUAAGAGAAACAAGAAAUUAUAUUUUAUAACAAAAUACCUAACAAAAUAAAGUUAUAUUCAAUAUUUUAUGUUGUUCAACCUUUAAAAAGAUUUCAUACAAUCUCUAUGCCAAGUGGACGAAAAAUGAUGUAAUAAUAUCAGUUCAAGAUUGUUUAGGGGGUAAUAGGACAUCCGCAUAGUUAAGCUAUCUUUUUGAAAAUUGGGGACAAUUUCAGGUAUCACUUUAUGUUUUCUCUUUCCUUAAAUAGUUACUUCGUAUCAGUUUAUAUUUGAAGAAUUUUGUAAGAAUAAUAUAAAUCAUAGUAAUUGAUAAUUUAAAUAUUUAAAAUACUAAAAAUAUAACAUUCAUUUCCAAGAUUAUUGAGGAUAAUUUUCAGUAUUAUAUGGAAAAUCAUUCAUAUGAAUUGCCACAAGGAAGUAUAGGAAGGUAAACAGAGAGCCCAUAUAAACAAUUGACUGUUAAUCUUGUUUAAUUAUGUGAAUUGUGCAUCAUUGCAAUCAAAAAAAACUUUAAGAAAAUGAGUAAUAAUUUGGAAUAGUAUCUAAAAUUUUAAAAAUAGUAUGUUGUUUCUGUGGCUCCUCCGCAAUUAAUUAUUGCAAAGUCAUCAUUGUUGAAGAAGAAGGAAACUGACUAUUAUAACAUGUCAACGAAACAGAUCGAACACAGUUGAUUGACCUAUCUGUAACAAGUGUUGAUGAAAAAAGAAAUUGAUGAUUGGAACAUGUCAAAGGAACAUGUCCAACGAAGCUGACCGACGAGUUUGCGUCAUUGCUGUAGAAUUGGAUUCACAUUAUGAUUAGACUAAUUAAAAUAAUUAGGAUUAUAUUUCGUUUAUAAUUAUAUUAUGAUUAGAAUUAUAUUAUGACCAGUAUUAGAUUAAUAUUAGAAUUAUAUUAUGAUUAGAAUUUAUAUUAUUUAUAAUUAUAUUAUUAUUAUUAUAGUAGUAAUAGGUAUUGUAGUAGGACUCUAAGUAUAGUUAACUUAGGGCUCAACAUUAUAUUCAUCAAUUUAUCAAUCCUACCAAUAUUGAUCAAUAUAUCAAUUUAUCAAUAUUGAUCAACCUAUAAAUAGGUCAAUAAUUAUCAAUACAAUCCUUGAUUUCUCUACGCAAAAUUUCUACAAACAUAACUCACUAAUAAUUUUAUAAAAAGUCAAUAGUUUUUAGGACCAUGCAGCUCGAUAUUUGGUCAUUAAUACGAUACUUAUUUGUGGCUACAUUGAAAUCGUAACGUGCAAUUAAUCUACACCUCACAUAUUGCGCUUUUAACUAUUAAACAAAAAACUUGAGGAGCCUGUCCAAAGGUGUGGACUGUCAAACCACAAAAAAAUCUUAAUGUUAAAUGGAAGAAAAUCAAACCAACUACACAAGGCAAUAGAUUGGACAACACCAUGAUUAAAUAAGGUCCAAAAAUUUAUAAUCUUUUGACUAACUUUUAUCAAUGGAUGAUUUUUUGCAUUAUUAUGUCAACUAAAUGAUAAUCACAAUGAAUGCAUAACAAUUGAAAUUAGUAACUUGAAUAUAAGGCAAACGUUUGUGCAACAAGUUAAAAUAUACUGAUUGUGUAAUAAUUCAUUAAGAUAUCACAAUAUAAAUAAGUUAAAUGCUUUGAGUUUUUAUAAGAUCAGAAUCCAUAAAAAUCUAAAUUGUGCGGACUAUUCACUUUCGAUGCCUGCAUUUUUGUCUGAUUCUCCAAAAACACACUAUUUUAGAGAAUCCGACACGCACACAUUGAUUUUUUUAAAAAGUCCAAACAACAUAGAUAAAAAUCAUAAAAUUCAAUGCCAUGAAACACUUUGAUGCUGCAACAAAGGUUUUAUUUUCAUCACUUGUCUAUUCCUACCUUUAUUGCCAUCUUCUAAUUUUGUACAAAAUUAUGCAUCAAGCAAAUCAAUCUUUAGCAGAUCCUAAAAGCAUCACCAACUACUUUGAAUAACCAUGUUAGCAGUUUUGUCGAAAACAUUACACCAUUAUCCUCUUUACUACUUUGUAGGUAAAAUGUAUGUUUAAUUUUUAUAAUUCUCUAGGUUUCAUUUGUUGGAUUAUAUCAGAUAUAUUGCUUUGUUUGGUUUGAUAUUGAAAGAAAAAAAAAUAAUCAUACUUAGUUGAUUUGGUUUGAUUUUAAAAAAAAAUGUCGAGAUUAGAACCAAAGGCGUAUCCAGAAUUUUGAUAUGAUUGGUGCACUAUUAUAAAAAGGUGAGUCUAAUCGAUUUGACAACAAUUAAAAAUUGAAAUUAUAGUUUCAACAUUGAAAUGCUUGAUUGAUUAAAACACUAAAAAUGCUAUCAAUAAUCACUUAGAUAGAUGUUGCUAAAUUUUAGAAAUAAAAACAAAACAAGAUAUACAUUUUAAUUUAUUUCAUAUACACUUUCAAUCUUUUUUACUUAUAUAUAAAAAUAUUUAAAAUAAUAAUACAUACUACCCAAACCCAUCCUACCCCACACCCUUUCUUCAUCAUCUUCUUCCCUCCAACAUUUCAUAUUCUAAAACACAAAACUCAAUAUCUUAUCAAAAUAUUUACCAAUUUAGUUUUUUUUUUUUCAAAAAAAAAAAUCAUACCUAAUACAUGAGAGAAACAUAUAUAGAGAUACGUACAAGAGUGAUGAAGAAGCAGAGUUUAUUGACAGAUAAUCAUUUAAAAAUCGAUCACAAAAAAGAAAUCAAGAGGAUCCAAAUUAAUUUUAUAGAAUUCUUAGGUAAUAAUUUUUACAAGUUAAAUGAGUUUUACAUUUUAAUUUUGAGGGGUGAUGUUUGUUAAAAGGUGGCCCAAAAUGGGGGUAUCAACUAAAUUUUUUUACUUCAGUGUCCAUAAAUCUUCUUUCUUCUUUCUUCUUUCAUUUUUUAAAAUCCAAUGCAGUUGGCUUGAAAACUAGUUAAAGUGAAGAAGAUGACCGAAAGCGGGGGUGGGAGGCUUUUUCUUUUUGCGAUUAAAAAGUUACUGAUUUCAAAAAUAUUUUAAAAUUCUUUUAAGUCAUUUACAAUGCUAAGAUCAAUGGAAGAAGAAAAAUUGAAGUUCUCUUUGAAAAAAAAAAUGAUUUUAGAUACCUUCAUGCGCCAAAGGAAAGUGAAAAACACUUGCCAUAUCAAUAUUUUGUGUCUAGUAGUUAUACAUUUUGAACAAUUUAGGUGUUCAAUAGGUACUAACCCUAGUUGAAGUGUCUAAGUGAAAUAUACAAGACAACUUCAAGGGGUUGACUUCAAGGGGUUGUAGAUGACUUAAGCAUAUGAGGAAUAACAUGGGAGUAGCUAGCCGAAGGAUCUAGGUGGAGGGUUAUAUAGACAAGAGCGCGGAGUCAGGUAGUGUGGAAGGCGUUUUACCCCUUAUAUGAAAUCUCCCGCUGCAUAUUCACAUUUAAUCGGGGUCCAAUGUCAAUACCAACACAGGAGAGAAACUUAUUCUGGUUGGCCACUAUAGUGUAUUAAGACUGAAAGUCUGCUAGGUAGUCUACAUAGAAGGGAAGUUACCAAACGUGGGAAAGAGUACAUUUUUCUUACUCGAAAGAACCGCAAUCAUAGUAUUUAGGAGAAGGAUACGAUGCUUUAUUGUUUGGAAUUUCAUUAGGGAUAGACCUAGGAUUUGUUGUUCAUCUUGUAUUCCUAAGAUACUUAGAACAAAACUUUAUAGAACUUAGUAAGAAAUAACAAAAGAGUAUUUUCAAAAACAGAAAAUUAAGACUAGCAGAGAAAAUAGGAUCAGAAACUGAUUAGAAACAAUAUAAAAAUAUUUUUCUCAAAGAAAGAAAAUCGAGUCCACUAAAUGCAUAGUGUUCCCUUAAGGAAAUUAUUCCCCUCAGGUACCUGAGGUUAAUGCAAUAUAUCCUCACAUGAUAGAAGGAUCUUACUCAACGAUGUAUCGAUAUCUAAAACCACGGUGUCAACAAAUCUCUCAACGACAGUAAAGUACACUUUGAAUACUAGAUUUAGUAAUAGUAAAAGAAGUCUAGAAAAAUUUUGUUUUUAAAAUGAGAGGAAAUUGAGGUCCAGGGGGUUGGGGGGAGGGCUUGGAGCUCGGUGCCUCGAUGUCCGGGGGUGGGAGGGAUGGGGGUGAGGGGGCUUCAGGGAACGUUGCCUCAAGGGGGGGGGGGGUUUCUCAACUUGCAUAGUUUUGUAAUGGCUUGCUUAGAAUUAUCUUGUUUUCACUUUCUAUUUAGAUUUUAUAAAACAACGCUUUCAGUUAAAUUGAUUUCAAAUUGGGGAUAUGUUAGUCUAUGUUGAUUCGAAUAUCACCGUUAUUAAAAAAUAAAAAAGCAUGAGUUGGGAUGGACUAACUAUUCCCUUAAGUUUUUUUUGUCUAAACUAUCAUGAGUAAUCUAUCAAAACACUUUUUAAAGUUGGCUAGAUCAAGUAUUUUAUUACAAUCCUUAGUAAGUAUAGACAACUAAAUUUAUCCAUAAAUUUCGCCCAUAUGGUAUUUGACUCAUUAUUUUCGAAGUGAAGUGAGUUAUAAUUAAUAAUUAUUGACAAUUCAGAUUAAGAACAUUUUUGACAUUGUCGUUGGGAGCCUCAAAACACUUAUUUUUGAGGAAAAAAAAUAAGUGUUUGGCAAACCUGUAAAAGUGUUUUUAAAUAGAAGCAGAAGCUAAAAAAUUUCUGCUUCGAAAUGUGUCACAUUAAAUGGAACGAAGAGAGUAUAAUUUAGGACAACUUUCACAUAUAGCAAAUAAGAAA
rnacentral:lncRNA from 1 species